rnacentral:lncRNA from 1 species
GUUUGAGGAUCAGGUAAAUUAAGCAUCAAUUUCUUUACCUCAUAUUGUAAUCCGUAGAGAAAUUGACUCACAAGUGCGGCAUCAUCCCACUUGAUAUCAGUUGCAAGUUGUCGAAAUUGCGAAGCAUAUAAUGUUACUGAUCGAUUGCUUUGUCACAAAAUACGGAUCUUAUUGGUUGCAACACGAAUUGCAUCAUGUUCUCCAAACAUGGAUCGAAACUCCGCCAAAAAAGCCUCCAGAUUAUCCAAUAUUGGAUCUCGUCGUUCAAGAAAAGAUGAAAACCAUGACAAUGCUGAACCUGAAAGAAGUGUACCAAUGAAUCUUACUUGUGACCCUGGAGUUGGAUAGCUCUGGGGUUGAAGUUCAAUCACUAGUUGGACCUGAUUGAUGAAUCCUCGAAACUUGGAUCUGGUACCAUCAAACUUCUCGGGCAAGGCAACUCUCGGUUCUCUAACACUCGAAGGGUGUUCCAUUCUGGGAGAAGGGACAUGGUUUGGUGCAGAUGUUGAAGCAGCCCCAAUCAUCUCUAUAUCUUCACUUCCUACCAUUCUUGUUGCUUCUUGUGGUGGUAAAUUGAGUUGAUGCAUCGCAAGCAUUAACUCCCUCAAUUGUUCUUGCAUCUGUGCCAUUGCACUCUUCAUUUCAACAAGCUCUGCCAUAGUAGCACUUAGAAAAGAGAAGAUGUCUAACAACGCUCAAAACAAAUAGAAGAGAGGAAUUGAUAACAAAGAAAAUACUAAGAACAAUAUCAGUUUAAAAGAGGGUAAUCCGCAACUUCUAAUGCGCUUAUGUCUUAUCAAGAAAAAGGGGUAAUCCACUCUUAAUCAAGAAAAGACAAAGCUCUGAUAUUGUAAGUGUACUCUUGUCAAUCUGUCAAGGACAAGAACUCGAUGAAAGCUAAAGAGUAAGUAAGACUUUUCUCAAAAAGAAAUAGGACAAAAUAGAAAUAUGUAUAUUAAGAAAGAAACUGGAAUGGCUAUUGCCAAAAUACAAGAAAACUAGAGACCCUUGAAACUAGACUAGAAGCAAGAAAGGAGUUGACAAGAGUGAAGAGGGCUUCACUCUUGCCUCUAUAUAUACUAUCUAACUAGAAGCCACGUGGCGAUGUUCUAUAAGACCUCCAAUAUAUGUUGACUUUCUAGGCCACAUGCCUUUGCUUGCAAGGCAAGUUUUCUAUGGAUGGACCACGUAGUUAGCUUGUUCUUUAAGCUUCCAACAUGUGUGGCACAUGGCUAACUUAUUGACCAAGUUUCUAACCUAAAAGUCAACUAUAGACUCCUAUAAAGUCAAAGCAGCGUCUAUGAAGCUUCUAAGAAGCUUCCCUAGAAGAUAUUACACAAUUAACCUACUUUUAUCUACUUUUAUAUACUUUUAUCUAUUCAUAUAGGUAAUUAUAUGUAUGUCCGUGACAGAUCUACGACAAGAAAUUUCUUGCAAUCAUGGAUUCUUUUGAAGAAUGGCAUCAUUAUUUAGAAGGCGCUUCAAGUCCAAUCAUCAUAUAUAUAUGGAUCACUAGAAUCUCAAGUAUUUCAUAUUAGCAUGUAUUUUGAAUCAUUACCAAGCUUGUUGGAGCAUGUCUUUGUCAAGAUUUGAGUUUAAUAUCACUUAUCAGCCAAAAAAUAAUAAAAUUUGUUUGAUGCUCUUUUUAAACAUUCUUAUUUUAUACCAAAAGAAAAAAAAAAGUAACUUUUGACCAACAAAAGAUAAUUUUACUAAAGCUAAAAUAAUUUCAUCUCCGAGCAAUGAAAUCAACAUUGAUUGUUGAUUUGACUAUUCUCAAGCAGAUCCAAGCUAGUAUAUCCCUAGACCUUCUUGUUUAUGAUAUUAAAAAUAAUUCUUCUAAGUCUCAAGAUACUUCUAAGUUUGAGUUUAAAGAGAAUCUACUCUAUUUUGAAAGAUGCUUAUAUGUUCCAAAAGGAGAAGUACAAUUACGUACUCUUGAAGCUCGUCAUAAUUUUCCUACAACAUGAUAUUUUGGAUAUAAUAAGAAUUUAGAGCUUAUAUUCAGAGAUUUUUGGUAGCCUCAAAUAUAAAAGGCUGUUAAAAAAUUUGUGUAGAUAUGUGAUAUUUGUUUAAGAUCAAAAACUCCUUGUCAUCGACCUUAUGUACUCUUCCAACCAUUAUCUAUACCAAAACAACCAUGGUCUUUUGUCUCUAUGGAUUACAUAUUAGAUCUUUUAAUUUCAAGUUCAUAUGAUUCUAUAUUUGAGAUUGUAGAUCAUUUCACCAAGAUGGCACAUUUUGUACUAUGUGCAAAAUCCAUCACAUGUGAAGGAACAGCUAAACUCUUCUUUAACAAUAUCUAUCACUAUCAUGGAUUACUAAGUAAUAUUAUAUCAAACAAAAGAAUAUAGUUUUUAUUGAGAUUUUGGAGAACUCUUUUGAAGAUAUUGAAGGUGGAUGUAAAACUAUCUUUGACUUUUCACCUUCAAACUGAUAGACAAAUAGAAUAGGUAAAAUAAGUUUUAGAAUAGUAUUUGAAGUAUACCAUCAACUAUCAACAAGAUGAUUGAACAACUCUUUUGCUAUUGGCAGAGUUUGCUUAUAAUAAUUUUAUACAUUCUUCUACUCAACAAACACCUUUCUUUGCCAAUUAUGAUUAUCAUCGAUAAUUUGAUACUUUUGAUUUUUUAAAAGUUAAUAAUCUUACAGUAGAAGAUAUGGCAAAUCGAUUAUCAAAGCUACAUGCAACAAUAAAGGUAUAAUUAAAAGAAGCUCAAGAAUGACAAAAAACCAAUGCAGAUGUCUAUUGUAAGGAACAACCUCAAUUCUAUGUGGAAGAUAAGAUAUGGUUACUUUGUCAUAAUAUAAAAACUAUUUGUCCUUAAAAAAAAGUUAGAUUAUUGUAGGCUUGAACUAUUUUUUAUUUGUAAAUAGAUCAAUCCAGUUGCUUAUCAAUUACACCUACCAAAGUCUAUGAAAAUCCGUCAUGUGUUCCAUGUGUCUUUACUUGAGCCAUACAAGACAAUGGAUAUACAAGGAAGAAGACAAAUGCCACCACCUCAUAUAAAAGUAGAGAAUAAUAAAGAAUUUGAAGUGGAAGAAGUCUUAGAUUCAAGGCAAUGCCAAAAUAGGUUAGAGUAUCUAGUACAUUGGUAUGGAUAUAAUAUAAAUGAACACACAUGGAAGCCAUCUAGGAAUCUAGCAAAUAUAUUAGCCAAAAUUAAAGCUUUUCAUCAAUGACAUCUAUCAAAAUCAAGAUGAAGAAUUAAGAAAUUCUUUGCUAUAAAGCAAAGCAAGUCCAAUGGAGAUUUCAUUCUAUCUUGUAUCAUUAUUUCUUUGGAUUUUUAGUACUUAUGAGAUGGAGAAUCACCAAUUAGCAAAUUCAACUCAAGGGCUAUCAUUUCUUGAGCUAUCAAACAAGACGUUGCAAUUAUCACAACCUUCGAGAUAGCAAAAUUGAGAUGAAGAUCUUGAAAAAUGACAUAUUUUUCUUCGAAUUGAUGGCGAGAUACAACAUGUUUGGUACUAUGAUUUGGGAAGGGAUUCUCGAUAUUUAGUGAUACUUUUAGAAGUAAGAAGUACUCUUCAUGGUAUUACUAAUGUUUUGUUUGAAAAAAGUUAUGAAGGCCUUAAUAAUGAUCAAAUAUUAGGGUGGUCUUUUCUCUUUGAUAUGGGACAUUAUUGAUGGCUGAGGGAACCUAUCAACUAUCUUUGAAGGAAACAAAGAUCAGAGUAUGUGGCAAAUAUAAUUUGGUACAUCUUGGACUUUAUCAACAUGUAAUUACCACUCCUUGUGGAAUUCGUCCCAAGAAGGGGGAGAUAAUGUCAUGGACAUAUAUAUUUAUUUUAAUAAUUAUCUAGAUAAUAAGAAUAGGUAGAAGUAAGUCAAAGUAAAUAAAUAUAAUAAUAUCUUAGAAAGCUUCUUAGAAGCUUCAUAGAUGCUACUUUACUUUCAUACAUGUCUAUAGGUGAUUGAUAGGUUGAAAACUUGGCUAAUAAGAGGCUACAUAUUGACAUGUUGACCACUUGUAGUACAAAUUGAACAUAUGGAGUAUACCUAAGAAACUUGCCUUGCAAAUUAGACAUGUAUCCUGUAAGUUGGACGCAUAUUAGAGGUCUUAUAGCAUGUCAUUAUAUAGUUUUUAAUUAAGUAGUAUAUAUAGAGGUAAGAGUGAGGCCUUAGUCACUCUUGUCAACUCCUUUCUUGCUUUUAGUCUAGUUUCAAGAAUCUUGUGUUUUCUAGUCUUUAACAAUAACCAUUCUAGUUCUUCUUAGAAUAUACAUACUUUCUUCUAUUUUGUCACUUUUUUUUUGAUACAGAUUCGACCAGUUUAUGUAUCUUCUUUCAGUUUGUAUCCUUGACAAUAUUAUAGAUAGAAUGAAAUAUUAUCUAAUUUAUUGGAGUAUACUAGUCACAAGAAAUGAUAUAUCACAUAAUAUGGUUUUAUUUCAUUGACUAUAGACAAAAUUUAUGACUUAACACUCAAAUAAAAAUACAAUUCAUGCCUCUAAAGGCACAAGAGUAUGUCAAGUAAUUCCAACAACAAUAGUGUACAAAUGGGAUAAUGACAAUAUCGCUAAUAAAUAAGUUGGUAUAAAAAUUAGUUAGAUCUAAAAAUAAUUUUUUUUACUAAUUUUUGAUAUAUAAUAUAUCUUAAUUAAAAUUGAUUUGAGCUUAUUUAAAUUAAUCCUUUUAUUUCAAUAGAAAAUAAUUUCUAUUUGUAUUAAAAAAAAUAAAACAAAAAAUAAUAAUAAAUAAAAUAAAAUAAAAUAAAAUAAUCUGGCUAUAAGUUGGCAAUGGCUAAUUAUAUGCCUCAACUUGAUUGUACAACCUUGUUACUUAUGCUUGCCUACCAAGUCCAUUGAAAGGUCACAUAUUAACUUGACACAUGCUUUAUCUUAUUUACUAUCUUGUAGGAUUAUUCUUAAUAUUGCACAUAAAAUAUUAUGUAAUAUUUUGGCUAUUUUUUAGAUAUCUUUAAAAUAAGGGUUUCUUUAAAAUAUACAAUUUUAUAAAAUUGGCUCAUAAGAGAUUGCUACUGCAAUGAUAGAAAUUGGUUGAAAUUUGACAUCACUCGAGGCAACUUGAAAGAAAUAUUUUUCAAGCUUCUGUGCAAGUUGGAGUAGCACAUGUAGGUAUUAUAUAGCCUCUUGGACAAAACAAAGAAUGUCUCCAACAAGAGAGAAAGAUGCAGAAAGAUUUCAGAGACAAGAUUGUUGCUUGUUGGAAAUAUUAUAUGUAAUAAUAUGAUCAAUGUUACACAAUAUAUUGUAUGUACAAUAGUGAUACCAAGAGUGAUAACUCUUGGUGUAAGGUCAAUACUUAGUAGAUUGUAUUCUAUAUAAGAGACUAAUAUAUGAUAUGGAAUAAUUCUUCCAAUACUCCUGUUAGGACACUAAUACUCAUCUUCAAAUUCAUCUAUUUUUAAAAUGAAUAUGUAAGAAAAAUAUAAGAGUUUAAUCUCCUAUUUGGUAUUGCAAUAUUGGAGAGCUUUCUUAUAGUUCUUCCAUUGCUUCUUCAAUUUUGAGAAGAUGUAUGAUUUCUUUUAUUGAUUUAAGUUUGUUUCUUGCUUCUUAUUCAUUAUUUAUAAUUUUUUUUAUUUUAUUUCUUGUUUUGUUGUUGAAAGAAGCAUUGCAAAUACAAGCACAAUAAUAGGCUUCAAAGUAGAUAUCUAUAUGGGAUUGGUUAUAGAUGCAAUCACUUCAACAGCAAGCUUUGUAGGAAGCUUUGCUGUGAGCUUUACAACAAGCAUUAUUGUAGCGACUACGAUAUGCCUUACUUUUUUUUUCUCCUAUCAGUUUGGAUAGAUAGGUUUUUUUGUAUGAUGAUAUUUCAUGGAUUUGAAGUAAGUUAUCUUACUAGAUUGUCUUUCAGUCUAUAAUGUAUUAAAAUAUGGAUGUUGUGUAAGGUCUUAUUAUUUUGAGUAGACUAAUAAGGCUUGAAUGAUUGUAAAAUAAUUUAUUUAUUCUAUAUUUAGAAAAUUUUGAUAUAUGCCUAAUUAAAAUAGAUAUGUAUUUAAAAAGAAAUUUUAUAAAUACAUCUAUUGUUAUAUAUAUCGUUUGUACAUAUUGUAAUUUGAUUUUCUUUGCAAGGAUCUUUUCUCUAGUGAAAUGAUAUUUUAUAUGCACAUAAUUGCUUUUGAAAUGAUAUUUGAGAUUUUUACUAAGAGCAAUGGUACUUUGACUAUUUGAAUAUAUAGUGGUUGGUUCAUGUUGACGAAAUCCAAGUUUACGUAAUAACUUUCUUAACUAUAUGGCUUUAACUAUUAUUUUUAUUAAAGCCAUAUAUUUUGAUUUUGUGGAUAAUAAAGUAACAAAUUUUUAUUCCUUGUUGCUUCAAAAGAUAAUUCUUUUAUCUAGUAAGAUAUAAAAUUCAAAGGUGGAGUAAUGGAUGUUGUUAUCACCUAUCUAAUCAAUAUCAAAAUAACCAUGUAGAAUAUCACCCGUAGAUAAAUAUUGAUAUUUUAAUUCAAAAUUUAAUAUACUUUUUAUAUAUUUCAUAGUUCUUUUUAAAGUUAAAUUAUAUAUAUAUAUAUAUAUAUAUAUAUAUAUAUAUAUAUAUAUACAAAUAUUAAUUUAGAGAGAUAUUAUGUUAAACUGUUGAUAGCAUAAAUACAAUCUAGUCUAAAAUUAAUAAUGGCAUGUACUAAACUACCAACAACUUGAAAAUAUAGAUAAACUUGUGAAGUAAUAUGGUCUUUAUUAUUUAAAAAAAUUAUUACUUGAAUUGGGGUAUAUAAUAAAUUAAAAUUUAAUAUAUUGAAUUUAUUAAGUUUAUUUUUUAAAUAUUUUGCUUGAUGGAAGAUUAUCCAUCUUUCAUCUCUAUUUCUUAAUAUAGCAUUGCUAAGAGUGUAAUGGAUUUUCUUUCAUCUAACAUGUCAAAUUUUUGUCAUAGAAUGUCUUUUACUUGCUAAAUUAAAAAAAUCUUAUUGCUGAUAAUGACAUAGUCAUCAACAUAUAAUAUGAUUAUAAUAAAAUCCUUAUCAUUUUUUUCUUUUGAUGUAUAUAUUUGCAUCUGAUUUUAAAUGUUGAUAUUUGUGAAGAAUUAAGUAUUGAUCUACUUUUGAUAUCAUGCUUUAGAUGAUUGUUUAAGUUUAUAUAAGUAUUUAUUUAACUUACAUAACUUCUUAAUAUGUAUAUGAGGUAAUUCUUUAAGAAUAGUCAUAUAGAUGUUUUCUUCUAUAAAACCAUUUAAAAAUAUUGUUUUAACAUUUAGUUAAUGUAUUUCUAUAUUAUAUUAAUUAGCUAAACAAAGAAGAACUUUGAUGGAAUUAAGUUUGAGUACAAGAGAGUAUGUCUCCAUGUAAUCGAUACCUUGAACUUGGGUGAAACAUCUAGCAACUAGCCUUGUAUUACAUUUGUCAAUAUUUCUAUCAAUUUUAGUUUUUAUUUUGAAAAUCUACUUUGAAUUGUUUGAUUUUUUUAUUAAGAGUUAAAUUUGUCAUUUUCUAUAUAUUUUUCUUAUAUAAGGAUGUAAUUAUAACAUUAAUUUCUUUUUGUUAUUCUUGAGCAUCACCCCUUUCUAUUGUUUCUUGAAUAGAGUUUAAAACUAUAUUGGUAAAAACAAGGUGGUCUUUGUGAUGUCAAUUAUAAUCGCAUGUAUAUUCUUUUUUUCUUGGUAUAGACUCAAAAACUCUUGUAGUUGGUUUAAUAAUUCUUAUUAGUUGAAAACUAGAAGGAAGACUUAAAUCUUGCAAUGUAGAAUGGACUUCAUCAUGUUCAAGAGGUAAUAUUUCUUCAUCAUUUGGUAAUGAUAGUUGAAAGAAGGCUUCAAUGACAUCAAUGUGAGAAGGAGGUUGUUCUCUUAUAUUUUGAAAAAUACUCUAUAUUUGUUGUUGAUCAAAUACAUAUGUUUCUUAUAGUAGUGGCAUUGAUGGUGAAGAUAUUCCUUGAACAUGAGGUAUUUUUUGAUCAUUGGACCUUAUAUUUGUUGAAAGGUGCUUCAAUAAUUCUAAGUCUAUUAAGAGCUCUUCAUUUUUCUUUUUGUAAGUAUGUUGUUUUUUUUUUGUUAUGUAGAUGUUUAUUACAGAAAACAUCUCUUGAAAAGAGAAUUUUUUGAUUUUGUGUAUUUCUUAGUCUAUCAGCUUUAGAUUCUUUAUUAUAGCCUAGAAUGAUAACCUCUUGUGAAUGAGAGUCUAAUUCCUUUCUUAUUUCUUUAAAAAUGAAUACAUGAAAUUUGCAACCAAAUAUUUUAAGAUAGGAUAAAUUUAGUUAUUUUUUAUACUAUAAUUCAAAUGGUAUUUUAGUACCUUAUAUAGAUUUUAUAGGGCUUCUAUUUUCGAGGUAAUUAGCUAUUUGAGAUACUUUACUUUAAAAAAAUUUAAGAUAACAUUGCAAGAACUAUUCAAAGUUUAAAUAGGAUAGCAUUACAAAAAUUGUUUCUAUUAAUAUUUUAUUUUUUUCUCAAAAACAUCAUUUCAUUGUGGUAUAUAAGUUUUAAUACAUUCUUAUUUGAUUUUUUCUUUGUUAUAUAAACCUUUAAAUUUAUUUUAUUUAUAUUUAUUUUAAUAAUUAAAUCUUAAGAUUUUAAUUUUGUUUUUUUACAUAUUUUUUGUAUAAGGUGAAUUUUUCAAAUGCUUAAAAUUUGUAUUUCAUCCAAUACUUAUGGAAAUAUCUUAUUAGAUCAUCAAUAAAUGUAAUGAAGUAAGAACAUCUUCAAUGUGUGCCUACUUACAUAGAACUACAAAUAUUAUAAUGUACAAGUUCUAACAAUUGGAUAGCUUAUUGUGCACCUUAUAUAGAAAACCUCUCUUUAUGUUAUUUAUCUUCUAUACAAGGUUGACAUAAGAUUUUUUUUUUUCAUUAAAAUGGUCAAUUUCUUUUUUCAUUAUUUAUAUUUCUUUGAGUCUUUGUAGAUUUAUGUAUCUUAGUCUAAGAUGCCACAAAUCAAUUUUGUUUAAUUAUAUUAUUGCUGGAAUAGCAAUUUGAAGCUUAUUUAAAAAGAUUGUUAUACCUAAUUUAUAUAAAUCAGGCUUUAAUUUGUAUACUGCAAGGAUUUGAUCAAAUUUAUUUAUAAAUAUAGUUAUUUGAGCUCUUAUACAAAUUUUUAGUCUUGUUUUAUCUAAUUGUUUAGCAAAGAACAAAUUCUUUACAAAUCCUAGUAUAUAUAAUACAUCAAGUAUGAUCUUCUCAUCGCCAUUUGUAAGUUUGAUAUGUACAUCACCAAGUCUUUCUAUUAUAUAUGAUGUAGUAUUGUCUCCUAAGUAGACAACUUAUUUGUCUUUAUUUUUUAUGUAUUUGACAAAUCCUUCUAAUUCAUGACACAUAUGUUAAGUUGCUCCCGAGUCCACAUACCACAUUGAAUUUGAGAUUUCUUUAAUUAUGAAUGCUGCCACAUAUAAUUUAUUUAAUUUUGUAACAACAUUUGUUUUUUUUUAUUAUUAUAAAUUUUAGUUUUUAUUAUUGUUUUGCAAUCUUUGAAUAAAUGAUCUAUUUUCUAGCAAAAAAAGUACUUCUUAUCAAUAGCAAAAUUGCUCUUUUUAUAUGGCUUAGAAGUAUUACUCUUUACUUAUGAAUUCUUUUUGAAAUCCUUAUUUAUAUAAGAUUUCUUGUUGUUAUUUUCAAAUUUUAAAUAGUUAAAAAAAUCUUAAAUAGUUAAAAAAAUCUCUAAACUUAAUAUUUUAUAAUUAAAUGAUUUAAAAUUAUAUUUUUAGUCAAUCUACUAAUUAAGAUUCAUUGAUAGAAUUCAUAAUAAAGCACAUAAUUGAUCAUGGCCUAAUAAGUAGAAUUUCUAAAAUAAAAAUCAAUAUUUAAGAAAAAAAUAAAAAUAAUUUUUAAAAAAUCUAUUUUUCUUUUCAAAAAUAUCUUAAUAAUCUUCAUAUUAGCUUAGAAUUCCAUUUAAAGUCUUUUUACUAUUAAAAAUAUAUAUUGUAUGAAUAAAAAAAAUUAAUAAUUUUUAAUAAUAUGCAUGAAAGUUCUUGUAUCUAUAAAUAAAGAUUUGAUUACAUUAAACUUAUGACUUUCUACUUGAUUAACAAAAAUCUUAGUUAUGCUUUGAAAAAAAUUAAGACUAUAAGAAAUCCAAUUUAUUUAAAGAUUAUACCUUUUCAACUAGAAUAAACUUAAAAAGACUAAAAAAAAUAGAUUUACAAUUAUAUAAAAUAUUAUAAAGCUAUUAUGACUAUUUAUUAUUAUAUUUAUAAGAAAGAUUUCAUGGAUAAUAUUUUUAAAAGACAAUGGAUAAUCAUCUUAAUUUCUAUAUGUACAUUUUUAGUUUUUUUUAUUUAAAAUAUUCUAUAUCUUUUAAUAAAUCCUUUAACUGAGAUAUAAAUUGAUGCUUUUGAAUCUAGCAAAGUAAAAACUUGUAUUUUUUAGGUUAUAAACAAACAUUUAUUGUAAAACAAAGAGAGGAUUUUGAGAAGAAAAUAAGACCUUCACUGUGUAUAGUAUAAGUUUUUAACCUCAUGAUUUCUAUUUUAAUUAGACAAACAUAUUUUUUUAACAUAUUAUCUUUUUUAAUAGCCAUAUUCGUCAUUUUAUAGUUACAUUAUUUUUUUAGAUAAUGUUGAACAUUGUGCUUAGGUUUUCCAUAAUAUAAGCAUAAUCAUUCUUAAUAAUAAUAAGUUUUUUCUUGCUUAAUAAGAUUUUUAAAAUAUAUUGCAUCAAUUUUUAUAAUAUCGUAAUUCAUAAAAAAAUUGGUUGAUGAAUAUAAUACUAUUUUAUUUGAUAUCAAUUAUAAGUUGUUAAAAUUAUGAAGCAUAUACUAUUACUGAUCAAUUUUUUGUUGCAAAAUACAAAUCUUGUUAAUUACAAUAUAAGUUAUAUCAUAUUUUCCAUAUAUGGCUUGAAACUUUAUUAAAAAAAAAUUCUAAAAUAUCCAAUAUUAGAAUACGUUAUUCAAAAAAAGAUAGAAAUCAUAAAAAAACAUAAUUUAAAGUAAGUGUUUUACUAAACCUUACUUGUAAUCUUGAAGUUAAAUAGCUUUGAGGUUGAAGUUCAAUCACUAAUUGUACAUGCUUGAUGAAUCUUCAAAAUUUAGAUUUUGUACCAUCAAACUUCUCAAGCAAGGCAAUUUUUUUUCUCUAAUGCUUGAAAAAUAUUCUAUUAUAGAAAAUAUAAUAAAAUUUAGUAUAGAUAUUGAAGAAAUAAUAAUCAUCUUUAUGUCUUUACUUCUUACCAAUUUUGAUACUCUUUUUGGUGAUAAAUUGAAUUAAUACAUUGCAAGCAUUAAUUCCUCAUUUGCUCUUGUAUUUGUGCCAUUAUACAUUUCAUUUUAACAUGCUUUAUAAUAAUACAACAAAAAAAAGAUAUAUAAUGUUACCUAUGACAAAUAGAAAAAAAGAUUGAAGAAUAAAGAAACUUUUAAAAAUAAUAUUAAUAUAGAAGUAGAUAAUCUAAAAUUUUUAUUUUCCUUAUGUCUUAUCGAAAAAAAGAAUAAUCUAUUUUUAAUGAAGAAUAGAUAAAGCUCUAAUAUUAUAUGUAUAUUAUUGUCAAUUUGUCAAUAACAAUAAUUUUAAGAAUGUAAAUAACCAAGUGAAAUGUUUUUUAAAUAAAAAUAAUAAAAUAAUAAUAAUAAUAAUAAUAAUAAUAAUAAUAAUAAUAAUAAUAUUCAAGAAGAAAGUAAAAUGGCUAUUGAUAAAGAUUGAGAAUUUAAAAACCCUUGAAACUAGAUUAGAAGUAAAAAAAAUGAAUUGAUAAAAGUGAAAAGGCCUUCAUUUUUUUCAAUAUAUACUAUUUAACUAAGAGCUAUAUAGAGAUAUUCUAAAGGACUUCUAACACAUGUCCAACUUGUAGAACACAUAUCUAAUUUGCAAGACAAGUUUUUUAUAUAUGUGUCACAUAUUCAACUUGUAUUACAAAUAUCAAGGACAUGAAUUAUAAAGAAUCAAAUGAUCAAUAUACUCAUGUGUUACUAAAAAAGAAUAGAUAAUCAUUCAAAGAUGGUAUAGUAUUAAACUAAAAUAGCUAUUACCUAAGACAAAAAAACUAAAUAUUUAUUGAAAUAACACUAAGGACAGAAUGAUAUUGAUAAGAAUAAAAAAGGCUUUAUUCUUGCCUCUAUAUAUACUAUAUAAUUAGGAGCCAUGUUGUAACAUUUUAUGGAAUUUCUAACAUACAUCCAAUUUGCAAGAUAUAUAUUUAGCUUUUAAGAUAAGUUUCCUACAUAUAUGCUAUAUGACCAACUUAUAUCACAAAUUACCAACAUGUACAAUACAUAGCCAACUUUUUGACUAAGUUUUCAACCUAUCAAUUAAGUACGAAUACAUAUAUAGGUAAAUUUUCAUUUACAAAGCUUCUAAGAAGCUAUUCUAUAAGUUAUUAUUAAAUCUUUCUACAUUUAAUUUUUAUCUAAUACUUUUUUAUCUAAAUAAUUAUAUAUAUUUGUAACAACAAGUGACAAAUAUGUGGAAUAAAUGGCUAACUUGUUGGAUAAUUUUUUAACCUAUGAAUUACUUACAAAUACAUAUAAAGAUAAAUCUAUAUGUAAUAAGUUUUUUUAUAUAAUUUUAUUAAAAUUACUUAUUUUUAUUUACUUCUAUUUAGUCAUAUAAUUUAAAUAAUUACUAAAAUAAAUAUGUAUGUUUUUUAUUGUGUACUAAUAUGGCCAUUAGAUAAAAGAAUAAAAGAAAUAUUUUACUAUAAAAGAGCUUAAAUGAAAAUAUUUUAAUAAAUUAUCUCUAAAAUAUAGAUAAUAUAAAAGAAUAUAGUAAAAAUUAGUAAGUGAUAAUAUUAUUUUUUUAUAGAAGAGACUUAUAUUCACUUUUUAGGAGCAUAAAUGAAUCAAAUCAAAUUAAAUAAGAUAUAUAAUUAAUAUAAGUAUCUUUAGGAAGAAAUUGAGAAUAUAUUUUUAAAAAAAUUAUCUCAAAAUACCAAGAAUUGAUAUCCAAAGAGGACCAAUUGUGAAUCAAGCUUGAAAUCAGACCUUGAGGUACAAAACCACAUACCUGUAGUGAUUCUAGAGUUCUUUUGUCAAUUGGAGAAUGGAGUUUGAAAACAAACUUGUGGAAGAAUUUUUGAGAGUUGAUUUCAUAUGGUUUGAGGGUAUAUUGAGGUUUUGAGAGCUUUUCAAGUAAGAAAUUUAUUUUGUGGAUUUGGAUUUUAAAAAAUUAAAGGAAGUUCACAAGUUUAAUGAUUUUGUGAAUGUCAUAGCAUAUUUAUAAGUAAAAACUUGUCAGUUGGUCCAUAUGCUUCUUAUAAAUGUGUAAAAAAAUUUACUUUAACUAAGCAAUUAGAUUGAAGGUUAUGAGAAUUUUUAUGGAUUAAGGUCUCAGAUAUUUAAAAUUUAGGAUUAGUGAGGAUUUUUGAAAUCUUACAACAUCCAUUAGUUUUAUUGAAGCAAAAAUUGGUGAAAGCAAUUUAGACUUCAAUAUCUAUAUACUAGCCAAAUUGUGGAGCAAUUAAAUAGUUCAACAAGGAAAAAACUUUAUAGAGAGAUCAACAUUCAAAUUGAAGAAAGAGGGCGGCCAACAUCUUAAAGGUUUUGAGAGCUUUCUUUCAAUUGAUAAGUUCGAUUCUUCUCAAAUUUUGUAUACUUAUAAAUUUCUUGUAGAUUAAAUUUUCGAUGAAAUUUUAGUCAAGAUCAAUAGUUCAAUUAAUAUUUAUUGAAGUUUCAAAAUAACUAUAAUAAUUAAUUAAAAUUUAUUUAAGUUUUGAUCAAGAUUUAGAAUUUCAUUAAGAUUUGGUUAGGAUUUGAUAAUAAUAUGGUCUAAGAUUUGGUAAAAAUUUAAUAUUUAAUUAAAAUUUGACUAAGAUUUAAUUAGGAUUUAGUUAAGAUUUAAGAUUUAAUUAGAAUUUUAUGAGGAUUUUUUAAGAUUUGAUUAGGAUUUUUUAGGAAUUAUUGAGAAUUAUAUUAGGAUUUAAUUAGGAUUUCUAUUUUUAAUAUUUUUUUAAGAUUUCUUUGAUAAUUUUUUAGGAUUUUUUUAUUAUAUAUAUUCUUUUAAGAUUAUUUUAUGAUUUUUUUAUGGCAUUUUUGUAAGUUCUUUGAAACUUCUUUUGAAAUUUUAUUAAUGAUUAAUUAGCAUAAUUAUAAUUUAAUUAAUUUUUUUUAGGAUUCUAUUAGAGUUGUUAGAAUCUUCUUGCUACAAGUUCCAUUUUACCUUCUACAGCCAAGUGUUCAAUGCAUUCUCAAGCAAACUUCACAAAAUACGACAUUGUGAUAAUAUGAGAGAUUUUCAAUGAAUUCUUUGUCUCUUUUUCUUUUCUUUAAACCAAAAAAUGAAUGCAUUUUGAAUUUAUUUCUAAGUAAUAAAUUAUCUAAUUGAAUAUUAAGGAUAAUACUUGAUUUUUUUAUUUAUUUUAUAAUGUAAUUAGAAAGAGCCAACUAUUCAUUUUUUGUUCAUUUUUUUGGCUUAAUAGAUAUUAUUAAUUUCUUAUAUAUAGAUGUUUGGAUCACCUUUGUCUUUAAACUAAGAUAAAAACAACUUUUGUAUAUUUAAUUGUAAGUAUUUUGUUUAUUGACGUAUAUUGUUGUAAAAAUAUAAGAGUACUUGCAUGUAAAGUUGUGAAAGAUCUUGGUCAAAUAAAAUAUUUAGUUCUUGAUUUAUCUCUUUAAAAUCUUUUGAUUCUAAAGAGUCUUAUUCCUAAUCCUAUAUUUUAGGCGUUUCUUUUUUUAUUACAAGUUUUUCUUGCUUAUUGUUGUUAUCUAAUUGGCUAUAGCUUUUGGUUGGUUAUAUGUUAAUUGUUGUUGGUGUAAAUUCACCUAAUGGUUGUUUAGUUGCUUAUUGAUUGUUUGUACAUAUUAUUUCUACUUUAUUUGUGCUUGUAGUAAUCAACAAUCAAAAUAUACAGCAUGAAAUUAUGAAGUUAUGAAGUUAGAAGAAAUUUUAAAGAUUAUCAAAUGAACAUGUGCUGUGCAUUAAUUUAAUUAAUUUUGUAAUUAAAAAUCAUCGAUAAAUGUAGUAUUCAGAAGAUUAUGUAAGCAAUAAAAAAAAUAUAUAUCAUAAAAUUUAAAUAAAGAUAUAAAUAUUUGAAAAGAUAUCUUAAUGGAUUUCUUUAUCAAAGAUUGUUGAGUAACUUUCUACUAAAAAACAUACAAUAGAUUUGUUUUUGUAUUGUAUUAAAUAAUGAAUUACAUAAUAAUAAUUACAUAAUCACUUAAUAUUUUUUGUGAUUAUAGUCACAAUAAUCAUGGUUUGUACAUUAUAAAUUUACCAUUCAUCUAAUGGUUUUUUUGUAUGCAUACAAGUUUGUACUAAAGUAUGUAUAUACAUUUAUUGAUAUUUUGGUUGAAAAUCUUGAUUUCAACAUAAGCAGCAGUAAAACCAAUAAAAAUAAAAAAGAGGAGUAAAUUGAAUAGGUUUGUGACAAGUAUUGCAAAUUGUCUAUGCUCAUGUACUAUUGAAAAAUAAUUUUAGUAUAUUUCUAUACGAUGUCUUGUACCCACAACUAAACCCAACUAAACCAGAUAACGAUGGACACAGGAUGAACAACGAGGAUGAAAAUAUAUUCUGUUCGCAGGUCACAGAGACCCAGAAAAAGUUUCAGGGAGCUUUAAAGGUCGCUGGCAGAGACACUGCACCCGCAACAUGCAGACGCCAAAUCCAGCCACACACACCGACUGACAGUUGCCGUCUUCUGGUUUUCACGCCACGUCCCACGGUCGGGAGUGAACUCCCCUUUCUCUCCCAUUCUAGCUGCGCCUGCACCAGAGAGAGAGAGAGAGAGAGAGAGAUAUAGAGUGAGCACCGUCGUCCUCGUUCAACGCCUGCUGUUUUUGUCGCGCUGUUGCAAGGGUGGGGUCGACUCUGGCAGCAGGUACAUCACCCUUCAUGCCUUUUCGUGCCGCUCCUCGCUUGAAAACACUACUGACUUUACCCACGUCACUUGCUUUUUGUUCAAUGAUUUUCCAUUUGGUUAAGUGGGUCGUGUUGGAGUGGUGUUGUUUGUUUGAUUGUUUCCGAAGUGCACUAGUCGAUGCUGCUAAUGGUCCAUGAGAGCUUCCUUACAGUUUUUACCACCUUGGAGUAUGUUUUCUUCAGGAUCUCCUUGAAGUAGCCCUCGUAACCCUCCAGUUUUCCAGGUGAUGGACUCGGUUUGCCAUGUUUUGAGGCUCGGUGGGAGUUGUACGCGGCUAGCCAUGGCAACAUAGACUCUUUUGCCUGGUUAGUACUGUUCUGCAAAUCUUAAUUCCAGACUGAAGAGAUUAAGGCUUUUGUGGUAGAGUGUUUUUUUUUUUUUUUUUUUUUUUUUUUUUUCACUUGCGAAUAGUUAAACCGGCACGUAAUGUGGGUUGUGAUUGGAGUCUGAUUUGAGCUUGGAGAGGUUGGUUGUCUCCGUUUCUUGUGCAUGCUCAAUCUCGCUUCAGAGUUCGUUAUGAAAACUUUCUGUGAAAGGGAUCCGUGCCAACUCUCCUUACAGUUCAUUUACUCGUACAACUAUGGCGAUGGACAGGCUUAUGACGUGUUCGUGGUAUGGUAAGUCGUGGGUGGUCUCGCAAGCUACCUCGUUAGCUAAAGAGUUUCACCAGAAUAGCCAAGGGUGAUCGGGCUUUUCAUUUCUGGAUGAAUGCUUUGUGUAGUAAGUCACAAAGCCUUUAGGAACAAGAGUGGUUUGUAGUGCACAUAUUCACCAUUGCCCAAUGUAAGCUGGGUCGAAUAUGACAAUGCAGCGGAGGUUAAUGCAACAGAAUUGUGGAGAAGCUGUUUGCCAAUCUUCUUCUGGAGUGUGAGCGUGUAAGACAGUUUUACCGGAAGAAAGUAUCGUGAGGUCGAGAAGGGAUGGCGAUGGCUACUGUGAUGGGGUGGAUACCACGACUGGCAAUUGGCGACGUAGCGAAUGUGGGUCAAUUGGCAGGCAUCAAUGCAGUGCAGCUAAUAGCCAUAAUAGUCCAGGCAGCAAACAAUGCUCGUAUGCACAAAAAGAACUGCAGGCAAUUCGCUCACCACCUGAAGCUGAUCAGCAACCUUUUGGAGCAGCUCAACAUGUCGGACCUCAAGGAUCGACCUGAGACGCGAGAGCCACUGGAGCUUUUCGAAGAAUCGCUCCGGAAAGCUGUUGUUCUUGUGGAAAAUUGUCGUAACAAGAGCUACUUGUAUCUCGUGGCCAUGGGUUGGAUGUAUGUCAACAAGUUUCGCGAUUACCAGGACGAAAUCGACAAGUACCUUCGGCUCAUUCCUCUCAUCUCCCUCGUCGAAGACAGCCGGGUAUGUAUCGUUCUUCCAUCGAACAACGCGAAAGUUUAGGUGUCGGCGUUUUCUUGUUACUCUGAUUCGUUGGGCGCACAUGGCAAACGAAACCAGCACAAGUAUUGCAGGAAAUUCUUAAGGUGGACUGUGUUUUUUAAUUAGACUUCUCAGUCCGACAUGCGAAACAAUGUCGACAAUUCUUACAGUUAGGUCUUGGACUAUGAGGACGAUAGUACAUCUUCACCACAUUGCUCGCCACAUCUGCAAAUUUAGUGAGUGAAUUGACGACACUCCUUUUGGAGGAACGCGAAUAAUUGCUUUUAAUAUCGAAACAAUCAUGACGAAGUGCCACCCCGAACACACAGUUAUUGGAGCGUGGGUUUUGCAGAAGCAUUUGAAAGCCAUAGAAAAGGACAGAAAGCCAUACACACUCGAAGUGGACGAAGUGAAGGUGCAGGAGUCACUUUUGAAACGGGACCGUUCCAAGAGUGAUUCAAACCGGCUGUCUCGCCAGCUUUCGAAGCGCUAUCCAGGUGUGCCCCUCACUGAAGCGCUGAGGAAUGAGAACGAGAUGUUGCGGCAAGAGCUCCAGCGCAUACAGGUUAGGACUUGUCCUAAUCUCAUCUUCCUCCACUAAUAGUUCAUUAAAUUUACAUACGUAUACCGAGUCUGACGCAUCUCGCAUUGGUAAUAAGUCAGCGCUCCUGAACAUCUGUUGUGGCUGAAUGGAUUAGGCAUGUAUGGAACACGAGCACGCGCUUGUGAUCGAGCAGCUCAUUGAGUUCACCGAGAACGAACCUGCAAAAUUGGAGAAGGCAGCCUCCAAAAGAUUUUUUUAAGGAGACAGCAGCGAAGAGAAAAUUCCACUGCAACCUGUUGAUACAAUAUGAUUAUUUGCGGGGCAGCAAAAGCUACUUUUGGUUUUAAUCACCGGAAGCACUCUAAUCGGAACUACAUAUCAUUUUUUAAGAUAAAAUUUUCUGGAGGCAAUCAAGUAGAGAUGACUCAUUUUCUUCAUUAGAAGUCAUUAUUUGUUGCCAGAAUUUUUUGCAAGUUUGAAGACUCGGCGUAGCUGUUUGUGGAGCAGCCAUGUGUGGAGGCUCAGCGGUGUAGAUUAUCAUGUCACAAAGCUUCCGUGGCACACAUUUAUGUUGGCGCUAUGCCUUGCUAACAUGGAAGACUAUGUAUUGUAUCAAGAAUCAAUUCGAGGAAAGUAAAAAAAGUAAGUACUUCCAAUCAACGGGCCCAUUUGAACUUUAUUGCAUUUAUAGAUAACAUUACAAUAAUACCAUUGACUUCAAACAGAGACCUACACUAUGAUGCACUCCUUAGAACGACCAAAAUAAUAAGACAUUGAAAAUUUUAUUACGUAAUCAAGAUUAGUGAACGUAGCAACCAUGAUAUGAAGGAGCAUAACUAUGUGAACAAAACAAUUUGCUUGGCGUCUCUAACUUGCUUCACACUUGAUUGCAAUCACAGUGAACAUCAAAUUUUAAAUGAACACAGUAAUUGUGCAUGGGAUUGGUUUGAGGUCCUUCAAAGUUGUCCAAUUAAGAAUUAACCAUCAAUGAAUGACUAGUAAAUACUAGUAGCCUGUACUUACCAGUUAUCCUUGGUGGAAUGAUCUAAAAUCAAAACCCACCCAUAUUAUACAUGUGAUAAGUGGAAUUCUAGCACAAUGAAAACUCAGAGGCGCAUGACAGUACUCGUGUCCUAUUUAGGGAGUAGAUAGGGUCCAUCUCCUCAGCAGAAGAGUGUUUGGCUACUAACCUUUAACGGGUACUAAAUUCCUUUCGGUUGCAGUUAUCUCCUUCAUCACUCUCUUUUAGAAAACCUUAAUAUUCUUGACGAAGGUGAAGGCAGACCACACUUAAGAAAAUGACCACAACAAGAAUGGAUUAGUAGAAACCUGGGCGAACAGAGGAAAAUGAUGUGCCUCGUCAAUAUAUAAUAGUACAAAAAUAAGAUUCGAAGUGAUUCCCAUUGAUUGACUCGUGCGACUGUACAUCCAGCUGCAAGUUGCGAUAUCUACUUAGAAACUCACAAGUUGGAAAUCUGCACAUAACUAGGUGAAUCAUAUCUUGUGAUUUCAUUCUACAGUAGUAGCUCUUGUAAGGAAAUAAAUGCCUUCUGCAGCUGUCCAGAGAUUAUCUGCGUUCUUCUUCCCCAUGCCGCACACCUGCACAUUAUUGCCACCCGUGUAGAGUGAGCACAACUUGAAAGAAAAACACUAUAUCAUGCUUGGGUACGUGAUAAACACAUCAAAUAUUAUUAUGCUACCAUAAACCACAACCAAUCACACAUACAAGCUUGCAUGAUGAUCCCUAUUUAAACACAAACUUAUACUGCUCAGAAAAUUACAAAAGCUCCAAAGACGUAAGUGUUACAGAAAGUUCCUCCUCGAUAAACAAAAUUGUGAACAGUACCUCUUGUUGACCUGAAACAAUCCGGCUAUAUUUUUUGUCAUGACUGUGAAGGUAACCAUUGGUGUCAACAUGUCGAAGCCGCACUUUCUGAUCUUGCAUCCACACCUUGCCCUUGCCCUCUAUCUCCAGCCUGGCGUACCAAUUGUGACAGGAUUCUAGUCAAACACCGUUUCACGAAGGUAUAAACAGAACUAAUCCCUGAAUGGAAUAUUUAUAUAUGUGCACACAUACACACACACACACACACACAUAUAUAUAUAUAUAUAUAUAUAUAUAUAUAUAUAUGACCAAUAGGAAGAUCGAGCGAGCGAAGACGCACCUCCAAUAAUCGCCAGUAUCAGAUUGAUCAUCUCCUCCGAAAGCGCUAACCUGAAUGCCAAAUAAUGAAUUGUAAUCCAUCAGCAAAACCUUGCAAAAUAAUUGCACAAACCUGCAUCAGAAUGCAACAAGAAACACAAACCCAAGAAUGAUAAUUCUGUCACAUGCGUCACAUUCGCAAAGCUACUCUCUUCACCAAUCUGCACAUACUACUGUCAAAAUACUUAACAAAUGAGCUUCCCAUCAGCAUGAUCCGUCAAUGGAACCACUCUGACAACAAAUAUCCAUCAAAACUGAUAGUUCCGACGAGGCAUUCAUACCUCAAGGUUGCCAGAAAUGGGAGAGGGAUGGAGAUGACUGUGAAGCCAUUUGCGGGUUCGCAUAUGCUGAAGACGAACUAUAGAGCCAUUUGGAAUGACAUCGCCCUGUUCAAUACUCUCGUCGUCUGAAGAGGGUUUUACAGCCUGUUACAUUCUCGAAAAUACGUGCUGGCUUAGAACCAAAACUGUAAUUAUGUCAAUUAAGAGACUGAUAUGUCGAGUGCGGUCAAGUCCAGACACCUUACAAUUGGAUGGAAAUCAGUUAUAAGCAAUUCUAAACAUGGUUAAUACACUCUCCUAGCACGUAAAUAUUACAUAUGCAUAUGCGGUCACCAGUAGAUACCUCCACUACUUAGAAACACCCAUUAUCCAUGCCACAAGUGCACGUCUCCGAACUGUUCUAGACUUAGGAUGACCACAAAAGAAAUUGAACUGCCACUAUAGUACAACUUUCAAAGAGUUGAUCAGACAGCGAAAGAAAAUCGAUGCAUUACGCAAUUGAGAAAGUUUUGACGAGCUAAAAUUUUAGCAUGGCAGCAAACGUGAACAUCUAGCAACAACUACAACAUUAGCCAAUGCUCAAUUGAAUUACGGGUCAUUUUCUUGUCUUGUAGUCUCCAAAAUACAUACUGCGCUCUCAAAACGUUGUUGUGGAAGAAAGAAGCAACAUGUGAGCAAGAGGAUGCAUUGUCACUCACCCAAUAGCUGUUACCGUCUUCAACGCCGGGGAAGGCAGUCACAGAUUGCUGUCCACUGCCAGAACCGUAGGGUACUUCAUGCGAAUGUAACCGAAACUUGGUACGAUCAUGCUGUAGCUUUAUCAUACUUCCAUACGUCACCUGAAAAAUGACACACACAUCCCACCAUAGCCAUCGCACUCGUCAAAGAAGCUAAGGCAUAUCGAAUAAAAACAUCCACUUCUACAUGUAAAAUUGUACUCACACACGCCUUUAUCCACUUCGUCACUGAAAACUUACGUAGGUAAUGAAUCAACAACAGAUUUACCACACCCCCUGUAGCACGCUAAGCGCCCACCUACUUUCGGCGUUAACAAGUAUCUACCAAAGUCGCAAAAUGGAACAGUCAGCAACUGCAGUUUUCAUAUUUCGCAAACAUAUUAACAGGCGAUUUAUGUUCGUCACAAGUUGGCGUGCACAAAAGAAAGUUAUAAGGACUGCAAUCAGGUCAUGCAAAUGGAUAGGUUAUACUCUAGUUUUUAUAAGACCGCCAAAUAACAACGCCCCCUGGAAUUUGACAUCCCCGUGUGUGUUAAUGAACCAGAAUCGGGAAUGCUGAUCGAGUACUGAAAAGUAAUAACUAAAUGCUGCAAGUCAUUCCCUCAGCUGCAGUGAUCAUAAAGCAGCACGUAGUGAAAUGACCAGAUUGGAAUAGAGCAAGACAGUUUCCAUUUCAAUUCCUCGCACCUCUUUACCGUUAGAAGCACCUUCGACGGAUGGAGAAAACGAGGGAUGAAGAAGAGCCAGCAAUACAACUAAUGCAAGGGAUAUCAGCGCCAUAGCCACGCACAGUUGAAGAAACCCCGCACUCUGGAAGCACCCACUCUCCGAUUUCGAUGACCUUGGCCCAGUGUUGUUCCCGUACCGCCGAGAUGCCCUUGCUUCCGCCAACUUCUUCAGCAAAAUUUCAUUCUCAACAUCAGAAUUACGUGCUCCUAUAGUGCCGCCAGUGGUUCGAAAAUGAAGGCCGGCUGGAUUUUUUGAUGACACUUCCGGAGGCAAUGCACUCCGGGGCGAUGAAGGGGCCAGUUCUGUAGCCCUUUUAGCGGCUGUAGAAGACAGUUCACCGUCAGAAGUCUGCAACGCAAUCCCGGCAAGGUUAUUAGACUGUUCGAACGCACAAAAUUAGGUCUAGAGCCAUAAGUAAGCAUUUCGGGUAAGAAAGUGGGCAGUUGUUGGGUUUGCCGUGAACGACGAACAGAGAGACAUUACAGAUGUUGAUUGAUGUUGAGCACAACGUCCGUAGAAGAGUAAGUUCUCAUUACGUUCCUGAAGCUUGGGGACAUGCAAAACAGAAUCACUUCAACGACAUCAAAAAGCACCGUAUCCGAAAAACCUAGAAAGUUACACAGUAAUCAUCUCACCAUCGCCACUUCAUGCCCAAAACCGACCAACGCAACUCAAACCCUACAGAUCGCGAGCUGCAGGAUGGACCCGCACCUUCACCAAAUUCUCCAACCCUAGACCCGAAUAGGCUACCGACCCACUUCCCUGCACUACAACCUAACGCCCCAAAUCUUCCACAACCCAAUUUAUUGACAGACAACACCAACCCACUCACCAAGAUAGUUCAAUGAAUCCUCCCUUGAAGCCCCUCGAAACUACUACUUCGGUUUUCAAGCCUGAUAUUACCAACUCAGUCUGUCGGCAAUCUACGAUAUACAAUUGUUUCAUGGUCAACGGCAGCUCAGUCAAACCCUUCAACAUUUACAAUUCAAAAGCUCUUUCUAGAAGCUGCCAUGGCAAUGGCCCAGCCUCGUUUAUCACGCAGCCCCCUACCAACUCGUAAUAUGACUGCUCCUAUUGAGAAUUUUACGAACGAUUCGCUUUAUAGACACGCAUGGAAGAAAGCUGGUCAUGUGAACUACUCGCAAUUCCAAAGGGCUUUGGUUAUCUCCAGUGUUCAGGGGUAGGCUUCAUAUGGAUGACGAAGCAGACACUGAAGGUUGAUUGGGGGCCUGCUUAAUGAACAAUUUGGUAUGAAAUUUGCGCGCAAUCAGGUUAAAAUCCAGAGCAUGCCAAUUGGAGGAGAUUUUGAUGAGGCUGUUAGUUGAGGCGACAUUGAUUUUUACGUUCAAGUGUGGGAAAGGAUUGAUGGAGAGAUUCUUGGAGAAGGAAGAAAUGGUAGUAGAAGGACUUGAGUCGAACAGGAGACCACGGUAGCCUAUCACAGGCGUCAGGAUUACGUGCAAAUUUCAAAACAAAUUGUGGUUUAUGCAACAACCAGCCAAACGAAGGAUUGCUCACAUUCAAGGAAUCGAAUCAAUACCUCAAACUUUGGUUACAGGCCUUACAUGGGAUUGCAGAAGGGCAAGAUUGUUCUAUUUUCGCUCAUUAAAAUGCUCCAUUACGAGGUGGAUGUAAUGAACAUGCACAGAACACUGCCAGUUCUUACCCUUUCAAGACCGCCUGUGAGUGAUGUUCGUCAAGAUGAGAAUCAUCUUCAAUACUAUUUAAUCGAUAGAUGCUUUUAAAUUCGCAAUGACAUGUUUCGCCGGGGAGUUGAUGUUUUUUCCACUGACAUCCUCGUCAGAUGAGAAAGCUUCAGAAGUAAUAGAAGACUACCAUUCCCUUAAACAGGUCACAGCAUUGAGCCUCUUGACUGGAAUCUUGUUAACCUUCAAGCCCAACUGCACUUCCAUCUUCCUCGAAGUUCACACUAUCACUGGGCAGUAUCAAGUAUGCCCAUGAAGCAAGCGACUAUGCCAUCGAAAAUUUCAAAGCAUCAAUGAGACUGACUUGAACUCACAGCACAUCUUAAGAGCAAGAUCAGAAUGGCUUUCAAACGCCUUGGAGACAUUGUUUAUAUUUUGAUUUAGCCUUUGUCCUGUCUCUCCGAGUAGAAGUUACGUUUGCCUCAACAGGUCUAUACAAAUGGUAGAGAGGCAUCCGCAAGUAUCGAAGUCUUCUGAGGUCUUUGCAUUGCCUCAGGAAUUCAUGGUAGCUUUCAUUAGGCUGCUGCACCAUUUACUUUUAUUUAGGAGUCGGGGGUGUUUUUCAGGUUACACAACAAAAGAUCAUACUGCUAAACGAGUUCCAUUGUAAUCUGCCAUGAUGUUGUAUUAGAAAGAGACACUAGGAGCACACAUUGAGCGCAAGAAUAUGUGUAUGUGCAGAUAUAUAUAUUCGUACACAGAACGACCGAAUAUCUCGAGUAGGAGACUUUCCAAGGAGAAACAACCUCGGCUAACUUCGAAGGCUCGCAAUUCUUAACAAUGACACAGCUGUUUAGUAUCAGUGUUACAUCUUUCUGGCAGUAUCAAUGAAUUGCUCGUGUAGCAAAAUAUCAAAAGCCCAAUUUAGCUUCAGACAAGAGUAUCAAUCCAAUCAAGACAUACAAAAAAAACACCAAAGAAUGUACGUGCACCGCACUUACGGAUCAUAAAACUAUUUCAGGAAAAGAAUCGUCCAUUAGGUGAGGAGGCUCACCAGGAAGUCACCGUGUCCACGCAACGGUACCGAGAAGGGGACGCACAAGCACAGGAUAAACGCCUCUGCAUCCACCACAGAAAGUAGGGAAUGGGUCCUGCAGUACUGAGCAAGUCACAGUUAGGAAGACAACAAACACAACCAAUCUCAGGACGUCUGCACAGGAAGAAUUGGCGGGGCAUGGCAAAAGGGGAAACCAAUAUACAAUCUGCUGAGGAGCAUCUCCUGUAAUUCAGGCUGGAUCUCAAUUAGACUCUCAGAACAGACCCAAAGCAAAGCAACCUACUCUACAUGUGCUGCACUCACGAACACCAUGCGUGCGUCGUUGCUAUCAUCCAAAUCCAUCGGACACUCAUGAAUAACACCACAAUUGUCGACUGCGAUAAGCUUCAUCUCCGUAUCAAUAACAGGCUUCGCACGUAGUACAGCAGUUCAGCCAUAUAGAAAGCGAAGAGCAGACCAUUUCAAAGCACAUGUAUCAGACAUCGAGUAAUCACCAUAGAUAUGAGCAGUUGCUGUUUCCCAUCGACCAAGUUUCAUAAAUGAUCUCACAUCACCCCCCCCCUCCUCAAUAAAUAGCCAUCUGCACCACUCCAACUCCACCACUGCAGCUCUCCAUUAAUCAUCCCCAUGUCAUAAACCACCACGCUACACCUGCAAUUUCCAGCUCGUGUAACCUUGCCUAAAACAACCCCUCCACACAUGCCAUCUUGAAAAGCGCAAUCCUCGCAAGCAACCAACCACGUUCACGGUUUGUGAUGUCACGCCUCGCCACCCCUUGCAAGCUGACGAUGAAAGCUAGUGUGCGCUGCGCGCGUGAAGGAGAGUAACACCAUGUGACACUGAGACGCACGAUUAGACGCGGCAUUAACUCGGCUCCAUAUGAGAGACAAGGCGCAUUGAAUCCACCAGUACACAACUGAUCCGUCGGCAGGGUCGCAGGGGCUGCACAAUGGACGGCAGCAAAUGGAAGCCCUUACCACGACACCCUCCAUCCUGUCCCCCCAUGAAGCUUCAAUGCCGCGCACCGAGACCCUCGCACACAGCUAUUGGCUUCGGUAUGCCACCACCCCUUGCACCGAUCUCACCGACACCGCAUCAUCUUCAUCCAACGACACCGCAAAGGUCACACCUUUAGGGGAAACAACCCCUGUAACUUUCUAUGGGGAUGCAUCCUAAUUGGAUGUCUCGCCCAUAAAUAAGAAGAUCCUGCAAUAAAACGAGACAUGUGUGUGUACAAGCUGCUCUUUCAGAUCUCGAGGUUGCCGAGGAGAAUCGACGCAAACCAUCACUCAAGUUUGAGCUCUUCAUUCCUGCACUGAUGGUCCAAACUUCAAAUAGAACACAAUCACGAGAUUAAUUCUGUGUUCUUAAGAGAAUGUUCUUUGAAACUUGCAUGGCGCUGACUAGAUCAUGUGUGGAAAUCCAACAGCAAUGCAGGUUUUUAGGGCUGGGUUUUGGAGUUCAGGUGUAGCAUUGGCAUUUAUUUUGAUGAAAAGAUAUGUGAGGAAAGGGAUUUUUGCGAAAGUGAAAAAAAUAUAAACAAAAUGGUAACGUGGAUUUUGAAAUAUAUUGUUGGAGGGUCGCACAGUUGUAGGCAAUUGUUUUUUAUUAGUAUUUAUUUUUUACGUAUCUUGGAAUUGGAAGUUGUGAAUGGAUAGAGCUCUAGUAUGACAUUUUUAUUGGCUUUAGAAUCAUUGGAAACGUUCGAAUGUUUACUUUUAUUACAUUAUACUCUACUGUAUGAAAAAAAAUGUGUACUAUGCAUAAUUUGAUUCUCACUUUUUAUAUUUUCUUUUCAUGUAGUGCUUUGGGACAUGGAAAUCACCUUCAAUGUUCUUGCUUUGAUACAGAAAAACAGAACAGAAGUUAAAGCAAUUGUUUGUUGUACACUAGAAUCAACUAUACUCUUAAAAGUAAACACCACCGUACCAUCUUCAAAUACAUAACAUUCUUAUUUUAUGAAACAAGACAAACAAAUAUCUAAAAGCUGACGAAAGCCCGAAACAUUCAAGUAUACAGAAUUUAGAAGAGGGUCGAUAGCAUAAUAAUCAACUACUUGACUCCCGCAGAAGAUAAAGGGUAUUGAAUGGUGUGAACAGUUAGGACAUACUGACACAAAACCCUAAUUCUUAAAGAGACAGGACUAACGAAAACAAAAAAAGGUGGGUCAUCUUGCAGCAGAGAAGGAGAGUAGAGGAUACCAGUUCGCUCUCAUUAAAAAUAUAAUAAAAAUCCCAUUUAUUGAUACAUUCCUUGUUGACCACUUCUUUCCAAAGACUUCGCAAUGUCCAUGAAGAAAUUAGGUCAUACACUGUUUGCAAGGGACAAGUAAAACUCUACCAUAAACUGGGUAUGUGAGUUUACCACAAACUGGAUGUGACAGAAUCCUCCUCCCGCUGCAAAGGGGGCACCAAGUGUCAUAUCAAAGCGCCACAAACCACAAGCUGGGAUUGCUUUACCUUUUUUGAAAAGAAAAAACUAUCCUUUAAGGGUUUGUGUGGAUUGGGGUUGUCUUCGUCCCCACCAUCACAGAGCCAGGCAAAAGGUUAUUUUGAAUUGUCCUUCGAGCAGAAGCUUUUUUAUCAGGAUAUGGGGUGGUUGCAAAAUGGGCAAAAAAAAGAGAGCAACAGAAGAGAGAGCUUUCAUCAGUAACCAUUUGUACUCACUACCGACAAGCGGCUUGGGGACUACCACGUUCAUCCAACAAGUUCCCCACGUUCGCUCCAACUUUCAUCCACAUAUCAUCCAAAGGAUGAGUCCCAUAUUCUUGAACAAACAUCCCUCUAACCCCGAAUAAUGGAAUUGACUUUAUGUGCAAACCCUAAUUUUGACAAUGGGGAACGGAUAUCAUCCAAAUUGGGUAUCUUAAUAUGUCAGUUCAUCUAGAUGAUAAAUCUAGGACUUUCGCUUCCGUUCAUCCUCCCCCUCUUUGUGGUUGGUGCUGUCCGUCCUCCCUUUUACCUUCUGGAAUCCGAUCUCCUAAAAAAAUGGAUGUGGACAUGUAAUGGGCCAAAAUGGAAUGGAACCCCUAGAAAAAGAUAAAAAUAAAAAUAAAAUAAAUAAAGGUGGGACCCAGGUUCAUAAAGUAAUGUACUUCUUCUCACUAUUACACCUCCACAAGGGCAUGACGGGGAUCACGGAACCUUCCGAGCUUUUCUCAGACGGAUGAAUGAAUGAUAACACGAUAUGAAUGAUAUUAGUGGAUGAACAAACGUAUAUUUGAAUAUAUAGAUGAACUAAUGAAUGAAUGAUUCCUCCGUCCCCCCCUUCCAGAACGCUGUUCCGUGUAACGAGGAAGAGAAUCAGAACGACACGUGCACUAAGGAAGGGUGACGGGUCCCUCCGCGGUGACAAGUUCCAUCCUUAAUACCAAAACGAGGUCCUAAAACCGAGCCUAAGCUUCUUCUUCUUCUACCAUGCGCCGUUGGGCAGAGAGAGAGAGAGAGAGCGAAAGAAAGCAAUCGUCGUCGACAUCGACGAAAGCCCACAGAUGAUGAUGAUACAAGCAAGCAAGCGCCCGCCAAUCGAAUCUUACAGCAGCAAUCUCUUACCAUUAAGUUCCAUCCGUAUUUAUGCGGUGAAGAGUGGCGUAUUUAGUAUGAGUAAUCAAUGAGGUGGAGCGAGGUCCGAUUGGAGGGGGAGGGAUGAAGUCGAACGAAGGAGGAGGAGACGAAGAAGAAAGUAGAAAGACGAAGUAAACUAGGGGGCGGAGGUGCCACCACAAGCACGCAGCAAGCACACAGGCCCAGAUCCAGAAGAAGCUGAGCACCACCAUCGGGCAACGCGUCAGAUACUUACCAGGAAUAGGAUAUCGCAGAAUGGAUGAAGAAGAAGCACCAAAUGGGGGGCUUGUGGUGGGUCGCACCCGAAGCUUCCAAUCCUAAACAACCGAACUGGGACCCUGUCCCAUGCGAGGCAGCAGCUGCAACGAAAAUUAUCGCCGAUAAUGUCAAUAUGCACCAUGAAGUGAUAUAUUUGGCUUGCCUCAUCCCAAUCACUGGCUACUUUGGUUUGCGCUGUGCAAAAAGUGGCACCACUUUUUAUAUUUCAAAUCUCCGUAUGCUCAUGGCAUUUCCUGUAUGAGCGGCGCUAUCCGGGGAUUACUGGAGAGUGCAGUGGACCUCUUCUUCUUCAUCAUCUUCUGCUUGAGCCUGAAUGGAUCUCCCUCGUCAUUCGACUGGGGAGAAUCGUGCUAAUAGUGAGCGGCAGACAUGGGAAACGCGGGGUGGUGAAAACCCGAGCUGUGACUGCAGGUGGCGCUAGAGUAAUUGAAGUGAAUUGCGACUCAAGUGAUGGUUGAGGUGAAUGUUCUGGGUGAGUGGACACCGCGCAGCUGCAGUCGGGGCAGUGUUGACCUUGGUUACUACUGUGUUCGCAGACAGCACCAGAAGUGAUGGAUCCUGGUGUGGACCAGCAUUCAGUGGGAGGGAGUUUUGGCUUCCCAUUCACCAUCGUCGAUCCCACAAGACCGCAGUGAAAAAGUACUAGACAGAUGAUCGAUCGAUCUACCCCGUCACUGUGUGGAAUCGAUUUCCCCAACAGUGAAAGAUUUCUUAUUCAAUUCCUGCUUUUUCGAGUUCCCUGCAGUUUUCCCCACUCCAACUUCGUCAUCGGCCGCCCCCUUAAUAGAGCGUGGGACCUCUUGCUUUUCUCGAAAGACGCGUUUCAUCCACCUGUCGUGAGAGGAGGCAUGAUGGCUGAGAGUCUAGGUAGAAUCUUUCGAGGAUGAAGAGAGGCGGGCCACACCACCUGGCGAUUCCAGCACCAGUGACCUGCGGCACUGCGGCGCAGCCAUGGGAGAUGAAAUCGAUGCAUUUCCCCGUUUUGUUUUUUCCCUCUUGUCGCGGCGGAACCCAUUUUCCCAGGACAUGGAGCUUCGAAGCUACUUCAAAUUUAGUGUGGAUCAAGCACGGAACAACAUUUUCGCUUUCUCGCUCUCACAACUUCUUCUUCUCCAUCUUCUUCCUCCGCGAUGGCUCGACCGAUCCAUGGCUUGCGAAAACGUGCACUGACAUCGAAUUCGUCUUGGGCGUUGCGAAAACCCUAAAACUGGUGUCUUGCAAACCCAUGUAAUCGAUUGGAUCCAUAACAAAAUUGGGCUUGAUGAGGAUUGUCGUAGACACUAACACGGAUAUAUUUAUACUUAAAAGCAGUGGUUUUUUACGACACUGAUAUUACCAUGAAAAGUUCAGCUCAUUUUAAAAUGAUUUCUGCAAUUACUAGAUGUUGAUGGAUUUUUUAGCAACAGCUUUUCAUUGCUUUGUAAAAAAACAAUGUUUAUUUAUUUAUUUAUUAAGAUGCAUUUCUGUGGUUGAGCAUGCUUGAAAUCAUGAAAGUCUAAAAGAGAAGUGCAAAUAAAUAAACAAACAAACAAAGAUAAAUAUGGCACAAUUAUUGUAUGUACAAGUUUCAAUACCAUUCAUUUUGUUUUGUUUUCUUUUUCUUUCUACAUAAAUGGUUGUACAGGUUGUACACUUGUUGUUGAAUAAUUUCAAAAUGGUUCAUUUUCUUAUUAUUUUUUUAAAAAAUAAAACAAAAUGUUUAGAUCCUACAAAAGACAGCAUGAACAAUAAUGCAAGAAUGCAAUAAUUUGACUCAUUAAAUCAUGACAUUCAAUUGCAAUCUAAUACAGCAAAAAGUAUUAUAUUUAGUACAUUCAAAGGUAAAUCACACAAAAUGAUUGUAACAAAUUAAAAACACAUAUAUGGACAUAUAUCUUGAAAACAAUUUAAAUUAUGAUAACCAUUAUAUAUGGUACAAUUUUUUGAUUAGUUGAAAGCAACUACUUAAAAAUCAUUUUGUAAGGAAGGUAUGCAACCAUUCAUAUUUAUUUCGAAUUAUAAAUAAAUUUAAAAACAAAUAAAUAAAUAACAUCCAACAUGUUUUUAUUUUUGUUGUAACAAACUUAUUAAAUAUAUGAACACUGAAUGAAUGUUUAAGAACAUGUAAUUUAUUGGGUUGGACAUGAAUAACGCAGAAUAAUAAUGAUAUUUCAAAUUCUACUUCAUGAUAUCUAUUUGAUGGAUAGCAUAAAAAAAUAAUAAACUAAACGAUAUACAUACCCAUAUCUUUUCCAUUUCAAGAGAUUGGGUAUCAUAUACACAUUUGCCAGACAUAGCUUAAUGUAAUUUCAAAUACAGGAAAUGGACACACAAAUACUCUAUUGAACUUUUGAAACAUUUUAAGGCCACACAUGUACAGAUCACUUGCAGAUAAAAAUUAACAAAUUUUUAUAAUCGUAAAUUAAAAUACAGAAUUACACUAAUGGAUUUUAAUUGUAAAUAAAUUGUCUUAUUAACAUCAAAAUCAUUUUUUAUAAAAUAAAACAUUUACAAAAUCACAACAUAACAUUUCAUUCUUUUGAAUAUUAUGUAACAUGUUAAUUAAAUCAUUAUAACACAAACUCAUUGAUGAGUUAACUUGAAUGAAAAAACAAACUAAUCUCACAUGUUUUCAUAUUAUUCAAAUAAGGUUACUUUUGAAUAAAGUUAUUUUCAUUUGUAACUUUAUAAACUACAUAACAUAAACAUUCUCACAACGGUAAAGUAGUAUUAAAUGUAUUUUUUGUUACUAAAAUACAUAUACAUAUAUAUGCAUGAUUCAAAUGAAAAUUGCAAAUAUAUAUAUAUAUAUAUAUAUAUAUAUAUAUACUGUACUUUAAUUGGAACUGGCAGUAAAUUCCAAUGUAGCUCAAUUCAUUGAAUCAAAAAAGUGCUUCAAAAGGUGUAAAUAAAAAUAUAAACAGUCUAAUUAUAAUUAAUUGUAUGUUACUUCUAUUAGUCAUAAUAAGUUCACUUCAAGCCUUUGACGAAUUAAAAACAAAAUUGUUUACAUUUUAUAAAUUUAUUAAGAGUAGAGCUAAAUAUUUAUGUAUGUUCCAUACCCUAAACUUAUGUUUCUAUUUGAUUGUUUUUGUACGUACUCACACAUUAAAUUACUAAUUAUAAAUGAAGAGAUACUUUAUGUUGAUCAAUGAAAGUAAAAAAAAAAAAAAAAAAAAAAAAUUAAAUCACCUUUUAUUGUUUUCACAUAAAAACUAGAAUUGCAUUUUGUAAAUAUUAAGAAUUCAUAAAAGAAACAAGAAAAAUAUUAAUUCAAAUUUUGAGAAUUAUGAGUCCGUAAAGAUUUUUUUCAUAAUUAUAAAAUUGGUUUGGGGCUAUUUUACAAUUACUUGAUUAUUUUUGUGAUUAUAACUGUUUUAUGAUUAUGAACUUUUGUUAUUGUGCAAAAAAUAACAAAAAAACAUUCUAAUUGAAAGCAUGUGUUAUAUUACAUAUUAUAUGGAAUAAUACACAAAAAAUAAAAAAUCAAAUAUAGAUUACUUGUCAAUUUACUUGUAAUUAUAAAGAUCCAAUAUAAGUUUUACUUCACAAAUAUUAGUUGUAUACGACUAGAUAUUUUGAUAUAUAUAAAAAAAUACACAUUAUUUUUAUAUUAUAGAAGAAAAAUGAAUACAAAUAAAUAUGUGAAUAUAUAACAUUGAUACUAUUAUGCAUUGUUUUUUAAGAUUUUGGAAUAAAUCUUUAUGGAUUUAUUAAUAGUUUUAUGAAAUUGAAAAAAGAGUUUAUGAUACAUUCUCAAAAUUCAAUACUAAAUAUUUGAUUAAAUAAUUUUUGUGAAUGAUUUUUAUUUACAUAUAAACCAAGAUUUGUAUAUUUAAUACAAUGUACUUUAUCAAUAUAAAAAACUCGAUUUUGCACAAAAUAAAAUAAAAUACUUUUGCAUUGAAUUAUGAUAUUAAUUUCUUAAUAGCUUUUCUAAUAACCUCCUAAACUAUAAAUAUUAUGGAUAUAUACAUUUACAUAUAUGUAGACAUAAAUUAUUAUAAAUUUAAAAGAAUAAAGAAAAGAAAGUAUGGCAAAUAUAUUAUAACUUUUGACAUACUUUACUGUUUAUUGAAACGCGUUUCUCAUUUUAAACAUGUAUUAAGCAUGUCAAUUAUUUGGUUAGAAAAUGCUUUGCUUGGGAGUCUAGAAUAAUUUAGAUAAAUUUUAUUUUUAAUGAUAUUUAGGUAAUUUUAUGAAAAUAAACAUUACAAAAUAUGGUUCUAUGAAAGUCUGAUGAGAUCAUAUUUUCUUUAAAAGCUUCAUCAUAUUACACUUUAAAGCAAAUGAUUUAGUUUGAUUUCAUAAACAACAUAGAAAAUAUCUAUUGGUUAUUUUUAUUUAAUUAUCUAAAAUCUUCAACACAUUAUAAAAAAAUGAAUAAGAAUAAAAUUAUCUAAAUAUUAAAUGGUGUAGUUAAUUGGUCUGUUCAAAUAUCUUUUAACUGCUUAUUACUUUAACUUUCUAUUGAGCAUACUAUUUGUUUUUCAAUAAAUUUACUUGAAAGUUGAGGAGAUUAUGCAGAUUUUCAACCAUUGGUGUCUUGGCAUAGCAACUUGGCUACAUUGUUACAUUUAAAUAUUUUGAUCCUUUCAUAUUACUAUACAGUACAAAUUCUAUCAAAUUUGAGACUUCAAAAUAUUCCAAAAGAUUUAAGUAGAAACAUGCCUGAAUCCGAGAAUUUUAUCCUUUUAAAGAUUUUAAAAAAGUCUUAAAAAUUCUAAAUUCAAUUGUACCUUUGUUUAAGUAUUUCUUUGGCUAUAAAUAUUUAAGAAAAAAAAAAAAAAAAAAAACUAAUUGAGAAAAAACCACGAGUCAAGUUGCAUUAUUUGUACAAUAAUAUAUGACAAACAGAUACUUUAAGUAUUUGGAUUUUCUUGUAUGCAAUUCAAAUGUGAAUUUUUAUUUUUAACCAUAAUACUCUCUGUGAUAAUUCUUGUUGGUAAUAAUAAAAUUUAAAAUUGAAAUGGAAAACAAAUCAGAUAUGAAAAAAUUAUCAUUAACCAGGUGUUCGUUUCAUGAACUGUUCCUAAUCGUGCAUACAGUAAAGUGCAAUAUUAGCAGAUUUAAAAUCUUGUAGCCAAGUAUUACUCUCAGAUUGUAAUUAAGCCUAAAUUAAGGAAAAUACUUAUUAAUUUUGUAUUAUGCAGAUACAGUGAUUAUUACAUUUUUACAAUGAAAAUUUCAAAGUACUGCAUAGUGAUUGAUUUCCUGAUUUAUAAUUUUGAUGAUAUUGAGAAUGAACAAAAUGAAGUACAUUCUCAUCCUCUUAAACUUUCUUCUCUCUCUAUACAUGUAAGAAAUCUGAAUUAAUUCAUGAUUCAAUAAUUAAACUUCGCAGUUUCUGAGCUAAUUUAUAAAAAAAAAUUACUAUACCACUUUUGAUUUUAUUCAGUAUAAAACAAGUUGAGUUACUUAUAAUUUGAUUGGUCAAACCACGAAAUUUGAUAGUUAUUUUGUUCAAAAUCUUUUAUUUUUUAGUAAAGAAUACUUAAUAUUAAAUGAUAAUGUUAUUACGUUCCAAGUUAUUACAAGAUUUUAUGUCUUAAUUUUGAAAAAUCAAUCUUAUCAAAAUAAUUCAUAUACUGUAAAAAGUUGUAAAUAAAAUAAUUGAGUACUUUUCUUCAAUUUAAAUAUUUUCUUGUUAGCUCUAGUUAUUGACAUGUAUUAACAUGUUUAUAUAUAGAUAGACAAGUUGUAGUGUAUACUUCUAUUCAUUUUAAAAAAUACACUAUAAAUGUUAAUCUUUUAAUAAUCUAUUUUUAAAUUUAAUUUAGUAGGCAAUUUUAUUAAAAAAAUAUAAUCUAUUUUUCAUAUUUUAUAUUCCAUAUAAAAUAUUAAUAGUAUUAUAAAUAAAUAAAUGAUGAAAAUACUUUAAUUAACAUAUAUAUAUAUAUAUAUAUAUAUACAUAUUGUAUAUGUAUCAAUUUAUUAUUAUUUUUAAUCUUGUUAGGCAAAAUAUUGUGAAUUAGAGUCUACAGUGUAAAAUGUUAUCACGAUGAAACUAUUCUAAAGAUUAUCAAUCAUUAAACAUUCAAUAUCUUGUCUAAAAAAAAAAGAUCCUUGUGUUGUUAAGUAAUAUACUUUUAUACUUUCACAAAUCUCAAAUAUAAACUUAAUUUAUCUUAGAUUAUAAUAAAGAUCUGAAAUUGGAAUGGAAUUCAUGUUAUACAAUUACAUCCACACGUGUCUAUUAUUGUAUUGCAAUUUAAUAUGCAAUUUGUGUAGGAUUUGACAGUUAUUAAAUAUAUCUAUAUAUUGAUUUAAUUAUAUUAUAGGAUAAUCAAUCUCUAGGUCACAAUUUCCCCAUCACUUUCUCAUUGAGUAACAUUUGAUUAUCUUGAUUCAAAUAAAUAGUAAAAAAAAAACAAAAAACAAAAUAGAAACCUGGAUAGCAAAACCUACUCUGAUUUUAAGGUCGUUAUUCACGCAUAGGAAUCUCUAAACAUUAAAUCAAAAUUCCAAUUUCCUCCUUUAACUCCCCUAUAAGAAAAGUGCGAAUAUUAAGAGAUCGGACAAGAUCCAGAAGCGGAAAACUUUCUUAUUUAAAAGAAAAAAAAGAAAAAAGAAAAUCAAACAAAAACCAAGAAUUUGAAUAAGAAGUCAUGUAUUGUAUUAUCCCAGAAGUUAUAUACUUUCAAAAGGAAGAAAAAUGGGCCUUUCACACCCAAUGAAUGAAUGAAUGAAUGAAUGAAUGAACGAACGGGGCCAAGGGGAGGAAAAAUAAUUCCAACAACUCCCCUCCUUAUCUUUUUACUUUCUUGUAGGCGAAAAAGGAAAAAGGAAGGCUAGGGAAGGAAGGAAGGUGCAGGGAAGGAGGGCGGGAGCCGAGAAUAAUGGACCAGUGAAGACUUUUAGGAACACACAGCGAGACGGUCAUGGGUGCACUCCCCCACUCAUUGCACUUCGUAUGGCAGGACAUUGCCACCUGUAACCGUGCCUCGCCCCUGGUCCAUACGAAACCGCGUCGAUUACGAACGAACGAACGAACGAACGAACGAGGAGGGACGAACGAGGGAGGCAAUCACCUCCAGCGAAUUCACCUCCAGCGAAUUCUUAGAACAUAUCCCCGCCUCUUGCCUGCCUGUCCGCUUCUGCUCCUGAACCAUGGGGUUUCAACCCCGUAUCCUUCGCCACGUCGUGCUCGCCCAACGCUGGACCGCGCGGUUGGGGAAACCGACUGCGCGGCCCCCGGUAAGGUGUUUCCCCGCCCCCCCGAGCGCGCCUGGUCGAGAUCACGCGCGGGGUUCGCAUCCCCCUCCACCGCCCCCGCCCGUUUUUCAGAUUAGCCUUGGGCUGCCCCGUUUUUUUUUUUUUGCCCUGGUUUACCCCCCCCCCCCCCCCGCGACCCUUUACGGAGUGAGUGAGUGCCUAUGUCAGAGUGCGCCUUCCUUCCUGCUCUUCGUCUUUGCUUUUUCGUCCCGUUUUCAACGUUUGGGUACCCGAAUUGCGACUCCCUUGCCCCCUCGGUCUUGUCAUUCCUGACCACAGUUUCCAGUGAAUCGUGGAGGGGGGGGGGAGGGGGUGAUUUUUGUGGAGCGAUGACCCUGGUGCCAUGACUUGGACUUGGAUGAGCCCAACGAAUGCAUUGAUUGUGGAUUAGUGGCAGAAGAACUGGGUUGAUAUUGCUGCUUUCCUUGCUCGAUGUCUUGCUAGGAAGAGUUUUGGUCGCUGGUGCGUGGUGAGGAGCUCUGUAGGACGUUUCAACUUCGGUUUUGAAUGUGCGCUGGAGCGCGGGUUAAGAGACGCUUGAAGAGCAAACCCUGUCUUGGGGUGAGAGGAGAGAUGGUUAGAUCGACGCCAGGGUUUGAUUGGAGGUGCAGGGAACGAGAGUAGGGAGGCGGGUGGAGUGACCGGGGAAGAACAAGCCCGUUGGAGCGGAGAUGGUGCGAGUGUGGGAGAUAGAUCAUGUGGAUGCAGAGUGCACUACGAUGCAGGGCAGGAUAUGGGCAUGGACAAAAGUAGGUGCCACUGAGUUGUAGAGGUGCUGGCUGAGUGAGGAGGUUAGAAAAUACUGGUGUUUGGAGAGGGAAGACUGUAUGCAGCUUGGUGAGUUGGCGUCCCAACUUGAUGGUUGACAAACGGAGAAACGGAGGAUUCUUCUUGUUUUCACAGGUGAGCACUUCUGUCUUCCGGACUUUUCCACCUUUCUAGAGCAUUGAGCCACAGCUUUCUGGCAAAGGUUGUUCGCAGACGCUACAUUCGAAAGAGUGGCUGUAUAACAGUAUUUACCCGAAGAGGUGACACCCAUACCCUAUUUGAAUCGGACGUCGACGACCUCCCAGCACUCGUGCAGGCGGGGACUGCCUUUCAAUGCCUUCCACAGCCUGGGUUGUCACUUCUAGGUGUAGUCCCCAAUCUGUUGAAGUUUGCUUUCGUGGCUUAAUAGUUACCUUGCCAGCAUCCUCUCGCAAGGUCUUGUUGACAGCAACUUGACAGGUUCUUCUGUCCCCACCCUGCACGUGAAAGAUGCCGCCCGCCGAUUCGCCCAAAAUUUGUUGGACUUCCUCUCCUUGUGAUGCGCUGGCACUGUCAGUGCAUCCUGGUUUGGAAAUAGUGCCUCGGGUGAAAGACAAAAAAUGUUGAAAUUGUUCCGCCGUUAUUCUCCAGCAUGGCCCUCGGUGAGUAACCUAUUGAUAUGCAUGCAGGGAAGGAGGGUGCGUCGCUUCAAAAGAAUAACUCGGGAAGGUCACUGUUGGUCGAUGUUUGGUUGGGUAGUUUGGAAACCCCAGUGUACGUGUGAAGAAGAAAACAUUCCAGAUUGGCCGCGCCUUGUGCAGCAUGUAGAAAGCGGGUCCAAUGUCUGUGCGGGGGCGCUUUGUUGCGUAGGAUUAACGUGGUUGGAGAGGGCAGAUGUAUAGUCCUGGUAGGGGUGAUGCCCGUGCAACUGCGCUGCCCAAUGCUCGCGACUCAUCGACUUCCAUGCCUAUCGAUCACGCAUCAGCGUGGCACAGAGAGCCUUACAACCGGGACGCGAGGUUAGAUAGAGGUGACAGGGAGAGGAUUAUCGGAGGGAAGAGGGAGUGGAAUUCGGACAGAGCUUCGUUUGGAGCGCCUUAUCCCAGAGCCUUCGGUGGGCUGCACCCUGUGAACGGGAGCCUUGGACCUCCGAACAAGCGUCGGCUGAACGGUGAGUGGAAGCGAUUAGGCACAUGAAAACUUUGGUCGUACGGGAAUGGGUGUGUCCCUUUGACCUGUUGGCUCGCGCAGGUAGCAGUGUUGGACUAGAUCGGGUGUGCGAAGAAAGGGGUGUUGAUUUGUAUUCGGAUGGUUGGGUUGUCCUUUGUUGCAGGGCGACACACCGGGUUUCACAACGAGGGCGGGCGGUAUGUGUCACCAGGACAUCGAGGGGAGCCGCCGUUCGGGUCCGUGGGCCCUGUGGAGAACGGGUUAGGACGGAAGUUUGACAGAGAGUCGUUCUAUCCAGGAUCAGGAUGUCCUGUCGGGGGUUCGGGGUUCGGCAACGGUGUGGGCGUGGACCAGCGUGCGAAGGAAUUGGAGGAGAGGCACAAGAAGGAACCUUUUCUGCUGUUGAGAGACGGCAGGGACGGCGGGAGCUGUGGCGGAAUCGAGCAUGGCGUGCGUUCGUUUCCUUCUCAAGCGGUGUGUGAGGCAGAGAAGAGUUGUUGGGAGAGGGAGAGAUCGAAAGGAGCGGUGGGUAAUGGUUGGGAGUCGUCGCAGAAAUUGCAGCGAGAUCUUCGUGAGAGGGUGGGCGGAAAGGCGGAGGGUUACAGCAGAAGGGAGGGGAAGUUGUCCCAGCACGACGGAGGAAGGGAGUGGUCGCAGGCGGACAAGGAGUUGGAGGGGCGUAGAGUGGACGGGUACGGGAGUAGCAGUCGGGACGGUUUGACGGGUGACGGCGUGGGUGGAAUCAAGGAGGCAGUGGGUGGGUGUGAGUGGAGGCGGAAGGAGAGGUCGAGUUCCGUGAGUGCAUCCCGAAGCGGUAGUUAUGUUGCAAGUAGCGGGACCGCGAAGGGGCCCGUGGGGAGACCCCAGGCGCUGGACGUGUCCGGGAGCGCGUCGUCGCCACAGGUUUCACCCCAUUCGACAGCUUCGCCAGGGGUGCAGGAAGCGAGUCGCGAUGAUGGGAGCCAACCGUCUCCGCCGAAACGGCCUCGGCUGGGGUGGGGUCAAGGACUUGCAAAGUACGAGAAGAAGAAGGUUGUGGAGACGGAUGAGGUUGGGGUGUCCGCAUCGGGAGGCAGCGUGUCGGGAAGGGAAAGAUCGAGUGUAAGUGGCGCAACGACGGAAGUGGUGCAGACGCAGGAGUCGCAGGCAGCAGAGGAAAGCCCCGUGUCUGUUGUGUCGAAUCUGAGCACAUUGCCUCCGCUGACGCCGUCAGCAUCACCUUCGCAGCAGGCAGCGGAAGGUACGUCGGAAUGGAUGGGAUAUGAUGGAUUGUGUUGAGCAGCUGGUGUUUAUGGUGCAGGAGUGGGUGCGUGAAUGGGUGAUGGAUGUGUGGAUGGGAUGGCAGCUUUUGCGGAUGUGAGUUUUGGGGAAGGGGAGUCGAGCGGUGAGAGUGAGAAGCGAGGUGUGAGAGGGUGCAGAGGUGUUGACUUGUGAGUCGUGGCGAGUGGGUACGUGCAGUUGUGUCGAAGGCGAUGGUGGAGUGUGACGGAGUGGAGCAAGAGGUAGUAGGCAAGGUAUGCGAGAGAGUGGCAGCAGAAGCGGAGGCGGGCGGUUGGAUUUCGAAGCCUGAGGGUGUGGUGGCGGAUGAUGUUGAGAAAAGAGGUAACAUGCGUGCGGUGACAGAAUGCGGGUUGGAAGAGAGCGUGAGACAAGGUGAAUGCUGUGAGGCGUUGGGUUUGAAGGAGUCGAUGGAGUGCCAAGCGUCACCGAAAGUGCGUGGGUCAGUUGAGCACUGCGGCGGUGUGGAGGUGGGUGGUGAGGUCGGUGUGAGUGACGCUGGUUCGAGAUGGGCGAAGGAGGAUAUACUGCUGAGAGUGGAGAAAGUUGAGUAUGAGAUCGAGGAGGUCGAAAGGGAACUAGCGAAGGCGGAGAAGGUUGGGAGUGACAGGAGGGCAGCGGGUGAAUGGGUUGCGGGAGUGGUUGGUGAUGAGGGGAGUGCUGGCGUGGACGGUGUUGUGAAAGUGGAGGAUGGAAUUGAUGACGGUGAAGCUAUGGACGUGGAUGCAGCAGAGGUCCAUCCGGGAAGGGUUGACAGUCGAGAAAGUGGCGAGGCGAUGCAGGUUGCGUGUUCUGGUCGGAAUUGGUCAGGAGGAGAGGAAUGCGGAAAUGGGAGAUGGGGAAGCGACGGAGCUGGAGCAGCCGGGAAUGUUGGGGAGCGAGUCGGGGGCGGCGUGAGUGAGGGUGGACACGGAGGAUCGGUGGACGAUGGAGGAGUUCUGGAGGAAGGUGAGUUGGGUGAAGAGAAGCAAGAAGAGUGGACGUCGAAGCAGAUGAGUGUGGGAUUGGAGAGUGAGGGGAAUCCGGCAUACAGCCCUAGGGCAGAAACAGAGCCGGCACAGAGAGAGGAGAUGGAUGUGACAGCGGGUGUGUCAAAAUGUGGGGUUGCAGAGAAGGAGGAGGCAGAGAGAAAGGUGAUAUCGUGGGAUGUGGAGGUGGUUGCGAGAAGUUUGAUGGAGGAGAAUAAGAAGCGAGCCGAGCAGGCAAGGGAGACGUUUGUGCACCUUCUCAGGGAGGGUGUUGGCGUGGAAGGAACGUUGUACAGGUGUCCUGCGGAAGCAGGCGUAUGGAAGGAGAACGUGGAGAGGCACUAUCGGAACCAGGAGAGGAUGUUGGAGAAGAUGGGAGAGAGACGGCAGUCGUUGAGGUUUGCGGAGCAGGUAUUAGCGAUGAGGUUUCGAGCACUGAAAGAGGCGUGGAAGCAGGAGCAGGUGGGGAUGAGGCAACAGCAGAGAGGAACAAAGCCCGUGCGCAGAUGGGAGGUGGAGAAACGGAACGGGACUGCACUUCAUUGCCAUCGGUCAUCUCUGCGGUUGAGGCCCGUACAAGCAGGUAGUUUGGUGAUGUUGGAAGCAAGAGGAAUGGUCGAGGCUUGUGGUUGAGCAAUAGUUGAAACGAGGGGUGUGAUGGGAUGAUGUGACGGGCAGUGUGGAGCGUGGGUGGCAUGGAGGUGUGAGUGAGUGUUGGAAUGUGUUGCAGAGGCGGUAUGGAUGAUGGAAGGGUGAAGAGGUGACGGUAACAUGGGAGGGAGGGAAAGGAAUGAGAGGGUGGGUGUGUUGUGGGGAGGGAAGUGGGAGAUGGUGAGAAUUGACGGUGCGGUGGUUGUGGUGUCAGGUAUGGAGAAAGUGGAAGCUGUGUCGGAGGAAUGCAUGAAGAAGGUGAUGGCGAAGGCAGUGGUGGGGCCGGUGAGGGGCGUGUUGAAAAUGCCGAGCAUGAUUGUGGGGCAGGAGAACAGACUGGCGCGGAGGUUUGAGAGCAAGAACGCGCUGGUGGAGGAUCCUGUUGGGAUGGAGAGGGAGCGAAAGAGCAUGAAUCCAUGGUCUUGGGAAGAGAAGAGGGUAUUUCUGGAGAAGUUCGCGGUGUACAACAAGAACUUCAGCAAGAUCGCGUCGCAUUUGGAGUUGAAAACGACGGCGGACUGUGUGGAGUUCUACUAUCGGAACCAGAAGUCGGAGGAUUUCGAGAGGAUAAGGCGGAGGCAGCAGCUGAAGAAGAGACGGGAUUAUUCUCGAGUGGGUGGAUCGUUUCUUUCGACGGGGCUGCAGACGAGCAGCCAGCGAAGAGAGGCAAAUGGGCAUGGGCGGACCGAAGGUGCGAACGUGCAGACAGUGGGAGCGGUGGUGGGAGUUUCUCACAUCAGCGUAGGUACGAAGGCCGCGAGGAGCAGCAUGCAGCAGAAGCCGGUGGAGCGUCAGCGGGUGAGCUCAGCGUUGGAACCCGGGAGCCUACCUGGAGCUGUUGAGAUAGGGAAGGGUGUGAGCGGAAAGGAAAACAAGUGGUGUGGGACAGGUGGAGUUUCAGGCAGUGCAGCGGGGCGUGGUGGGAUUUUUGGGAUGGUAUUAUCGGGGGCGACGGUGUCUUGUGGUUUGAGCUCCGCCGUGGCAGGUGCUGUAAAGAUCGGUCGGGAAAGAAGCUCGGUGAAGACGAUGGUUGACGCAGGAUUAGUAGUCGCUCGGUGCGGUCAGUACGAGCCGAACUGUUUUGGGGCAAAAGGGACCCGGAGUAUACAUCCUCCACUGGGUUUGGAGAAUUUUGCCAAAGAGGAGGUUGGAUUAAAUUGCGGGCAUUUUGAUGCGCUUUUCCUAUAGACUUGGGUAGCGAUGUUGAUGAAUGAAGUUGGGAGCUAUGGUUGUGGUGCAGGCAUGCAUGUUUGAUUGGAUUAAAUGGGAUGCUGAUCGUCUGUUUUACUUGCCUCUUACUGUGUCGUAUCGGUUUUCUGGGCACCUUGUUGGUGCGCACACACGUGUACUGGUGGUAGAAGCUGAAGGGUAGUUGUGGUUUGGUUGGAUGUGUGCAGGGUGAUGCGCAGUGGACAGACAGAGAAAGAGAGCUGUUUACGGAGGGCGUUAGGCUAUUUGGGAAGGACUUCGAGAGGAUUGCUGUGCAUGUUGGAUCGACAAAGAGUGUGGGUCAGUGCAAGGCAUUUUUCUGCAAGACCCGUAAGCGUUUGGGGCUGGACAAGCUGGUGGAGAAGUAUGAGGAUUCAUUGAAGGUAAGGUAUGGAGGUGUUAUGGCAGAGAGUCUCGAAUGUGCAGAUGUAGGGCGUGGAGAAGCUGCGGGCAUGGUGGCGGAAGAUUUGCGGACGUCAAGCUUGUUUGAGUGUUCGUGUCCCGGUAUGGAAGUGGAAAGUCACGGAGACAAGGGAGAUGAGAAUGAGAAGUCAGUGGAAGCUGUGGUUCCUGUUGAUGUACAGGAGAUGGAAGCGGUGGAAGUUGAGGCAGUUGAGGGUGUGAGAGUAGAGGGGGUAGUAGUUGAGGUACAAUCGGUGGAGUCUGAAGUCGUGCAGGAUGUUGCAAUUGCUGAUGAUGCCUUGGUGAAUGGAGAUGUGGAGCCUAGAGGUAUUGAGGGUUUUGUAGCAGAGGACGAUGCUUCCCAAGAGUUGAUGUCUAAAGAUGAAGCAAUUGAAAAAUCAGUGGAAGAUACAGGAUUCGAAAUUGCCGUGGUGGUUGCAAGUGCGGCAGAUGCUGAUGUUGAUAAAGCAUCGUCGAAUGCGUCGGUUGAGGUUACAGCCUUUAACGAAGCAUUGAGGGAUGAAACAGUGGAGGAUGCUGCUGUUGAGCAAGUGGUGGUGAGUGAAUGCUUGGAUGCAGCAGCCGGGAUACUUGAGAACGAGAAUUUAGCAGUGGAGGGUUCGAUUGUUCUGGAACAAGUAGGGACAGAUGGUCAUCCUGACGAGGGUAGAGGCGUCGGAGGUGUAGCCGUUGAGACCUCAAACGGUGUUUGUGAAGAAGGCAAUGGUGAUGCUGUUGGGGCUACAUCUGUAGUGGUCAUUUCGAAGGAUGUGUUAUUAGGGUCGUUUGUUUGUUUGAAAGAAGACACAGCCAUUGUGGAUAGCGCCUGUCCGGCAGAUCGUGAACCAGUUGCAAGUACUCCUGCCGUGGAUGCUAGUGGCGCAGAAGAUCCUGUAUGUGUGAGGACGGAUGCAGUGAAUGUACCUAAUGAUGCUUCUGUGGAAGCUGUGAAAGUGGAUGCAGCUGAGGACGUUUUUACAGGCAAUAAAUCAACAGACUUGGCUGCAGGAUGUACUAUUCGGGAGGGGGACCCUGCUGAUGUGGUUAAGGUUGCUGAAAGUGGUUUGGAGUCUUCGAAGUGUGUGGCUGCCGUUGGUGUUGAUAAGGCUGUUUUUCCAGUAACCAAAAUGAGUACCCAAGUAGCAGAUGAGCCGGAAGCGAAGGCAAGUCCAAAGGUCGACGUUAAGUCUGAGCCUGGGUCACCUCAAGUGGCAACAUCUGUUAGCACAGAUUCGGCAUCUUUUACAUCUGCGGCAGCUGCUGUGAGCCAUUCUGGUGAGCCUGUGUUUUCAACAACUUCGUCGAUGCAAGGUCGGGAGAAGGUGGGAAGGGUUGGAGGCGGUGAAACCAAGUCGAGAAGGGAGCCGACUUCUUGGACUCAAGAGGAGAAAGAGAAGUUCGCGGACAUUAUACGGAACCAUGGGAAGGAUUGGACUAGGCUGCACGAAUGUUUGCCCUCGAAGUCUUUAACGCAGAUCAAAACAUACUUUCAGAACUCGAAGGCAAAACUGGGUCUUCUGAAUGCAGAGGGUGUGAAUGUUCCGGGAGGCAGGGUAGCCGGAAGUCGGAAGAGGAAAGUUGAUGAAGCAGAAAACGGCAGCAACAACGUGUCUUGUUUGAGCUCAGGGAAUGAGUUGAAGGGAGGCGGUGUUUCUGCUAGCGACAUGGAUGGCGUUUGUCAGAAUGUGAAAGCAGCGGUGGGCGGGGUUCCAAGCAUGAACCCAAGCAUGGGGAUGGGUAGUGGUCCAUCGGGGUUGGAGAGCAUGCUGUACCCGUUUCUCGGUCAGCGAGUGGAAGAUCAAAUAGCGUUGCAGAAUUUUGUGCGGAUGUAUAGUGCGAACGGGUUAGCACAGAAUAUUGCGGGUGGGGUAAACCCGUUUGUGCAGCAAUAUGGGUUUCCAAUGUUUCCGAACGCAGGGCAUCAAAGGGCAAGUCAGCUGAGUUUGCAGCAACAGCUUGCAGCAUCUCUGGCUCAGAAGUCGGGUCAAGCGAAGGGGCUGCAGCAGCAGGAGUUGCAAGGUUUUGGAAGCGUUCAACAAAGCGGUCAAGCAAGUGUUCAGCAGAAAGUUGCACAUCAAUUGCAGAGCGCACAGGUGGGGAGAGGUGGUUGGUUGAGAAGCUGAGUAGUGAUGGUCUUGGUGCUUAGUGACAGUGUACGGUUUUAUAAACCGGGUAGUUGUGGACGGAGAGUUUGUGGUGUGCAUGAUUGUGACGAUUGGUACGUGAGAGUGGAAUGAGCAAUGUGGCGAUGCAGCAAAUAGUCGUGAUUUUGUGUGGGAUAGCGAGGCUGUAGAUUGGUGUUGAUGGAUUAGCCGUGAUUUGCAGAUGGUGCGAAAUCAGCAGCUUCUGGCAAGUGUGAUGCAGCAUCAAGCGGCAGCACAUCAUCAGCAAAAUCAGACGAGCAAGAGCGUUCCUCACCCUCUUCAGCCGCAGGUACAGCUAGUUUUCCAGCUUCAAUGGUUGAGGGAUUGUUUGUUUUGGAAGAGGAAAUAUAGUAGCUAAAAGGUUGUUCUGGCAGGUUGUGGUACCUCAACCUGGGGUUGCUGGUCAGCGGCAACAGCACCCGCAAGCUCAACAAGGUGGGAGUCAGCAGGAGCAAGGUAGUCCUGGUCACCCGAUAGGUAAUCCAAGUUUGGGGGUGGGCAAUCCUACUCAAGCUUCGACCCAAACGAAGCAGUUGCAGCAGCCUCAAGUUUCAUUGCACCAACAGCAGGUAUGUUUAGUGUUGCUUGUGUUGGGUUUAUUUGUUUGCUUUUUGGGAAACUUACAGUUGAGGAUGUUGUUUUUUGUUUGACCUGGCUCUUUGAUUUAAGCUGACGUCUUCUUUGUGGAUUGUUUUCUUCCGUAUCAGCAGACUCUCCAACAAUUGCAACACCAACAGCAUCAAUUCCUGCUUCAGCAACAUGAUCAUGAUCAUGUCCGAGCUCAAUCACAUCCUCAAUCUCACUUUCACAUUCAGCAGCCUCAAAAUUCUCAUGCUUCCAUAGUUCAGCCGCUUAUUGUCCAAAAGCCUAAAGGAGUCGUGCCCCUUCAGCCACAGGUGACAAAACCUCCGUUGGGAACUGUUGCACAUCAGAGAUGUAUGCCUUAUCGACACGAUCAGCAGCAGCUUGGACCAGCUCUUUCAUUGCUAAGUGGGAAUGGAGAUAGUGGCCUCUCAAAUAUCCGGGGAGAAAUUUCGAACCAGCAUGGAGAAAUAGGAGAUCACCGGAGUUGUAUCAGCAAUGGUACAGUCUCUAACUCCUAGUCUUUGGUAUGAAUGUGAUACUAAGCGAAAACACUUAUUCUUAGAUAUUGGUACUGUAAGAUUUGCAAGGAAGAUGAUUGGUUAUUCGAUUGUCGUUUGAUUGUCACUUGUCUUAUGACUGAGUUGUGAGAUGUGGAUGUUCUCAGGAGGUGCAUCUAAAGGAUGUGAUUUUUCAAGAGCUGAUUUUCAUCAACUCAGUGCCUCCGUGCAGAGGGUGAAACCUUCACAUGCAGCAAUCCCUCACAGACCAAGUCCGACUCCAGCAGCAGUGUCCGCGCAAGGUCGACCUGGUGAUGUUAAAUUAUUUGGGCAGUCUCUUUUGUCUCAGCCGACUUCGUGUGCGGUAUCCCAGAGUGCUGCACGUGAGUUAGUUUCUGCCGCUGACAGAGGUUCAUUGCAGCAGUCUCCUGCUAGUACGGCGGCUUCAUCUUCCUUGACGAGCAUGCCUGUUUCAGCUGCAUCAGCAACGAAAUCGCAUGGGAAAGAGUCUGCUUUUAGGGGUGUUUCUUUUAUGCCUGAUGGACUGCAAGGUGGGCGGUCGUCACGGGGUAAUCAAGGAAGCUUGGAAUUAUGGAACAACAUGAGUGAUGUGCGUUCUCAGGCGGGUCCGGUGUCGAAGUCAAUUGAUGGAGACUCGGAUAUUCGUAGUAUGCAGGAAUGCCGCAUGUCUCGAGAAGCUCAAGAUGUAGAAUCAGAUCCGAGCACACUAAAAUUGACACACAAGCUGCAGCAUCUUGAUCAGGCUCGUGGUGUUCAGGAGCAUUCAGGAAGCGAGGGGUUUUCUCCAGUGGUUCAUGGUGUGGGGAAGGCCCGAGCCUGUGCGAAUGAGCAUGGUGUGGGUGUGGGGUUUGCUGUUUCGUGUGGAGAGGUAUCCAGGACCGACCCGGAGAGAAGAGGCGAGAGCAUUGGAAUCGAUUUAGGCUGUAGUGAGCGAAGCUCCAUUAUGGCUAGUAGAAGUAAUAGGGGUCAGGUGGAGUCGUUUGCAAUGCAGGCAGCCGGGUUAUUGGCCAAUGGGCCACAAGUGCAUCGGAACCUGAUCGAUUAUCUGAUGGCCAUUACGGAAUUGCACCAAACUCGCAGUUUAUCAUCUCACUCAAGCGUCGGUCAGCCACGGCUGGAGGACCAUCAAUGGGAAAGUCUAACACGGCAUCCUACUAAUGGUACGGCUGUCGAUGCUUUGAAAGUCAAUCCUACUUUGGGCCUAGGUAGCCCUAUUGCUGCUCCGCAAACCCACUUGAGUGGGAACGAUCUGUUCCAGCAGUGUGUGCGGGAUAGCAGCAUGUACUUUAGUCAACACUAUCCAAGCCUUGCUGGCCAUGGUGUUAGCUCCAGCGCAUGGAAUGGCGGAGCUGGGCUUGUUCAUCCAUCUGAAAUGCAGCGCGUGCUUGUAAAUCCUCCUCUUAGUUCCUUUCUUCCAGGUGUAUUUUCCAGGGCUCCAGUUACAGAGGAUCACUUGGGUUCCACCGAAACAAGGGAUCCUGAAAGAGGCGGAGGUGGGAUUUGUUAGUCGCCAACGUAGAGCUCUAGCACCCGAGAAAGUAGAGUUUAUACUUUUUACCCCUCCCCUUUUUAUUUGAACCUUGUUAAGCAGGACAGGGCACAUGCCCUUUGUAAUAUUAUCCGAUGAUUCCUUGAUCGCAUUAUGCCCUUUGUUGCAAUAGGUCUUCAGCAAUGAGUUUACACUUCCGACAUGCAUUUUUGCAGUCUGCAAUUGUGAUGCCCAUCUUAAAUUUUUUUUUUGCACCUCGUUUCAAAUUUAGUUUGGUCACGUGGAAUGUCUGUUUUCAGGAAUUCCCGUUUUUAAUGGGUUAGUCCAUUAGUCAAGAGCGGAGGCAUUUAUUCUUCACAGUCCCUGUUGUAAUGCCCAAGAGGAUGGGUAGUGGGAGUGUGAGCAAUAUUGUUUUGUUUUUUUUGUUUUUUUUGGUUCACUAUUCUCUCUGACCACAAAUUUGGUUGGGUAUUGAAUCAAAUUUUCUGGUUGUUGCUUCCUUUGUAUGGACUGUGUGUGGCUUUAAAUUGUUAUGCUUCAGGGUUGCAGCUAUGCUUGGAUCUUCCACACUUCGUAGUUUCAUCAUGGUCAAUUAUGGCGGUGUCCAAUUGGGCUGUAGAACCAAAAACAGUAGAUAGCCUUCGAAGAAGUAACAAAUCUUGAAGUUACAGUUACAUUAGAUACAUUUUUUCUAAUGCUUAUACCUUCUUUUGAACACAACAAAGGCUUUUUAUUUUUAAAUAAGCCAAUCUUGUUGCUUAUUGAUUACAUCUACUAGAGUCUAUGAACAUCCAUCCCAUAUUCAAUGUGUUUCUUUUUAAGCCAUAUAAUAUAGUAAAUAUCUUGGAAAAAAGACAAAUGCCACCUUCUCUUAUAGAAGUCAAUAAUAAUGAAGAAUUCAAGAUAGAAGAAGUCUUAGAUUCAAGACAAUGCCAAAAUAGAUUAGAAUAUCUUAUUCAUUGGUGCAAAUAUGAUAUUAAUGAACGCAUAUGAAAGCCAACAAAGAAUUUUACAAAUGCAACAAAGAAGGUUGAGGUUUUUCAUUGACAACAUCCAUCAAAAUUAAGAUGAAGAACAGCAAAUCUUUGCUAUAAAAGAAACAAGAUACAUGGAAGAUAGCAUUUUACCUUCUAUCAUUGUUUGUAGCUUUUGUAUAUUUGUGAACCUAAGGAGAUGGAAAAUCAACAACCAAUAGAUUCAACUCCAGAGCUAUUAUUUGUUGAGUUAUCAAACAAAACAUUACAAUUGUCACAACCUUCAAGCUAGCGUAAUCAAGAUGAAGAUCUUCAAGAAUAACAUGUCUUUCCUCAAAUAGGUGGCGAGAUACAAUAUGUUUGGUAUCAUGACCUUGGAAGGGGAUUCAUGAUGUUUGGUGAUUUUAUUAGAAGUAAGAACAACUCUCGGCCAUAUUUCAAAUGUUUCAUUUGAAGGAAGUUAUGAAGGCUUCAACAACGAUUAAAUAAUAGGGUGGUCUUUUUGCCAUGAUAUAUCAAGAUAUGUGGCAAAUAUAAUUUGGUGCAUCUAGGAUUUUCUUAACGUAUGAUUACUCUUUAUCAAACUUGUUUCUAGAAGGAGGGAUAAUAUCAUGGAUAUAUGUAUUUAUUCUAAUAAUUAUCUUUAUGAUUAAAUAAAAAUAGAUAAAAGUAGAUUAAUUUUAUAAUAUUUUUUGGAAGAGCUUCCUAGAAGCUUCAUAGACAUUGCUUUGGCUUUAUAUAUGUUUGUAGUUAAUUGGUAGGAUAGAAAUUUGGUCAAUAAGUUUGCUACAUGACACAUGUAUUAAUAGCUUGUAGAACAAGCUAACUAUAUGAUGCGCAUAUAGAUAAUUUGCUUUGUAAUUUGAAUCACAUUUCUAGCAAAGUCAAUACAUAUUGGAAGUCCUAUAGAAUAUCACCAUGUAGCUUCUAAUUAAAGAGUCUAUAUGGAUGCAAAAGUAAAGCCUUCUUCACUCUUGUCAAUGCUUUUUUAGCCAUUAUUUUUGUUUCAAGACUUUCUAGUCUACUUGUCUUUGGCAAUAGCUAUUCUAGUCCAAUAUAUUAUCAUCUUUGAAUGAUUUUCUAGUCUUUUUAAGUGGCACAAGAAUAUAUUGAGUUUUAUUUUUUAAAGAUUCAUGUCCUUGACAAUACAUUUUUUUUAUAAGUGCUAUAAUGGCUCUUGAUUGUCAAAGAUAAGAAUUUAAACAAGUGAAAAAUAAAUCAAAGAGAGAUGAAAAUUUAAAAAUAAGAAAAUAAGUAUAUUUAAUAAGAAACUAGAAUGGCUAUUGCCAAAAUUUAAAAAGUUAGAGUCUCUUGAAACUAGACUAUAAGCAAGAAAGGACUUAACAAGAUUGAAGAACACUUUACUCUUACCUCUAUAUAUACUACCCAUGUAAGGCUAUUUAACAAUGUUCUAUAAGACCUCCAACAUGUGUCCAAUUUACAAGAUACAUGCCUUGACUUACAAGCUAAGUUUCCUAUAAGUGCACCAUAUAAUUAGCUUGUACCACAAACUACCAAUACAUGUGACAUGUGGCUAAUUUGUUGGCUAUGUUUCUAACCUACUAAUUAUCUUUAGACAUGUAUUAAAGUGAAAUCACAUCUAUUAAGCUUCUAAGAAGCUUUUUCAGAAGAUAUUGUCAAAUUAAUCUACAUUUACUUACUUCUACAUAUUCAUAAUAUCUAAAUAACUAUAGAUAUAUCCAUGAUACUAGUUCUCUUAUAUUCUAUUAACAAUUUUAAAAAUUUGUUUUUUAAAAAUUACACUGUAGAAUUCAAAAAUAUCCAAUCAACCUAGGAACCUUAUAAGGCAUUCAAAUCUUCCUCAAUUCUUUUGUAACUCACUAAUUAGUAAAAAUAAUUUUUAUUAAAGACUUGAAAAAUUGCUCUAAAAAUUUCUAAAAAACUUGAAAUAAGUUCUUAAUAAAUUCUAAAAAUAUUUGUAAUUUUUCAUAAUUAUAAUAUUAAUUUAAUUAUUUUUUUCUUCUUAUAUUAGUAAUAUUUUUAGUAAUAGAAGAAAUUUAAAUCAACUAAAAAUCUUAUUUUAUAAAUAAAAUAUUAAAAAAUUAUGAUUUUUUUUUAUACUUUUUUUACCUAUUAAAUAAAAUUUAUGGAUUUUUUAAUAGAAAGUAAAUGUAGAUAGAAGGCCAAUUUAGAGAUUGGUUUUAAUAAAUAUAGAAUAAUUCUUACAAUUAAAAAAAGUUAUUGAACUAACUAAGAUAAUUGCUUCUAAGAUUUUUUCAUAUUUUAUUUUUAUGAUUUUAUUUUAUUUUAUUUAUUUUUUUUAAUAAGAUUCUUAAAAUUUAUUAACCCUUCCAACUAGAAUCUCUAAUCUUUAAUAUAUUAUUAGCUAAAUAAAUUAAAACUAUAUUUUAAACAAUUCCACCAACUACAAUCUAUUAGUAGGACUAACAAUUGCUAAGGAGUCCAAAUUCAAAUCCAUGGCUCUCAUUGAUUCAAAGUUCAAAAUCCAAGAUGAAGGCUGAUGGCCACUAAAUGAGCCCUAGAAAUUCUUUUUUGGCCAAAAUACCUACACCAUUGUGUUUAAAAUAUAUUUUCCAACAAAAAUUGACUAUUCACAUGCCUUAAUCUAUAGGAAUUUGUAAUACUUAUGAAGUUUAAAAGUAUGGCAAUUUGGAUUAAAAUAAAUUUAUUCCUAAAUUAAUUCUAACUUACGUCUAACUUACAUAUGACAUCCUAGUUAGAAUAAUUAGAUUAAAAAAUUUUAAUAAUAAAAGAUAAUAUAAAAAAUAAAAUUUACUAUAAAAUCAAUAAAUGAUCUAUUAAUUAUCAUUAAAAAAUCUAAUUAGGCUAUUUGUAUAUCAAACAUUAAUAGUCACAAAACUCAAUUAUAUAUAACCAUUGAAAUUAUGUAUAAUUUUUAGUGACAAAUAUACUGCGAAAAAAACUUAUAAAGAAGUUAAACAUCAAAGCCUUAGAAUACAAUAUUAUAGUCUGUAACAUUGUACUUGAAGUGUAUAGCAUAGAUAGUUGUUAUUCUAAGAUUUAGAUUGGAUUAUUGAAGAUGCAAUAGAUAAUAUAUCAAAAUGAACUUUUACAUCUUCUUUAGAUAGCACAUUAAAUAUAUCAUCCACAAAGAAAUUUUAAGAAGAAAAAAAGAAUGACUUAUUAGAAGAAAGUUGUCGCCAUCUUUUUCAAAUUAAUUGCCAAAUACUUUUGUUUUAUAAUGCACUCUCAAACCUUUAAAUACAAUUCAAAGAUUACUGUGCAAUUCUUCAAAAUAUUUAUUUACAACAUUGAUAAUAUUACCCUUAGUAUGGACAAUAUUUCAAAAGAUAAAAGAGAUCAAUUCACCAUUACAUUUUUUCUUUUAUAACUUUUAUUUUAGCAAUAUUUAAAAAAUUAUUGACAUAUACUUAAAGAAAAUUUCUUUAAAAUGAAAAAAAUCGAUUAUAUUAUCCUCUUUGUUUUGCAUAUUGGUUUUUGGUAUUGUACAUAAAACAACAAAUAAAGAAGAAUAGUGAAUAUAGAGGCAACACAAUAUAUAUAUAUAUAUAUAUAUAUAUAUAUAUAUGAAUUAUAAUAUGAAGGAAAAUAUGAGAUAAGUUUAAAGAUGAAAAAAAUAUAAUUAUUUUUAUUUUUUUCAUCCAUUAAAGAUGGACAAUGAAUAAAAAAUCAAAGAAGAAAAGAAGAUAAAAUAAAAAUAUUAUAUAUACAAGAUGAAUGAUUAAACUUGAAAAGAUAAUAUGGUGAAUUAAAAGAAAUGAUCUACAUCAAUGAAUGCUAUAAAAAGAUUGGUUUUGAAAAAUAGAAAAGUUGUUUGGUAUAAGAGCCUGAAAGCCAUUUUGAUUUGUAUAGUAUAUAAUUUAGAUAAGAUGUUUUAAAAGUAAAAGCUAAAUAUAAAGAUUAAAUUUACCUUCCAGUCUAUGUCAUUAUAUAGUCUUAAUUAAGAAUUUUUUAUAAUUUGUGGUAUAAUAUAAAAAAUAUAAUAAUAAAAAAUAAAUAAAGAAGAAAAAAAAGCUAAAUAAUAAAGACUAUCAAAUAUAUAUUCAAUUAAAAAAUAGUCAUUGUCUAUUUUUAAGAUUUUUAUUUGAUAGAAUAUAAAUUAUAAAAGUAAAAAAUAUAUUUUUAUGUAGUUUUUUUAUUUACUUAAAAAUAUAUAAAAUCAAAAAAAUUUAUAAAAUUAUUAUAGUUUAAAAAUAAAAAAUUAGGUGAUUAGAUUCUACCUUUAAAAUAAUUAAAUUAAGUAAUCAAAGAUUUCAAUCUCACUAAAAUCCAUAAGUAAGGUGUAGGUGUCAAAGACUCUACAAAAAUAUUAUUGUCAUCUAAAAACUCUCAAAAAACAUCAUUUAUUAGAUAUUAAAAAUAUACUAAUAUUAAAUCUAUUUUUAUAUAGAUCUUAGUUUGAUUCAAGUGAUCAAGAAGUUUAGAUAUCAUAAGUAGUCGAUACCUAUUCUUGAUGGUGAUUUUAUUAAACUUUCAAUAAUCAACAGACAUCUACAACAAUCUAGCUUUUUUCUUCACAAAUAAAAUUGGAGCUUUUAUGGGAGAUUUGAAAUGGUGUAUGAAGUUUUUGGCCAGAUUUUCUACAAUAUACUCCUUGACUUUAGCCAAUUCAUUUUGUGAUAAACUAUAAAUUAGUCCAAAUGAUAGUUGAGCUCUUUCUUAAAGGUCAAUUGAGUAGUCAUAGAGAUGAUGUUUUGGUAGAGUAUCCAUAUUCUUCUUCUCAAAUACAUCUUAAAAAUCUUAUUAUUGGCUUGAAAUGACACUUGAAGUCUUUCCACCAUUAAAAAUAGGUGCAACAUAAAUGAUAAAAGAUAAUCCUUCCUUUGCAACAUGCAAGAAAGGUCUUGUAGCUGUAAAUAUAAGUUUAAUUGCAUUAGACUUAUGACUUUUUAUUUGAUUAACUAUACUCUUAAAUAUAUUUUCAAAAAAUUUAAGACAACAAGAAAUCCAAUCUAUCUUUGAAUUAUAUUUUUUUAGCCAUAAUAAAUCUAAAAUUAUUGGAUUAGAAGAAGAUCUAAUGAUAUUAAAUAUUAUAAAGCUAUUAUGACUAUUAGUUGUUACUUCUAUAGGAAGGAUUUUAUGAAUAAUAUUUCUUGAAGAUAGUGGACAAUCUAUGACUUCUACAUCAACAAGUCUAGUUUUCUUCACUAAAAGUAUGCUAUGUCUUUUAGCAAAUUUUUCAUCUAAAAAAUGCUAAGGCUCCUGAAUCUAACAAGAUAAAAGCUUUGUGAUGUUUGGGUUCUAAAAUAACAUUUAUUAUAAAACAAGGAGAUGAUUUUGAAGAGAGAAUACGACCUUUACUAAGUCUUGUAUAGGGUUCCAAUCAUAGAAUGCUUAUUGUAGUUGGACAAACUUAUUUUUUAACAUACUAUCUUUUUUGAUGGCCAUACUAUUCAUUUUAUAGUUGCAUUGCUUCUUUAAAUAAUGUUGAGCAAUGUACUUAGAUUCUCUAUAAUAUAAGCAGAAUUUUUCUUGAUGACAACGAGUCUUUUCUUGCUCAAUAAGAAGAUUGAAACGUACCACAUCAAUUUACAUAUUCUCUACUUUUAAAUAUGUGUAUUAAAAAUACAUUGGCAUUGUCAUUGAAUUAUAAUAAUAUUGAGGUACACUUGUGCAACUUUUAGAUUGAAAUUCAAAAAGUCAAUUGUCACACUUCACAGCAAAGUCAAUUGUUUGAUUCAAUGUGUGAGGAUCAAGUAAGUUGAGCAUCAAUUUUUUUAUCUCAUAUUAUAAUUGAUAGAAGAAUUGGCUAACAAGUACAACAUCAUCCCACUUGAUAUUAAUUGCAAGUUGUCAAAAUUAUCAAGCAUAUAAUGUCAUCAAUUAAUUACUUUAUCACAAAAUACAGAUCUUAUUGGUUGCAAUAUAAAUUACAUCAUAUUCUCCAUAUAUGGAUCAAAAUUCUAUUAAAAAAAGUCUCAAAGUUAUCCAAUAUUAGAUCUUGUUGUUUAAGAAAAGAUGAAAACCAUACUAAUGUUGAAUCUGAAAGGAGUAUAUCAAUGAAUCUAACUUACAAUCUUGGAGUUAGAUAGCUUUGAGGUUGAAGUUCAAUCACAAGUUGUACUUAAUUUAUGAAUCCUCAAAACUUGAAUCUUGUGCCAUCAAACUUCUCGGGUAGUGCAAUCCUUAGUUCUUUAAUACUAGAAGAAUAUUCUACUAUAGAAGAAAAAACAUGAUUUGGUACAAAUGUUGAAGUAGCUUCAAUCACUUCUAUAUCUUUGCCCCCUGGUAUUCUUAUUGCUUCAUGUAGUGGUAAAUUGAAUUGCUAUAUUACAAGCAUUAACUCCCUCAAUUGUUCUUGUAUCUGUGCCAUUGCAGUCUUCAUUUCAAGAAGCUCUGCCAUAAUAACACUUAAAAAAAAAAGAUGUUUAAUAAUGCUCAAGACAAAUAGAAGAGAAGACUUAAUAUAUAUAUAUAUAUAUAUAUAUAUAUAUAUAUAUAUAUUAAGGAAAAUAUCAAUUUAGAAGAGGGUAAUUUAUAACUCCUAAAACGCUUAAGUCUUAUGAAAAUAAAAAGGUAAUCCACUCUUAAUUAAGAAAAGACAAAGCUUUGACAUUGUAAAUAUACUCUAGUCAAUAUGUCAAGGACAAGAACUUGAUGAAAGCAAAUAAAUAAGUAAGACUCUUUCAAAGAAAUAAAAAUAGAAAAGUUUAUAUAUUAAAAAAAAAAAAAAAAAAAAAAAAAAAAACCUGAAAUGGCUAUUGCCAAAAGACAAGAAAAUUAGAGAUUCUUGAAACUACACUAGAAAUAAGAAAGGAACUGACAAAAGUGAAGAAGGCUUCAGUCUUACCUCUAUAUAUACUAUCUACCGAGGAUCUAUGUGGUGACAUUUUAUAGGACCUCCAAAAAUGUGUUGACUUUGCAUGACAUGUAUCUUAAUUUACAAGGCAAGUUUUUUAUAUAGGCGCCACAUAGUUAUCUUAUUUUGUAAGCUAUUGACACAUGUGGCAUGUGAUUAGCUUAUUGACCAAGUUUCUAAUGUACAAAUCAACUACAAAUGUAUGUAAAGUCAAAACAACAUUUAAGAAGCUUCUAGGAAGGUUUUCUAAAAGAUAUUAUGAAAUUAAUUUAUUUUUAUUUACUUCUACUUAUUCAGAUUAUCUAGAUAAUAAUUACAAUAGAUAUAUAUCUAUGGCAGUAGGAUGUUCUAAAAGAACCACAAGACCUUGGUCUUAUCCUACUAUCUAUAUCCAAGGUGCUACAAUCUAUUUAAAACAUAUGCACCUUCCUUCCUACUACUACUACUAUAAUUGCUUAUCACUCUAUUUUCUAUUAAUAAUACAUCUUUUUUUUUAUAAAUUUGAAUAUACCAUAGUAAUCAAAAAUAUUAAAUUGAAGUAAGAAUCUUCUAAGGCCUUCAAAUCUUCUUUUAAUUCUUUGCAUUGCCCUCAUAAAGUGAUAAAAUUAUUCUUUCAAAUGUUUUGAAUAUAAUUUUAAGAAAUUCCUAAAAUUUUAUAAAUAAAAAUUAUAAAUUAUUUUUAUAUUUUUAAUGUACUAAUUUUAAAUUAAAUAUACUUUAUUUUAUUUUGGUAAUAAAAUUAUAUUCAUUUAAUUAAAAUUCUUAUUUUCUACAUAAAUUAUAAAAAAAACCAUAAUAUUCUUUAUUAAGCUUUUUUAUCUAUUAAUUAAUACUAUUAAGUUUCUAAUUUAAAAUGAUUAUUUUUAGAAGCUAAAUUUUAUAUUUUGGUCUCAAGAAAUUAUUAAAAAUAAUCAAAAUUAAGAAAAAAAUUCUUAAAUUAAUUAAGAUAAUUGCCUUCAAGAGUUGCUAAGAUUCUAUAUUAUGAUUUUUUAUUUUAUAAGAUAAAAUAUCUUUUAAGAGUUUUUUGGAUUUUUAAAGAAUUAUUUUAGAGAUAAAAUUUAAUUUUCAAAUAAACACUUGAUUUUUAGUAUGAUUUUUGAUUACACAUCUAUAAAACAAUUGGUGACAUAAUUCAUCACAAAGACUUGCUUUGAAUUUUCUUUAAAGUCUUGCAAGAUGGAUUGGUGUGAAAUAUGACAAAAAUUUAGUAAAUAAUGCUCAUAGUUUCAUAUUAACUUAUAUUUCUUGAUGAUUUUCAAAAAAAUAUAUAUAUUUUUUAUUUUUUAUUUUCUAAGUGUCAUGUAUGUGUAUAUAUAUUUAUUUUUUAACUUUAAUUUUUCUAUAAACCAUUAAAUUUACUAUCUAUAAAUCUUUAAAAAAUUAGAGAUUUUAAAAAGAUAUAAGUAAAAAUAAAAGAUAAAAUAUUUUGCAUAUUAUAAAACAAAUAACAUUAAAAAUUAAACAUUAUUUAAUUAAAAAUAUAUUUAAUAUAUUUUUUUCUUUUUUAUAUAAAUUUUAUUUUAGUAUGUAUAUUAAUAAUAUUUUUUUUUUAUAUUUUUAUAAUUGGUAUACUAUAAUAAUUUUUAAAAAUAAUUAUUUGAAUUAAGUAUUAUAUGAUGCAAUCUUAGAAGAUGCAACACUAAUCAAAAAUUAUUUUGUACUUUCUUAUGCAUAUACAUUCUAUAAAAAUAUUAUGCCACUUUAAGAUAAGUAAUAUAUCUUACAUUUAUCUUUUUUAACUUUUUUUUGCUAAUGCUUUGUAUUUUUGUAAUUUUUUUUUAUUUUUUCUUGUUUUUUCUUAUUUUUAUAUAUAUAAAUAUUUUUUUAAUAUAACUCAUUGUACAUAUUUAAGUAAUUUUUUUAAAUAUCAAUAUAAUAGUUUUAUUUUUUUUGGUGUUUAGGACGAAAGAAAUAUAAUUAAUGAAUAAACAAUAUUAAGUGUCUUUUCACUUUUUUUUUCAAAAUAAAUUAAAUAAAACUAUUCAUCAAUUUCUAUUGAUAUAUAGAUUUGUUUUUGGAUAUUUUAUUAUUUUGAGAUUUUUUAAUAUUCUUUGUUUAUUUUUAUGUUUUCUUUUUAUUUAUUACACAUAGUUCUUGUAUGUUUUUAAUUCUAAAUCAAAAACAUACCAUAUAAUAUAAUAUAAUUUUAGAUAAAAUUUAAUUUUUUUUAUUCAUAAGAAAAUUAAGAAAAUAAAUAUUGUUAGUUUUUUUAUUUCUUUAAAUUAUUUUUUAAAAUUUUAUAUAAAAAUCUUAUUUAUUUAUAAUUUUUAAAUAAUUAUUUUUUAUUUUAGUAUAAUAUUAAUUAAUAUAAAAUAAUUAAUCUCAAAUUCUCUUAUUAUUACAUUUAUAAAAUCUUAUACUUUUUAUUUAAAUGCCAAAAUUUAAUUUUCUUUAGAAAUUUUAGUUUUUAGUUUUUAUUUUUUAGUUUUUAUUUUCUUUUUUUCUUUUUUUUUCUUUUAAUGUCCAAAGAUGAGAAUUUUUUUAUAUUUUACAUUUAGUAUUAGUAUGUUUUAAAAAUAUUAUGUGAAUUUCCAACAUGAAAUAAAAUAAUUCAUUAAUCUAAGUUAUAGUUUUAAAUUUAUUGAUUAUGCAUAUUUUUAAUUAUAAACACUAUUCAUUAAUAUAUUACUUAAAAUAAUUGGUUUUUAUUUAUUUUCCCAUACUUUAAAUAAUGAUAUUCUAUUAUUUCCUAUACAUAUACUACAAAUUUUUGUAACAACUUCCUACCUUGUAAAAUAGUUAAAUAUUCAACAAAAGAAAAUAAAAAGCUAGAAUAAUUUAAAAGACAACUAUAAACUUAGAAUCUUAGUUUUAUUACAAAUUUUAUUUAAUGAUAAGUUUUUAGUUCUUUUUGGCUUAAACUAUCAAAGAAUAUAAUACAAUUUUAUAUUUGUAAGUGUAUUCUGAUGCAAUUUGCUAUUUCUGAUAAAUAAUAGUAUUAAUAAUUUUAAGGCCAACUUUGUAUCUAAUAAAAAAAAUUAAAAUAGAGAUGCUAUUUUGGAUAACUACAACUAUUACUAUAAUCCAUUUGUUUUCACAUGCCUAUUUUGUAUGAAGAACUAAUUACAAGAAACUAUGUGUGCAGUAUAUUGUUUAGUAACUUGAAACACAUCUAUCAAAAGAAUUAUUUUACUAAUUUGAAUUUCUUUCAAUUAGGCUUGUAGGAAAUGCAUGUGAUGUCUACAUAAAUAUAUAAUUUGAUGCAAUUAUAUUGUAUAAAUAUUUAUAAAUGCAUCAAAUGAUUAAAAAAAAAGUAAAAUCCAAUGUUAGAACAUUUAUGUGAAAUACCACAAGAUAGUAGAAAGGUGUUAACAUCUUUUAUAAUAAUUUUAGAGGCAUUGUGUGUGAUUUGUUAACUUGGCUUUUAUCAUUCUAUUUAAGGUCAAUCAAAGUAUCUUCUCCAAAUUUAAUUAUACAUAUAAAUUUCUUUCAACCACCUUCAUUUUAGAUUUUAAUAGCUAUGUCAACCUCCACAAUCUAAUCUUCUUUCAUGCACAUAUAAAAACAAUCAUUUACAAUCAUAUUUUUAACAUGGAAAUAAAGUUUUUACAUGAGAAAAUAUCAUAUAAACCCCUCAAAUAUGUUAAAAUAUCAAAAAUAUUCUUCUAUUCUUGAUAAUAGCAAAUCUACCCCACUUUUGCAAUAAUAACAAAUCUACCCUUGAAUAUGAUAAGGUAUCACCACUCUUUCUUUUUUAGGUACAUCUGUGCCUAAAUUGCAUGCUUCACAAAUUUUGGGGCAACCCUUUUUGGCACUUUUUGGCAUAAUUCCUCUCCUCCUGGUUUGUUGAUGUCUGCAUGCCACACAAAUUUCUAUAAAAAUGGUGAUAAUUUCUUCACAACUGCACCAUUUGCUGUAUGGGUGGUUUGAAGGGAUGGUUUGAAGCUUGAUUACAAGUUUAGAAGGGCACCUCCUUGAAGAUUUGUUGUUUUGAUUGAAAGUGAUGGAGUCAAUUCCAUGACUUGGGCACUGUGAGAGCGAAGGUGGCGUGAGGUUGUGAAGGUCCAAGGAACCGGGGAGUUUGAAGGGCACUCUCUUUGUCUGCGGGUGUCACUCCCUGGCUUCGGUUCUUGCCGAGAGGACUGCAACGACAAGAAGGGCAGAGCUGGCAGAGAGGACAAAGAAUAAGAAAAUACAAAAAAAAAGGGCAAUGUAGUCCAAUUUUUCACUCAGGAGCUUCCGUCGCUGGGACUUAGACCCGGGUCGCUUUGGUGGGAACCGAGUAUCCUAACCAUCUAGAGUAUAAUGGAUGCGGACAGCAGUCUGAUUUGCCGCCGCGAAUUCAUAUUACGAACGAGUCGCACAACUACUCCGGUCCACCAAUUGUGCCCUCCGCACGACUCGCUACGCCCUUCCAAGCUUCAUGUUUGCAAGAGACUACCUGCCGAAUCACAAAAACGCGCGCGCGCGCUCUGUCUCCCGUGUAACCCCGAUGUUCAAACGCUGCCCGAUGUCCUCUGGUCCACCAACCGGUGCCCUCCGUACGGCUUUGACGGGGUUUCGUACAACACCCUCCCCGAACUGACCGUAGUCUACCACCGUUUUAAACCGAAGGUGUGACCCACCCACCUCGCCUUUCAACCUCACCCCCCAUGCAUGUGCGCUCAACGUCGGCUUGCUACUACCGUAGCAAACCCAUGGUUGCCCAGCAUCCGCUCCUCUCCCCCCCGAGUCACUUUCCAACAACUCGCUGCUCCGCCUGCCCUCCCAGAAAUGUUGUUUUUCUGUGUUGUUUGUUCGAUUUGUUCUGUUUUUUGUUUUUUAGGCAAAUGCAGUCUUUCGUGAGCUUCCGCUUGCGAGUAACAUCCUGCAUUCAACACUAUCUUUCGGAGGCAUUCUUGUCCUAAUGUUGAUUUUGACAAAACCUACUCUUCACUGGGUGUCAAUGAGGCGAAUGGAGAUGUUCAUCUCCGUUGAAAAUUCAAGCAGUGAAAUUCAAUUUUUUUAGCAGCCAAAUCUGUGUAGCACGCAUACAUCGACAGACAUUGCAUAUAAAAAUGCAUUAGUCUAUUGGUCAAUGAGAUGGCUUGUUUAUAUUUUUUAUAUUUUAUCUUUGUUUUUAUUUUCUUUUGUAUAUAAGCAUAUUAUUAAUGGUCUUGGACCCAAUACCUCAACAUGACACAAAAAAAUUAUAUUGUACAUAAUGGUGAUAAAAGAAGACAAAUUAACAAUUUUGGCUAUAAAUUAAAUGUGAUUUAUUUGAACUAAAUUUUACAAUUAACAUAUAGAAUUGUGUGUGCAUAUAUAUAUAUAUAUAUAUAUAUAUGAAAUUUAUUUGGUUUAAGUUUCAAUAAUUAUUUUGCAUAAAAUUAGCUAAAUGUUAUUCUAUAUGAUAAACAUAAUAAAAGAUUACACGAUAUUUGAGCUCUUCUUGCAAAUCACUUAAGAUAAAACAAAAAUAAUAUACAUUUUGAGUGCAUAAAAAAUAGAUGAAAAAUACAUUAAUUUUAAUUUUAUCAAUUGUAGAAUUUGACGUAAAAAAAAAUAAAAGGCAAUAUUUAUUAGAAAACUUGAAUGAAAUAUUUUGAUUGCAACAACAAUGUUUCUGAUUUCUUAUGAUAUAUGUACAAUCUAUCAAAUUUUAAAGCUACAGCUUCUACAAUGAGCUUUGAGCCAAGAAUGUGCUAUUUUGAAUAAAAGUAGGGUCAUAAUAUUUAAUAAGGUUCUAACGACCAGCAAUUGAUCCACAAUCCACGUUAACUAUAGUAAAAUGAAUAAAAAAUUACAAUCAAACCUAAAACAAAGUAUGGUUCAUCGUUUUGAUCACCUUCUUACAAAGUUGGCAUGUACUAUCUUACAGGUUGAAACUUUUGGUGGUUGUUGAAACAGAGUCAUAAACAACAUGAACAUCACUGAGUAGCUCUUGACACAGGUUAACAUGGCUGGACUUCUGACAGGUAUCAGAUAGCGUUCAAGUGCCUUCAGACUUGAAAUCCUCCCCCACAUGUUUCUCGUCGUAAUAUAUUCCAACGAAGAUUUUUCCCCCAUCCUUCCACACUCUCAAUGCACCAGUGAACUGAAAAAGGUAUGCAGAGAUCCGCAGUAGAAUUCGAAAUACAGAGACAAGGUGACCACAAACUAGCUCUAACUAUGGUCGUAUAUCAUGGUAAGCUGUAAUCUGGCAUCGAAGGCUAAACUCCGCAAGAUCGCGGAGUGCUCAUGGAGAGAGCAACUUAACAAAGCGAGUCACCAGCGUUAAUCACAGUUGAGAGCAUCCAAGAGGCAAGAGUGUCUUUUCUAAUGGAAUUAGUGGUCAUGUCUGGUUUAGCAAGCAGGUUCUAUCUCUGGGUUAUCGGAGUCGAUACAGAAUACACAUUAGUUCGUAUAGUCUCAGAUUUAUCGCCAGCACAAAGGAAUGAUGAAAACUCCGCGAUCUUGCGAACUCCAUCUCAUUCCUUCCAUCAUUGAAUUUGCGAUAGUCAUGUGGUGAAUUUGAGAUGAACGGAGCAACCAACCGGACUGUGGUGAACGGUUUUCAUAGUUUACCCCAAAUAGUUGCUCCUCUGCCAACUAGUCAUGAAAGCAAAUUCGUACUUGUUUCCUUUCAUAUCAAUGGUAAGAAGCAAAUUUUAGAGAAACUGUUGAGCACCGCAAGAUUGGAUCUUAGGUUCUCCCUGGACGAUAAUGGGACCCUAGUCGAAGAAACAUGAAUAUUGUUGUGGGAUGGCUUCACCUCUCGAUUUUACAAUUGACAUUGUUCUUGGUGCAAUGAGAAGUCGUAGCUUGAAGAAUAUUCCCUAAUGGGCAGCAGUUCUAACGAGCAGCACGAAAGUUAUCUAUAACCCUCCAUCUCCUGUUCUGAGGGUGGUUCUUUCAUGGUCCUUUCUGCAGAAAAAAUACACACGAAAUAAUGUCGUCAGGAAUUUCCUCAGAAGGACUCAAUGAUCUCAACACAUUUUAUUUCUGUUUCACAUAUCAUGGAAUGAAAGUUCAACCUGCAGCUAUACAUUUUGCAUUCCGCUAAGAGAGUACAAGAAGAACUGGGUGGUAUACUUACCUUGCUUCUCCCGGAAACGAAGCUCAUGGAGCUCUUGUAAAACAGCACAACAGCAGCAGCAGACAUGCGCCCAAUAAUCGCUAAAACAAUCACCCUGCAUAAAUUCACUUCAUAAGUAUUUGUACGAUAGGAAUUUAGCAAUAGGGAUUUACACAACCAUACCCUGGUAUAUAACUUCAUGAAAGCAUUCCCUGUAGCACUUUCUCUAAUCCAGUUCAAAUUCGUUGACAUUCAGACGUACAUGGAUCCUAUCAGUUUCUCCAGGUUUUUCAAGAGGCUUACUGGGAUAUCGAAUCGGCGACGGACCUUUCUUCGUAUGCAAGAAGUGUAACAACAGCACCCACCGUAGAGUGAGUGAAACGCCAGUUGACUGCAUGCAGAGUCUUCAGCUGUAUACAAUCCCAAGUUAAUGAGCAGUAACUUCUGCUCUGGUUUUUCAGAAACAGCAGCACAGUAUUUACCUCAACAGUGGACAUAAAUAAAUAGUGAUAUUCAGAUGCUACUGACUUCCUGCGUUAUAGUCACAUCAAUUCUUUUUCCUGAGCAAAAGGACGAGAGGUUCGAAAGAGCAACGUACAAGUGCCGCCAUCUGUAACUGAACUUGCAACAAGAGUAAACGUCCCGCAAGGAUAGCAGAAAGUUUCGAUACCUGUUCCAAACCAUACAAACCACAGUCUACCUCAACAAGGUGGAAGAAAUCGGAGUGUGUAUAUUAGUAAAAGUCACUAUUAGAUUUGAUGCGCUCCACGUUAUCUCUACAGCCAAACGAAAUUCUAUCUGAUACUGUGAUAUACACUUUACGUACACGUAUCCAUGUUGAAUGUUCUAACUAAAAUUCGAGGCAUAGUAGAUAAUUUCACAUGAUAACUCACACAAGCAGGGGUCAACGCAGCAGUCGAAAAGGUCAUAGCGCCAGUCUUUGACAUAAUAGUUGCUAUAAACGCUGUUGCAGGGCAAAUCUUUCCUAGCCACUUCAUCGCACACAAUCAUCUGCUGGUAAUCAGAAGGGAAGCCUUGCCUGCAGUAAAGCAUCCCUCAAUCCAUGAGACUACAGUAUAUUUCCAAAAGAUCCAUGUCUACCUCACUGUCCUCAUGUCUGCAUUGCACAACUUUUUGUGAGGAUAAUGAAAGUGUAGAGCUAAGUUACAUGAAGGUGCAGGAUGCGAAUUCAAUUUAGAAUUCAAGCUCGGCACUUACAACGACGGUUUUAGAUGUUUCAUAUGGCGCUUAGAUGACUCCACCACUUCGGUCCUGGUGUGAGGUUUCCGAUGUCUCUCUUCCUCCUCGUUAUCCUCUUCAGGUAUUUCGGCCAUGGCCUCUGCAAGGAUUACCGGGUCAGCUGCAGCAGCUUCUGUGAAGUCUAUCAAGUGCUCAAUCACGCCGCAUUUUUCUAGCUCCAUGCAUGCCUGCACAAAGAAUACACCAACGCAUCAUCAUAUUGCACAGCAAUAUGCAUGCAGGGGCCGGUCCCGAAGUACUCCCUUCCAUCAUCUUACGCUGAAAAUGACAUGGCCCUGAACUUAAAGUAGUUCCCAGAUUCUUAGGAUCAAGUUUCGGACCCAAGUUCAGAGCCUGUCAUUUUGAUAAAAGCUCUUUUUCGUUUUUAGCUCUAUUCAACCAGAAAAGCACGGCUAGAAGGAUACGAAAUAAUCGGCCAUCACAUCAGAAAGGUGGAGUCAAAAUUGCAGAGUACAAAAAGUUACUCACCCUCAUGUGUUCCAGCUCCUUCUGCAACUUAGCAUUUUCUUCCCGCAAAGCGAUGUCUAAGGGCAUACCAGGGUAGCGGCGUGACAGUUGUCGUGAUAAUCGCAUGGAAUCUCUCCGAGUGUGCUCGGGCUUCAAAAGUGUCUCUUGCACCUUAACAUCUGAACGUUCCAUCGUGUACGACCGUUUAUCUUUAACAAUUGCCCGGAUACGUUCCUGCACCAUUAGACAUUGUCUAUUGAGGACAACAAAACAACUAGAGGAACUCAUAAACAUCUAUUGGCAUAAAAGAUUGAGACAAACCGUUCGAGACAACUACACCACAAUGUACUCUAAGAAACUGGUUCUUGAUCAAUGAGCACUGACGUCAGUGAAACCAGAUAAUGAGCUGAAUGUUUAAUUGCCACGCAAGCUUGUGUUUGGCAAAAUUUCACAAGUAGAAUUCUAAACGGCGGCACAAACCGGUAACGUGGUCUGAGACGAUUCUGUGUCCUCUUCUCUCUUUCGCCGUAGCAGGUGCCAAUUUUACAUAAAACAUUGUGUAGAUUACUCACUGAAACUAGCUACAAAAAAUCAAUGUGAAGCAAAGGACCUGAUUCUAAGAAUCUGCCACGAUUCCAUGCAUGAAAAUUUAGCUGAAACCUCGGCACUGAAGAUUUUGGAGAUGAUUCUGUGUUCAUGUUUAACAUUUCGCUUGCUAGCGCAGUCGAUCAUUUCACCGACGAAUUUCUACGUCAAUCUCUACGAUGAAAUGGUAGAUAGACAUACCCGACUAUUUUCAACGAGGGAGAUGAGAGGAAUGAGCUUGAGAUAUUUGUCGAUUUCGUCCUGGUAGUCGCGAAACUUGGUGACGUACAUCCACCCCAUGGCCACAAGAUACAAGUAGCUUUUGUCACGGCAGCUUUCCACAAGCACGACCGCCUUGCGCAGCGCUUGCUCUAGGUGCUCCAGCGGCUCCCGGCACUCGGGACGCUCUUUAAGAUCCGUGAGGUUGAGCUGCUCCAGCAAGUUGGCAAUCAAUUUGAGGUGUUGUGCGAAUUGUCGGCAGUUCUUCUUGUGCAUACGUGCGUUGUUGGCGGCUUUCACAAUCAUUGCAAUUAGCUGCACUGCAUUUAUGCCAGCAAGCUGACCGAAGCUGGCAACGUCACCCAACGCGAGCCACGGCAUCCAAUUGAACAAGGCCGCCAUUGUGACCGCAAACUUGAAGAGUCCUCUCCGCCUAUUCAAGAGCCUUCUCAGCUUUCACUAGAAAAUUUCAUGUUCAUUGAAGCAUACUGAAUGCGCAGCUCUCAACUUCCUCUCCACAAACAAGAUCUAGGAGUGAAUCGGACGAGGUUUAGACUUGUGAUCCAAGGCUAAACCGACUGCAGUCAUGACUUCUUCCUGAUCUGCAGUAAAAUGAAGCAUCUCCUAAACUGCUCUUAAAAUAGCACAAUCGGAACUGUCAUCCACGCCAAAAAAUACAUAAUAUUGAAGAAUCUCAGAACUCCGAGAGCGACUCUCUCAAAAUUACACUCCAGAUAGGGAAUGGAACUGACAAUAAUUCCACUACGUUUCUUUUGAUUCACGAAACGAAAAAUAAAAACAAAAAUAUAAGAGAGAGAUGCGGGGUUCUAUCUCGCAUAACAUCCACACAUUCUCUACAAGACGAAGUUGCUUCCUCUGUCAAGUAAAUGUUGUUUUCAGACUCUUACACACCGCCCCUACACCUACUCCCUUUGAGUACCUUCAAACGAAAGCCUGGCCAGAAAUGGCACUUACACUUCAAGCCAUUUCUGCAGGGACCUACACUCCGUGACAAACUUUCUGAGCAGACCUUCAGCUGCCAUGCGUGCAAAACACAUCCCUCAUACACCUUGCCUGGUUUGCAGAUUUCAAAGAUUCAAGAAGACGCCAUAGCCAGGUCCUAUCGCGUCACGAGCAUUAGCGACAAAGGUCGCAAUUAUGAGUUGCGUGGGUUCUCUUGUACAAGAAGCCAGACUAUCAAAACCAAAGCAACAAAAUCCGAAAGCCAUGAGUACAUCGUUGUCGCCAAAAUCCCUCACUACGUCUACAACUGUAGGGAGGUCCCACCACAUCCAUCAACGCAACGACAGUACUGUCUUCUCUCCGCACUAUAACACCGUCUCGUCGCAAUGCCACAAUGAUCUCGUUCACUGUAUGUACAGGCGUUAAGAUUCACAAGUUCACCUCACAAUUGCGCAGCAUCGGUGCGUAGCGUCAAGGUUGUUGAUUGAAGCGGGAUGAUAGAUCGCCGCCGUGGUGCCGGUAAUAAUUUGAUCUGCAAAGUGCAGGGAAAGAGAGUGGGAGAAUGAUUGAUGAACUACGGGCUUCGCCAUAUCCCAUCCGCACAUCAACAAAAUCCUCCGCUGGCAAUGCCUCACGCCAUAGCUCAUCCCAUCGAUAAGCUCGUACUUAUUGGAGCAACGGAGCUUCACGACAUGUCCCGUAUUAACAUGUGCCUCAUGCUCAUCACUUAUAUACCACUAUUUGAAACUCGUGCAGUUGGCUACUAAAAAAAACAAUGUAAAUAUUGAUUUUUUGUUUGAAGCUUCUCAUGAGGUGAAACUCCAUGUUGCAUGAUGUUCCACAAUGUGGUGCUUUCAAGCUUCACUCUUAGUGAUCUAGUGCUGCUACUCUAGGCAAUCUCUAUCAAUGGCAUGCAGCUUUUGAUGUCUUAUUGAUCAAAAGUUGAAUAGUUGCUUCACAUUUAAUGAAAAUGAUGAAAUAUGUUGCCAUUUAGAAUGGUUUUUGUUUCCUUUGGUUUAUCCAGAUGGUUUAUCUCCUUGUACUGUUUUAUAUAAGAGAUUCCUUAAAAUAGAAGCCUAAAUUAAGAAUAUUGCAUUAAGGAUUAAGAAUGUUGUAAAAUACCAUAAUAUGUUUAUUGUUUUGAUAUUGUUUAAAAUAUUCUUUCAAAGUGCUGUGUAGAGAGUUUUUUCUUCUUCUUUUUUUUUUUUUUUUUUUUUUUCUUUUCUUUCUUUCUUUCUGUUGUAGAAGGUCAUAUUUUGUAAAUUUUUUUUUCUUAGUAUUCUUUUUUAGGUGGAUGAUGUACAUGGAAGUGAGAGUAAAUCCACCUUUAAUUUUGUCAGUGUUUGUUUAGAAUGGUAUAGCUCUUGUGACUUUGUGCUUUUAUGUGUACCUGAUUCUGUAUUAUUGUACUAUUGUGUCUAUUCUUGAUUUUUUAUUUUUUUUAUGUCAUUAAUAUCAAAUCAUUUUUUAAAAAACUAAAAUUCAAACACAAAAAAUAAACAGUGAGGGUAAUAAUUUCGUGUGGAUUUUUAAAAUACUAUAAAAUGUCAUCCAUAUCAAAAGCAUAUCAAUAAAAUAAUUUGUAUUUUUUAUGUUUUUAAAUGGUAAUUUAUAAAUUAGGUAUGCUUACAACAUGUUUAUUUUAAGAUUAAAAAACAAACUAAUGAUAUAUUUUUCAACGAUGUACCCUCAAUAAUUAAUGAGAUUAUGAGUAAAAUUUGAAAAGUCAUUGGUAACAUUUUACAAAAUCAAAGUAUGAUUUAAUAUUAAGAAACUGUUACCAUAGAAGUAUGAUUUCUUUUGUGGGUUCCAACAUUUAACUACCAGAAAUAAAUUAUUUAAAAAUAAUUUAUUGUUGGUUUAAUAUAUAUACAUAUAUCACCAUAUUAUGCAAUUAGAUGCAGACCACUUUUGUCUUUACUAUCUUUAACAUUAUUUGGUAUGUGUUUUGAUAUUUGUGAAGCAUAAAAUGUAAAGUCUUAUAAACUAUUACAAUCCAUAUACCACAAAAAUCUAGGAUCAGUGGGUUAGGUUUGGUAGUAUGCAAUAAAACACACACAAAAAGUUCAUGACCCAGAUAUGUUCAAUUUUUGAGGUAAAAAACAAAUUGUAUAAUAAGAUGAAAUUUUUUGUAUGUGAAAAAAUGCUUUUGUGUGCACAUAUGUCUAUGAUACUAAUAUUCAUUAUAACUGUAUCGACGUGAAACCUUUUUCUUGCAUGAAAAACUUCUUAAGUUUCUGUUCCAACUAAUAAAUGUUAUUUAUCUAAUUAUUCUUGCCAUGUAGUUUCCCAAAUUAAAAUUUCAAUGGCCACUGUGUGCACAUCAAUUCAUUUAAAAAACAAGGAACUGUCAACUUUUGACCAACUAAAAGAGUCAUGAGAAAAAAACAAACAAACUAAUAAACAAACAAAUAUGUGGUCAUGCUCUCUUGCAAAAAGUAGAAACAAAUCAUUUUCAAAGAAUUGUUUGUUGAAUGUAUUAUCAAGUGAAAAAACACCACUUUGACUACGUAAAACAAAAGUUGAAAUUUAAUUUGAUUAUAAUACUAAUGGUAAGGUCAGGAUUCGAGGGGACUGUCACGUCAUGGACAGGACCUGACGACGUGGCAGAGCCCACCAGAGGCUUCCGGAGGGGGAGCAGUCUUUCUCUCCUUCUGUACGGCAUUGCCAACUAGGAUUGUAAUUGACGGGUCUGGUACCCCUCUGGCGUCCUAGUUGGACCCCCCCCCACACACACACAACUCUGCAUCCAAUCAGAGGGAUCCAAUCCCUCAAAAGAUCCAAAACCAAACAGUUGCGUGUAUCAAUUGAUUUGUGCUCUACCAUAUUUGAGAACUCAAAUUGUUUUAUAUAUCUAUAUAUAUAUAUAUAUAUAUCUAUAUCUAUAUAUAUAUUAUGAAAUGUGUUUUACAAUAAGGAAGGAAGGAGUAGACAUACUGAUCUGUUUAUUUAUUCAUUUGUUUUUGUUGUUGUUGUUGUUUUUUUCUUUUCUUUUCUUUUCUUUUUUUUUUUUUUUUUUUUUUUUUUUGUUUUUUUUGAUGCAGGGUCUUGUUGGACAUUUAUGUUCGCCAAGAUGAAAUGAAUUCCCACAAAUACUGUGACACCAACCUUGUUAGUUUAAAAGGUUUUUGUUGCAUAUGCACAGUAGCCAGAAUUAUGGGGUGCAUCCACUUCAUCUCUCAAAUUGUCUAUAAAUUUUAAGAAUGCAUCGGGGUUUCAAGUGUAACAACAUACACAUACAGGGUCGGCACAAAGUCCUGACCCCACAUGUAGGUAACACAAGAGAAUGUUGAAGAGAAGCACAUUUUUGUUCAAUGGAGGGGGCAUUACAACAACAACAACAACAACAAAUACCACGAGAUUGUGGAGGCUUUUUGAUGUUCACAAGAAGGUGGAAGGUUCUCAUCUUAUCAAAGGUGCACUUAGCAAGGUUCUUCUAAAGGAUUUCUUGGUUAGAUUAAUAAUGAAAUUUCUAGCAAGCUAUGUGGUUAUUGCUUGUUUUGUUGUAGGAUCGCAUCCCUUUGUUAUCUUAUUUUCCUAUUUAUUAUUGGCUCUUCUAACUGGAUCACAAAGUAUAAUGAAUAUUUUGAAGACUUUGCAAAGCGUACUACAUAUAUUUUAUUGUCUUUUCUAUUUUUUAUUGGAUUUAUAUUAGUUUAUUAAAGACACAAUAAUAAAACCAAACAAAUAAGGACUUAGUUAUAAAAAUUGAAACAUAAGAUUUUCACAAACUGGUUCUAUAUUUUUUUCAAAACCAUUAUUUUCAAUAUAUAUAUAUUUUCUGUGAGUAGGAGAAUUUGUAUUGUGUCAAUAUCAAAAUGUAAAAAUUAACAUUUUGUAUCAUAACAUCACAAUAUAAACAUUUUUAGAAAUAAAAUUUUAAAAAAUUGUCAUAUUUUGUACAAGCUAAAGGAUCUUCUUUAGAAUCUCUAAUGGUUAUGUAUAUUAACCAAGUUAAAUGUCAAUAUAAUAAAUUUAUUACGUUUUUUUAAAUGAGCCUCAAUCAAAAACUAAACAUAAUAUUGCAAUAUAAUGCAUCUUCCAUAUGAUAUUAAAUUAUAAACACCACCAACAUACCAACAACAUAGUAAUCAUAAUUAAACAAAUAAAAAUAUUAUCAAAAAUAUGGAUAAAACAAUAUUUAUUUAUGUAAGUUAUAUUUAUAUAUAUAUAUAUAUAUAUAUAUAAUAAAAAAUACAUUGCUAUAUAGUUAAUGUUUUUACAAUUGUUAGUUUUUUUUUAAAACAAGCUCAAUAUUAGACUCCUACAAGUAGUAGUGUAAAAUAUAAAUUAUUAGUGCAUGCAAUAAAUUACAUCUUGAGCCUCCAAAACAUUAUAAUUAAUUUUAAAUAUUAUUUAUAUUUAAAGUAUCAAAAAUGUCUUAUAUCCUAACUAGAAAGUAGAAGUAAUAGCAAAGCAAAAAUAAGACCAUUGAGAAUUGUUGUAGUACACAUAGUAUACAUAAAACCAUGCAAAAGGACAAAAUAAUAAUAAAAUUACAUUAGAAACGCCAAUUAAGUAUUAUUGCACAGAAAUAAUGGUAAAAAAUACAUGCAUAAUAUUGCAAGUAUAUAAGGUUGUCAAUCUCUUUCAGACUUAAAAAAAUAAGUAAAAAUAUUAUAAUAUGCCAUGGCAAUAUAUAUUUUAUAUAAAAAUAUUGUUAAAUUAGUUAGAGUUGUUACACAUCCAUUUUAUCAAAACAAGCUUAAAAUAGAAAUUCUUAAAAAAUCAUACUAUAAUAAUAGAAUAUUUUUAUUUAAUAAUUUUAAAAUAAAAAAUAAAAAAUAAAAAAAUGAAAUUUAUAAAAACAAACAAAUAAAUUUUUAUAGAUACAUUUUUUAACUGAGUAUGCCGUAAUAUUUGUGGAAAAAAAUUUAGGCUAUUAUCCCAAAAUUAUACAAUCAAAAUUGAAAAUCAAUUAUCUGCUAUGGUUGUAAAGAAGCCUAUUUUUUAAAAAAAUGGGGACCAUUAUCUUAUCUCUUAUUUUGUGGUAUGCCAUAUCUCUUGUUAUACCACAUAAUUGAUUACUAAAAUAUGCAAUUUUUGAAGAAAUAGGAAUUUAUAGAAAUUAUCAAAAAAAAAAAAAAAAAGUUAUGCCUUUUUAGAUUCAAAAAUGAGUGAGGAUUAAUAUAAUUUUAACUUUUAACAUUUUAAAGUCUAUCUUCAAUGCAAAGUAUCUUCUUGAAGAUAAAACUCAACCUGAAUUUUUCUAAAAUAUCAAAAUUGAAGUAAUUAGUCAGCUCACAAAACGUACUAGAAUAGACUAAAUUUAUAAAAAAAUUACAAAAUUAUUGUGAAGUUUUUAAGAGCAUUCUUUCAAGUUGAAGUUGAAGGUGAAAAUGUAGAGGAGUUUUUUUUAACAACCAUUUGACAUAAAGAGUUUAAAUAAGUCCUUACCUAUAAUAGAAGAAAGAAGAGAGUUGACAAUUCUAAUUGAUACUCUGAAAGUUUUUAAUUCCUUUGUGAAAAUAAAUAAUAAUAAAUACAUAUAUAAUAUUAUUAAAAAAUCUAAAGUAAGGAUAUUAUUCUAUUUGUAUAAGAUUUAUAUAUUACACAUUGGUAGAAGAAGAAAAACUUAUGAUUUAUAAAAUCUCAAGUCAUAUCUAUCACAUUAGCUACUAUGUAAUUUAAAUAAUAUACAGAUAAAAAGGUGACACAAUGUCAAUUAAAAUAUACAAAUUAUAAUAUAUGAAAAAUAGUCAAAUUCUUCAAGAUGCUAUGGGAAAAUAUACCACCAAAGAAUUUUUGAUUAAAAAAAGAAGCAUUUAUAUUAUGCUAUAAUUGUAAAUUAAUUUCUACAUAUAAUUUUUACCUUAAAAAUAUAAUAACUAUUUUUAAAAACUUAUAUUAGUUUCCUGAUAAAAUAAUAAUAAUAAUAAUAAUAAUAUAAAAAUUAGAUUUGUUUUUAAAGCUCAAGUAUCAAUACUUGCCAAUGCACUUCAAGAAUUCUAAUUGACCAAGGUAGAAAAUAUAUAUAUAUAUAUAUAUAUAACUAAUUUCAUCAAAAAAAAAAUUGAAAAAAAAAAUUUAAAAGAGUUCUCCAAAGCAUAAAAGUCCAAAUCAAUUAUGAUGAAUAUGAUACAACUAGCUAACAAAGGGAAGUAAUUUUAUUCCAAUUAAUUUUCUGUUAAACCCGUUUAUAGCUCCUGAUACCAAGAACUUUAAAAUAACAUUUUUUUUUUUUUUUUUUUUUUUUUUUAUAAUAAAGACAAGUUUAGUAUAAUAAAAACUAUUAAGUUAUAUUUUUAAUAGCUUUAAAAAUGACUUAAUACUAUUCAUAUUAUUUGAUAAUAAUAGAAUAAAAUAAAUUAAUUUAAAAUAUUUUAAGUGUGACCUUACAAUGCACCCAAAAUUAUUAGAAUAAUUCGAAAAAAUUACAAGAUCUUAUAAGAUCUCUAUAAAAUCAAAAUUUUCAAUGAAAAUUAUGAUAUUGGUAAAAUAAAAAUUAAGCUCUCGGAAGGAAUAAUAAAAAUAAUAAAUUGGUUUUAUUUCACAUGAACGUUCUUAGUGUAUUAUUGCCAAUUACAGGCUGCUAUUGCUCUUUAUCAUUUUUUUUUAAUUUUUUAAUUUUGAAAAAACAUCAUAAAUUUAAUAAUUACAAGUUCUAAUAAAAAUAAUCAAUAUAGACCAAUCUAAAUUUUUUCUCUGGUUAUUUACAUUUAAUAAUCUCAUACUAAUUCAAACAAAUCUUAUGCAAGAAAAUUAAUUAAAACAAUCUUUUAUCUUCUUGAAGCUUUACUUCACAAAAGCCUAGGUCAUUAUAGAACAUAAACUUGUAUUCAUUUCAACGUACACAAUGAAUUUUAUUUUAAAAAUUAUCUUUAUUUUUAUUUUUAUUUUUAUUUUAAUGUAUUGAUAAUAUAAAUGUACCAUUUGUUUUGUUUCCAAUUAAAAGGGAGGUAUAGCAAAAUUAUUUUCUUGUCUUAUACAUCCUUUUUAUUAUUGUUAAAUUUUGUAAUGCAGUUGUUAUAAAUGAGGUAGAAUUUAAAAUUUAUAAAUAAGUUAUCCUAUCAAUAUAAAGAAUAAAAAAAAUUAUUAUAAAAUAUACUAACAACAAAUUACUUGUGUUAUUACUAUAAAUGAAUUGGUAUAUUAUAUUCUCUAUAUUUUAGAAAAUUCAAGUUAUGUCUUUUACAUGGUUAUUAAAUGCACAAAAUCUAAUAGCUAUUAAAUAACACACUAGAAAUUACACAAAAUUAGAUAAAAGAAUACAUAACAUAAAAUAAAGGAUUUUUUUAACAUUUCGAAAAGUUUUUGAAAGAUCUUUUACUAUUUAUUUACUAUUAAAGACGUGAUUUUUUUUAAUUAUUAUUAAAAAAAUUUAUAAAAAUUAUCUUAUUGAUGCAACAAAAAGAUCAUUACUAUUGAAAGACAAGAAAUAGUUUAUUUCUUCUUACUUUAAGCUUUGUAUUAUAUUUUUUAAAAUUUAAAGAAACAAUCAAAAAAGAUGUCAACAAAAUCAAAACAAUUACUAUCAACUAUUUAGCAUCAUCUAAAGACAUAUAGGACAAUUGUGUAAUAGUAGAAUAACUUUAGUGGUGUUAGCAUCAAAGAAAAUAUGACAUUAAUUAUAUUGAUAUACAAGUUGUAGUAGUGGUAUGAAUAAAAAGUAAUAUAUUUAAAGAUUAUAAAAAUUUGUCUUGUCCAACUUCUAUCUCUUGUAUAAAAUUGAUGAGGAUAAUUUUGGCUUUACAACAGUAGCUAAAAGAAUCCACGCUAAUUCUUUAUUUUUCUUUACAAGAUAUUAAAAUUUAAAAAAUAUGCUUUAAUAUAAAAUUGCAUGACAAUGGCAUAGAGAACUAUAUUAUUUUUGCAUGGUAGAAAAGAAUAGUCUGAUAUUUUUCUUGUGAUUGCUUCUAAAAUUUGAAGUUGUAAGAGAAAGUAUAAAAUAAAUAAAUAAAUCUAUGGCAUACUUGGCAUAAGUUUCUAGUGGUCAAUAUGUAGAUAGAUGUGAUACUACAUGAUGCAUCUAUUAAUGAAAAAAAUUAGUUUAAAUUGUAUACAACUUGUAAUGUAGAUGAGAAAGACAUCAUUAUUUAUCAAUUUUGGAAUUACUCAUCCACACAAAAAUCAAAGACUUAGCACACCAACAUAUAAAACUAGUCAUUUUGGUACAAAGUAAACUACUAUUUUGCAACUUCCUUUGUCCCACAUAAAAGCACCACAUAAUAUUUCUUUUGUCAACAAGUUGUGACUAUUAUUUUGUAAAGCAAUCAUGCAAAACCUCUAAAUCAAAUACAACAACAAGCAUUUUGAAAGAUUAAUUUGAUUUUCAACCAAAUUAUGUAGAAUACAUUUAUAAAAUAUAAAUAAAUAAAUAAAAUCACCUAAAUAAAAGCUACAAAAUACACCAAGCUAUGCAAAAACUUUCAAAACACAUGAUAUAAAAAUGAUCUCUUUACCAAAUAGAUAAAAUACUAGCUUCACAAGCAUCUCUCCUAUCCCAAAAACAUUUCUACCACACAAGAAAAGAAGUAGCUAAUUAUUUCAACAGAUUAGGUAGACAUCUCUAGAAUAUCUUCAUUUAUCAAUGAAAGUUCACUCUAUCAGCGUUAAUUAAAAAACAGAAAACAACAAUAACAAAACAAGAAUUCACAAACACACGAAGUGCGUGGGAGCUUGGAAUGGCCAUGAAAACCACACCGAAUUGUGGAGAUCUGGAGCUCAGGGUGAAGAAAAGCACAAAGAACAACAGCAACAACGAGAUCGCGGCGUUAUCAGCAUGGGAAGGUCGCACUGGGAUGUGAUUUGAGAACCUACAUUGCACGGGAACCAGAGGGGCGCAAUGAAAUCCGGUAACCUGCCGAUGCUGGAUAAGGCAUCAUCCCCAACAAUUGAUUGUGUGUUGGCAUUCCAAAUCUCACCUCACGAAAACUUUGCGCUUCUUUGCUGUUGUUGUUGCUCUCAAUUUGCCCAACUGGGUGGGUCUCUCUGAUAGGGUUUAGCAAUUUCAUCCCCUAAAACUGUCUGUUUUGGCAGAUGCUUUCUGAUAGCUAGAUCAGCACUUGUGUGGGUUUUGUGUGUAGUGGGCUUCGGCAACUCCUCCCCAGUUUAGGAGUUUCCAUGCCGUGGAAAAGUGGGUGGCUGGUUCUUUGACAGCCACAUCGUUGGUUACAUCUCUAGGGGAUGUUGACGAGGUGUUUAGUUUCUGGGAAUUGGCGUCGCGUAUCCCAAAGCUGAAAUGGACGCUGUCUUGUGAGGGGUUGAGUGUGUUUGUGGCGCUUGUGCAACGUGAGGAGUUCCAUGCUGUGUUUUGGAUUCAAGGUGAGGGUUGUUGGAUUCAGGCGUCAUUCUCGUUUCUGCGUUCUGUAUGGGUUGCAUUACAACCGCGUCGUGAAUGGUUUUUUUUUUUUUUUUUUUUUUUUUUUUUGUCUCUGGGAGUACAUUGUAAGGAACGGUCCCUUCCCAUUCACGACGCGGUUGUAAUACCUUGGCGGUGUUUGUUCGUCGACUUUGUGCUGUAGUGAAAUCGAGGAAGAAUCCUGUGAAUUGGGCGGUAAUGCCAGCAGUCCUCAUUCUGGAUGUCAGGGGUGAUCAUGAGAGUUUGUCUGUUGCAUUGCUGUUGAGAUUUUAUGUUCUCAUCCUCGUGGUGGGUAGUGAUCCUGGUCGUGUUUGACGAGCUCUCGCACUCUGGAUUCUCUAGUGAGUAGCGCUGUCUUUGCUAGGUUUAGAGUUUUUAGUGACUAAUUCGUAAACUGUAUGUUAUGGAGCCGCAGAAAGUUGGAGCGAUGGCACAUUCACGCGCUGCGAUGAGGCUCGCUGCUUGUGAACCCCUCCAGGUGGAAUUCCACUCCGCUCUAUCGUGCUUAAGAUUGUGUCCGGUCCUUAAAACAAUUUCCGUUAAUUUUCAGCUAAGCCAGUUACAGUUAGAUAGAAAUUGGAAUGGUUCGCAUCCUUGGGGGCAAUAUGAGAGCGUCUAUGCACGUGCUGCGGUGCCUGCAGGUUUUAAAAAUCCGAUCGAACGCAUCAAAUUUGAUAUCUCAUGGGGGUAAUGGCGGAUUUGACCCGAUCAAGUUCAUAUCGUCAAUUACUGUUAGAAGAACUGGAAACAUUUCAAGUAGUAAGCAAACUAUUGGUGUAUCUCAAUUAUCUGGUGUGAGGAGAUUGGGGGAGGGAGGUCUGCGAGCACCUCAAUUGCCGAAAGCAGAGACAGUCCCUCGGCCGAUUCUCAGAGAGAAACAUUCCAACCUGUUGACUUGUUCACGUAAGUAAUAUGUAGAUUCCCUCUUUCAGGCCAAUUAGUAUUUUAGAAUAAGCAUGUUAAAUUGCUCAGAAAUCUGGAAUGCAUCUAGACCAACUUUUAAAACAUCUCUACAUAUACUCACCAGGCAAGGUUGUGGCACAUUGGCGUCAAGAAAAUCAGUCCUGGAUGCCAAUUCGGAAUUCGAGGUUCCGUUAUUCGUCUCUUCAAUUUGCUUGUUCCACCUGUGAUUGCAUCCGAUGCUUCAAGUGUGAAGAACAUAUUAUCCGCAAAAUUGGAUCAUGGUUUUAGUAAUUUGACACUUGUCUGUGAUGAUAUCAAGUGUCUCCCAGCAGUACUGUGCAAGUGGCGACCUCGAUGUUCACUCUUGGCACGGCGUUCGUUGUACCAUUCUACACAGCUAUGGUUUUUGCCCCGAAGUGGAAAUGGGUACUUUCUCUAACUUCGAGCUUUCCUCUUUUGAGAGAUGAUUUCCUGUAGUAUUAUAUGUAGGUGGGUGCGGCCUACAAUUCCCUUACCUGAUCAUUUGUACGGUUUUCGAAACAGACUAAGAAGCUCGUGGAAAACGAUAUACCAUUUAUCGUGUUGGGCGCGAUGUACGUCUACCUUCUUUUCCUUUCAUGGACACCAGAAACUUUGGGCCUUAUGUUUGCAAGCAAAUAUUGGCUCCCAGAGGUAAAUCACCUGUUCUGCUAGUGAAUUUGACUUGUUAUUACAGUAUUAGCACAUGUUUUAUAACCUUGAUUCUUUUCUUUUUGUCAGGGUUUUCGUAUUUUUGUUGUAGCCUGGUUACUAACUCCAUGAAUUGACACGUGAAAGUAGCUUCCGGGCAUUACUCGCAUGUUUUCAAGCACUAUCACGGUCGCUUCAGCAUGGAUCCAUUUGCUUGUAGCUGACCUCUUUUGCGGCCGGUAAGUGACGUAUAUUUAUUUACUUGUUCCUUUGAUUAUUAUUCCCAUGAGGUCCUUGUCGGAUUCGCAAGCAAGGUCAGUCCCGCUUAGUGCUGGUAGUGAAGAUUAUAUAUUGAUUUUGUGUAGGUACGUGUAUCUGGAUGGACUUCAGCACAAAGUAGAGACUCGUCAUUCACUUGUAUUUUGCCUCAUGAUGUGCCCUAUUGGCAUCAUCUCUCAUUUGGUCACCAAGGUGCAUCUCCUAACUCACUCCUUUAUUGUUCUGUAAUGUUAAGAAUUCCUUAUGCCCAGAGGUUCAAGUCAGACGUAACAUUGUAUGCAAGUUAAUUAAAUUAGAACGGUGGAAGUAGCUCCCCUCAAAUCACAAUUAAUGCAUGAGGUUACGAGUAGAUUCAGAGGCUCCAAAUUAGACUUAAGCCUUAUUUCAGUUUCACAACUAGACGUCAGACUUUUAGUUUUGUCAAGGCAUUCGUAACAUCUCAUUCGUGUGUAACGUAAGUCGCGAACACAAGUAUUUUGCGUCUCUAUGAUUUAGUAAGUAGAAAGGGUGUAACUAAUCAAACAGGUAUAUGAAGCAAGUUUUUUAGCUCGAAGCGAAUAGAGUGGUCAAGGUAAAGUUCACAGCUUUAAGAUUUCUAAGCUCUUCGCUCCGUGUGGUACAAAUCCCUAGUUAAAGUACACAUUUUUCGAAACCGCAAUUGCUUAACUUGGCAAGUUUUUACUCGCAUGACAGAGAGAGAGGCUUUGUGUUACAUGCUAAAAUGGCGUUUUCUUCAGGUUCUUACAUCCUUCGCACGGCGCAUUGAUGGCGAGAGCACAACAGACAUAGGAAAAGUACUGGCGUAGGAGUGCUAUUCUAGUGCCCCCCCCCCCCCUCCUCCUCUUCGGUUGUACUGGAACGACUGUGUGGUAUUCUACCAAGACACGAAAACCGGUGUUCAACUCCUUGUACCACACGAGUGAGAGUCUAUAGGGUUUUUAUAUGAUUUAGAAGGUGCUUCUUGAGUUUGUACACUUCUUGUUUUCGUACCUUGUGUGUAGACCAGGAGAAAAAAAGUUAACCUGCCAUUAGCAUUAUCGUGGCCGUCCAGACGCCGAAUUUUCCUUUGUACAUCAGUGGAAAUGACUUGCAAGCAGAGUGAUUCUUUGAAUGAGUUCCACACUCAGCGGGAUAUGUCGCUCAGAAACCUCGCAUCUACUAAAAGACUACCUACAAAUUUCUAAAUCAUUGAAAAUCAGUAAGAGUUGCGGAAAGUGUUGUCCACCUAUAUAGCCUAGUGUAGACCGUAAAAUUGUGAUCCUAGGCACAUCAAGCACAUCCCGGAGCAGAUGUUGUAAAUGAAGCUCCGGAGCUUGAUCACAUGUGCUCCAUCGCUCCUCUUAAAAAUUAUUAUUGUUAUUAUUCAUCUGCUUACUCCUGUGUGGAGUUCCCCUUUCCCAUCCUCAAAACUUCGCUUUUGUCAUUACUAAUUUUUGCUAUUAUUCGAAUUUGCCUCACUACAGAUAAUAGUUACAAAGAGAGUGUGAUACGAAAGCAAGUUGGUCACAGGUGUCACCCAUCUCAAUAUCCACAUUCCUGAACAGCCAUGCUGAUAAUGUACAAUACCACAAAAGAAGACGGCCAACUCAGACGAGUUGAGCUGUGACGUGGUAUACGUUUUUUUAACUAACUUUAAAAGGAGAGUACUCUACACUGUGUAAAUCAACACCCAAUUAACAAGUGUGUUGGAGAGCAUCAAGGUAACCACUACACUCUACAAUUCAAUUCACCAUAAUUAUAUUGUACAUGCCACCUAUCACACUAAUAAACCAUAAUAAUCAAUAAAUUUGCUUGACAUUGAUUACUAGAAUAUAUGCUUGCAAACUAUUAUUGUAUGAAAGCAUACAUAUAUUAUUAUUUAUUGUUAUUAUUGUUAUGAUAACAUAUUCUUGUUUGCAAAUAAUUUAUUGUAAUAUAUAUAUAUAUACAGAUUUAUUUGCAUAUACAUGUAUAGGAUUUAAAUGUUUUUAUUAAUGUAUCAACCAAAUCCAUACAAAAUUAUAACCGAUUAGAAUUUUAAUAAUAUAUUUUUGAUAUCACUAUAAUUUGAUCAUUAUAUAUUACUGUAUGAUCUUUAAUUACAUAUGAUGUGUUAUAAAUAGGCCAAAUUGUCUUUUAUGUAUUUUUUUUAACUACACAUCUACAACAGAUAGAAUAAAUAAAGAUUUUGGUAUUCAACACACAAGUAUUAUAUAGGAAAAGACAAGUAGUACAAACGAAUUAAAUCUAUGUUAAGUAAAUGAUUGACAUUGUCAUUCAAAUUACUAUUUUUACUAUCUUGAGCGUUGUUAUUUUCAGAAUGUGUCGUUGGAAUGAACUACUAAAUGAUAUGUUGAUGAUUAUGUUCAUUUGUUCGAGUUUUAUCACAAAGUCCAGCAGAGUUUUUUCGCAGUUCCGUGUGGAACCUGGGAAACUGCACCCUUACUUGGAAUAAUUUGUUCCCUUGUGGAGCCUUCGGAGUGGGACAAGCGGCAGCAAUGCGCAACCUCAAGCUGAAUUCACGUGUAGCAAAGGGGAAUUUGUUGUCCGAUGUGGAAGCUUGACUUGCAGGGGGUAACAAAUUUUGUGCGGCCUGUGCUGUGCAAGCAGGUGGGUCUGUUACUAAACUGGAUUGCGGUCUCCCAGGUCUGCUUUUUGCGUUCAUGUGAGCCGCCGCCACUGCCACGACACUCCCUCACGUAAAAGGAUCUGUGGAUACUGAAGAUCCACAACGACUACAAGGUUCCAAGAUGUGGCAGUCUCGGGAUCCACCUCGCUUCCUAUUCUCGCAGUUGACUCCAGGAAGUUUCCAAUUCCUCGCAAAGUGCGGUAUCUGGUAGACCACGGUGACCACGAAGAAUCACUAGUAAAGACACCGUUUUGCUUCUCGUGGUAGCUGUGAAAGUUAUCUAUAGGUUGUGUAAACGCCACUUCGAUGAGAAUGAUCAGACAAGGGUCAAGCCGCUGCAUGAGGUUCAUGGUGGGAAGGACAUGAACUCUGAGUGCAGAAGAUGUGUUGGAAAAGAUCGCAACUACACAGCAUUUCAUCGAUUGAAGUCUAGAUUCUAGUGGAAGAGGUUGAGGGGUACUCUGGGAGGAAGAGGCGCAGUGAAAUUUGUGGGGAUUUGUGGGGGGCGUGUAACUGGAUUGUGUUCGUUUUUUUUAAUGCGUGAAGGCAUGUGGAUCCCAGCCUGAAGAGCUGAGAAUUGGUGACAACCUUAUAACAGGGCGAAGACACAGAAGGGGAUUCCUCGCUGGGUAACAGUGGUGCGAACCAUAAGGCGAAGUGAGAAAUUGAAGCUGAUGAAUCUAUGUUGAAGUUAGUGAGAGUAGACGUAAAACUGGUUAGAAGUGCGGUUGGGAGAAAGGUUAUAAUAUCCAAGUGGGGGAUAAUAGAGUCUAGAGGGUUUGUUUUUGCAGGUACAGUUGAGAUUCUUGCAAGACGAGCCAGCACAUCCCUGACGAUAUCGCCCUGCUGUCACUCGCACUGCUUUGCGUAACCAGCGCUGCACAAGGUCUGCUCCCACUCCUUGCAGGUUUCAAGGCCUUCCUCUCCAAGUCGGUAAGGUGCGUGCAUGAGCUGGCUCUGGCUUCCAAAGUUACACUAAAGCCUCCACAACACUCUACGGCCACCGCUCAGUAUAGCACUCCGCGUACACCUCUCCUCUGGUGCUUUUGUGUGGAUUUCACUUCUGUCUCCAUUCUUUAGCUUUCGAUGGCUUGUACCUGAUCGACCGGCACGCCUGAAGAGUCGCUUCUCAUGUCACUCCAUUUCUGACACCCGCGCGGUACAUUCCAUGUUGAAUUGCUUGCAAAUAGUCCCUUUCGAGCUCAGACACCUUUUUGUAUUCAUUCGAAAGUAUUAACUUUUGCAGAAUCCUGAAGUUAUACUCUAAUUUGCAAACAAGGUUAAGGAUCGAAAUUUGUUUAAAGAAGAAAAAGAAUAAGGUGGACUGUGGCCUAAAGCUCCUGUCUGAAACCGUGAAUCUAUUGUUUUCGGCUAUGGGGGUUGUUCAAUUAUUAUAUGAGAGAUUAGUGAGCCCCUGCACAUGUCGCGAUUGGUUCUGUAGGUUCCGAGCUCCGUCCUUGCGAGACAUGGUGACUGUGUGAAUCUUGGGUGGCGAGCCUGUCGACUGGUACAUAGCUACUUUUCUUAGGUGCUGUACCAUGUGGAUUGGGCGCGAGUUGCUGGGGAGGUAACUAAUUACCGCUCGGAUGCGCAUUUCAGCUUCUGACAAAAAAACAAUCUGUAUUCUAGACAAACAAACUAUGGGUGUAUUCAUCCUCGAAUCAAAGGAGCGAGCCCGGACUUCAACGAGGUCAGGACAGCCUUGUCAUUGAAGAUUUUAAUUACAGUACACUUGUACAAGCCACUCUUGCAGCAGCUUGCUUUUUAUACGGGAAUUGAGAAUGUAGUCUCGAAGCAACCAGGAGGAGUGAUUCUUUUUACCUGUCGGCUGCGGCGGUGACUACCUAAAGGGUUGCUUUGCGAGGAAAGAGAGACAUUAUGUUUUGUAAAACAGGUACAUGGGAUGUUGCGCAGGUGGAUCAGCUCAGUUCAUGCCAUGAAUGAGAGAUAAAAAGAGGGUUUGGGACAGGGCGAACUGGGGUGUGCGUGAAUGCUCCACAGUUUCAAUUCGAGGGAUUGAUUAAAAUUUGCAGAGUGAAGGAGUGUUGCUUUAACGGAGCUCGACACGAUGAAGUUCAUGAGGUUGGGAUCGAAGCCUGACUGCUUCACUACUCGUGGCAAUCACACGUAAGCCUCUCCCCCUUGAAUUAUUGGUGCACUUUGUUCAAUCCCAUUUCUGUCGGAUCCAAAUUUGACGACACUGUCUGCGCAUUUUUUUAUUUGUGCGUAUGAAGAAAGGAAACAUGUUGAAAACUGAAGUGCUUUGGAUAGUCAAACCGCAGCAUUUGGAUGACAGGAAAUCUCUCGUAGUUGCAUUUUUAUAUCACGAUAUAAUCACAAUUUCGAUUAUCUUGUCAUCCUGGAAAAUGGAUGUGUCAUACCUCCCCAAAUUUUAAACCAUCUGCUGCUCGAGUUAGACGUUCUUCUGAGGUGAAUGAAGUGGCCGUGAAGAGGACAAUAAGAAGUGUCGCUUUAGGAUUGCCAUCCAUAUCGUGUUGAAUCGGUUCUCACUGAGGAAGUUGGUGGUUAUUGUCGAAAUCCAGGACGGUGAAAUCCGACCUUGUAAGCGAUAUUAUCAUGGAUGUAGAUGGACACAAAUUCCACCUUCACUUGGUAAGCAGAAAUCUGGAAGUUAAUAAUCACUUGAGUUCUGCUGGAGGAAGAUAUUAGUGUGUGCGCAUGAGAAUGCACCUUUGCAAGCGAAGAUCAUGUUAAUAAGAUACACGUUAAUCCUAUACCCCAUUUCAUGCUUUCAGUUGUUUAGAGGUUUCAAAUCCUAUUAAAGGGAUGCAGUGAGCAAUCGACCCAAUGAACUGACGACGGAUUUUGGCUCGACAGUUUCCGCUUUUGGCGAAGUGUGGAGCUCUGCACAAAAUUAUCAGUGAGGCACUUGAAGCCGGCGAAGACGACGUCGAGAUCAACGACUUUCCUGGAGGAGCUGAGUGCUUCGAAAUUUGUGCAAAAUUCUGCUAUGGCGUUGCUGUGACUAUAAACGCACACAAUGUAAGCGCGGUCCGAUGUGGAGCAGAGUUUCUGAAGAUGACGGAAAGCGUUGAGCAGAGCAACCUCAUUCACAAGCUGGAAGUUUUCUUAAACACAUCUAUCUACCGGGGGUGGAAAGACUCGAUCAUCUGCAUUCAGAAUUGUAAAGACCAUCAGCCUUGGGCUGAAGAUUUGAAAGUAAGUCGCAGUUUCCAUUUCCGACCGUGUUCGUGAAUAGCAGUGGCCCUUUUAUUCUCGUUCUGGUCAUCAGCGAGUGUUCCGAGACUCGCUCCUGGUUUUUUUCUGUACACUUUGUUGCCUCUUGGUUUGGUCUCAUGCUUUGCCAGUGGGUGUCUCCAGAUAAUCAGUCGAUGCAUAGAAUCAAUCAGCUCAAAGGUGAUGGUCGAUCCUGCUAAAGUGGAUUGGUCAUUCUCGUAUACAAGAGACUCUUCGGCAGUUGACCAUGUGUCAAUUAGCCAACAUAAAAGUCCAGCCAUUUGGAACGGGGCUAGUUCAUCCCCAUGGCAGUCCCCAGUGCCGAAGGAUUGGUGGGUGGAGGACUUAUGCGAUCUGGACAUAGACGUGUUCUGUAGAGUCAUGGUGGCAGUGAAAGCGAAGGGAGUGGCGAGGGAGCUGGUGGGAGAGGCUCUCAGAGUGUAUGCGCUGCGUUGGCUACCAGGGAUAUCUGACGAUCAAGCUCUGUUCGACAACACGCGGAUGAUCAGUACAUACUUCACAGACGAUGUAGAAGAAGCAUCGAAGCAUAAGCAAGUGCUGGAAACCAUUGUCGGCCUGCUUCCAACUGAGAAAGGCUCCUGCUCUUGCAGUUUCCUGCUAAAGUUGCUCAAAGCGAGCACGAUUCUAAACGCUUCGACAGGUUUGAGGAUGGAAUUGGCAAGGCGGAUUGGGUCGCAACUGGAGGAAGCUACGCUGCGUGAUUUGUUGAUACCAUCUCUGUCGUAUGCAAAUGGGUCGAUGUAUGAUAUCGACGUAGUGAUGCGCAUUGUCGAGUACUGCCUCUUGGAAAGCCAAAAUCCUACGUCCUCCCCGGAGAGUGGGAAGGCGUAUGAGAUCCGAAGGACACGGUCUGCGGAGAACUUUGACCUCAUAGAAAGACGGGACUAUACAGCUUCGGCCCACAACUCCAUGUUUAAAGUAGCUAAGCUGAUAGACGGUUAUUUGGCCGAAAUCUCGAGAGACCCAAGCCUGUCUCUUGAGAAAUUCAUGCGAGCUGCAGAGUUUGUUCCUGAUUGUGCACGCCCUUUUCACGAUGGGUUGUAUCGAGCCAUCGACAUGUAUCUGAAGGUUGGUUGAAUUCUGACCUGAAUGCCGUAGUUUGAUUUGGAUACGUUCACAUUUCUUUCUCUUGCUUACCUGCUAGAGCCAAGCUUGAGAGUUUUAACAUUGAAAAUGGGCGGAGGUGCGAAGUUAGACCCUACCUGGAGACUCAAGUUUGAUUUUGUUCUUCCUUUUAACAUAUUCUCCUUGUCCUCAUGCAAACUCAUUGCCUGAGUGAACUUUUUGUCAGGAACAUCCGGAGCUGACGAAGCGUGAAAAGAAAAGGAUCUGCACACUGAUGGAUUGCAGAAAGUUGUCGAUAGAUGCAUCAAUGCAUGCCAUACAAAAUGAGCGAUUGCCUCUUCGAACUGUUGUACAGGUACAUACACAGUCAAUCUCUUCAUGUUGACGUUAGACUGUACUGGCUUGUUUGCCAUGAUAUGCGACAGGAUGUAAACUGAAAUGAUUCGCUAUUCCUUUCAUUCGAAAUCCUUCGGUAUUUAUGUUCAAUUACGGUAAAAUAAGUGGCUCCAAAUUGAUGAGAUCUUUGGUGAUCCCUGCAGGUGUUAAUGCAUGAGCAAGUCCGGACAGCAGCAGCAUCUGGAAGACUACUCGUCGGGGACAUAACAAGCAACAUCCGUGCACUGUUGGCUGAAGAAUCUAGCGACGACCAGAGCCUCUUUGAUAUGCGCACUGAUAUGAUUCCGUCCGCCCCGUCUGCUGGCGGUCAAGGCUGGGGAGCUCUGCACCAUGAAUUCUCCACCUUGAAGUGUGACUUGGCCGUUCUGGAGACUCGGAUCGCCGAGGCAGAGAAGGAUCGCACUUCAUUAACUACCGAUACUUCUUCGAAAUCCCUUAAAUCUGGAAAGAGUAUUCUAUCCAGACCUAAGAGGUUUUUUCAGAAACUCUUCAGCAAAAAGGUGUCAAACUCUGCCUCUUCCAUAGAAUCCGCAAGGCAGAGCCCCAUGCCCACCCUUGGUUCCUGCGCUCUUGUGCCGCAGCGGCGGCGGGGGCGGCGUCAUUCCAUGUCUUGAUCAAUGCAGCUACCACUGCAUGUUGCGCUUCUCAAUCAGGCAAUCUAUAGAGAUUUCACGUCUGCAGAUGCAAAGCUUGCAUCGGCACGACGCAAUGUCGACAGUCGAUCAUGGCUCAAAAAUUGUGAUUUAUCGUUGGGCAGUUGGAGAGGUUCUGUUCGAAGAUUCCCACUUGAGCAGGUGGAGCAGGCCAUUGCCGUAGUCUAAAAUCCGGGAUUGCUAGCAGAUAUCCAGUUCAAGGUCGAAGAUUGACGAUCAAAGAGGUGGGUCUCUCACUUAUCAAGCAAUAACUCACCAAGACUAAUAAAGGAGGCGUUUCCUCAUGCCUUUCUCAAGCAUGCCAUUAUGAAGAACUCAAUCACGGCACUGCAGCAUUGCUCAAGGUUAGAAAGGAUUGAUCGACCUGAGUAGGCUUUGUUAUCAUAUCAGUCUAUCAUGACUGAUUCUGCUGCAGCAGUACCAUUGUACCAUACUAUUCUGAGUAAUCAGUUCACCCACCAAACCAGGAGCACAGCACGGCCUUCACGCAGGCAUCUGCGAGCGCAAUGUACCGAAACGAAAUCUCCACAAAUUUCUCUGCAACCAAGUCCUCUGACGGCAAUACGUGGAUUAUUUUAAUUUUGAUGCAGUUUAUUUAAUUUGUUGGAGUUUCUGUCUCCCCUGUCGAUCGGACCUGGGGAUGAAUUGGCAGCGUCACGUGAUCAUAGGUGGGUUUGGUACACUGCAACAGUCUCGGAGCAGUGGUCCCAUCAUUCAAAAUCGGGUGUAGCAGGGGGGAAAUCUUGGGGACUUUAGCUGGAGCUGCAGGCGCGAGUUCCUGCUACGAGCUCAAUCUUGUCUGCCCAGUGCAUAGUUGCCAGGACUUUCACACACAUUGUGCUCUGACGCUUCGCUUGCUUCGCAAACCGGCGGUAGAUCUGAUUGGCGGCCUUCCAUCAUGCGCUCACAUGUUUACGCGCCCUGCGCGCUGCGUUUCUGCCAUACCCCUCCUGCAACCUUCAAUUACACAUCAUCACACAUUACAAGCGACGUUAACAAACUCAGAAGACACAAAACUGCAGAAAGUUGGAUGCAAAACGACAACAGCAGCAGAAUCAGAAGCCAGGCGACCCUACAAGUUAAUUAACCCCCAAAAACACAACACUAAUCACCUACGAACAUGGCCCAAUACGGUUCCAACCCCACAAACUUGAAAUUCACCAACCAUUCGAGCCGCGACACAGUAACACGCAAAGGUUGAGAAACAAGAAGCCAAACUCCUAUCCCACUCUCUCUCGUAAGCAACGCUUCCUGUAGCACAUAUCGAGAGCAUCGUAAAUGGGAAGACAAGCAGCCCAGAGAGAGAGAGAGAGAGAGAGCGAGAAAAAACACAAAACAAAACAAGCUCCUGCCAAGCAUCACCAUGUUUUGUUGUACGCGCGAGUAUGAUGCACGCAUGAGGACAAACAAGGAAUGUGGUGCCAGAGAAUGGAAGUGAGAUCGCAAUAGAGCCAGACAAGAUUCGUCGCCUUUUCCUUUCCCUGUACUAACAUUCCUGCUGUGCCCACUCACUUCCUUCCCACCCUCGCUGCCCCAAGUAGUAAACCCUAAAAGGUACUCCAUAGCCUCACUUCACAGAUUCACAGUGAACAUGAAUAGAAUUCUAUAUAUAUAUAUAUAUACAUACAUAUAUGCAUAAAUAAGUGAGACAAACAUGAAUCAUGUCACUGGAUUUUUAGUGAAGAAACUGAUCAUGAGCUUAUGGUUACUACCCACCUUGAGAAGCAGCUUUGGUUUUACCAAACAAUGCUUCUGGCUGCACUCUCACAUCAUCUUGUGUGUGGUGUUUGUAUGGUCUUGUGGUCUUAGGUUUUGUUUGUGAGAGUCUCUUGUUGCCUUUGUGGGUUCAUGACAUAUGUUGCUAUUGCCACCACCACCCACUCAACAUAUUUCUGUAGUUUUUUUUUUUUUUUUUUUCAAUCAAAAAAUAAUAAUAAUAGUGUAACUUGUAUAUAUAUAUAUAUAUAUAUAUUUAUAUAUAUUUAUUGAAUCAUAAAGAAAAAAGUUGUGAUAGUAAAAAGAAAAAUUUGAAUAAAUUUUCUAUCAAAUUUUCAUGUAUUUGUGGUAGCAAUAGUAAAAACAAUGGUGGCAUUAGCAAAAUAUAUAUAUAUAUAUAUAUAUACACACACAUACAUAUACACACAUUAUGGUUUUGUAUGAAAUUGUAACAAAUAAUAUGGAAUAAUGACAUCCAAAGCAUGCACUCCCAUUUCUCAAUGAUUGUGACUCUUGAUGUAUUUGCAAAAUGAACAAGUUUAAUCUCAAAUCUAACCUCAACAAUGAAUCAAUUUUGCUUUUGUGUUUGAAAACUCCAUGUUAUUUCAAUGGUGGAGUUUCUUCUUCUCUUAUUUCCUUCAACUCCUUUUUCUUCCAUUUUGAAAAUAGAUGAGGUGAAAGUGAUGAGUUGGAAAUUCUAAUCUCACACCAAGUGCAUGAAGGGUGUCCCUUCCAACCCAAUAACAAAAACAAUUCUACAAUUCCCUCAAAAAGAGCCCUUUAUGUCCCUUUCCUCAUCCACCAUUGAAAUGGCAAGUGGUUGGUGCAAAACAAACAACCACAAAACCUCUCAAUUGUACCCCAUCAUUCCAUAGAAAAAGUCUUGACACACUAUGAAUCUCUCUAAUUGCACUCACCCACACUUCAAAAGUGCUCAUAACUAAUACCACCCCACAUUCAUUCACUAACACAUUAUUUAUAUAUCUAUAGCACAUUUUCUUUUACCAACAUGCUAAAAUUUGUCUUUUCAUGAAUCACACUUUGAUGCUUUAAAUAAAGACUAUCACCAAAAUUGAAAAAAACAAAAACAAAAACAAACUACCUAACUAACUAACAAGUAUCAAUGAUUUGUUUGUGACCAAAAAUAUAUAUAUAUAUAUAUAUGUGUGUGUGUGUGUGUGUGUGUGCAUGUGGAUAUAUAUUUGGGGGGUAUUAAAGAGGGACAAGACCAUGUCAUUGUUGUUGUUGCCCAUUCUUUAGGGACCCAACAAGGCACAAAAAGGGAACACUCCAAGGUUGGUCUCUGAUGGGACAUGUUGAAUCACACCCCAUGGACACCAUCAGUCGUGCACCCAUUGGUGCCCAAAGUGUCUGCAGAACUGCCAUCCAUACAUUCAUCCACACAUUCAUCCACCCCUUGGGAUGGGUCUGAGGUUAUAUGUUUCUCGUUCUCUCUGAGUGAGUAUGUAUGUAUGUAUGUAUGUAUGGAGUGAAGAGUAUGUGACAAGACAUAAAGAGAGUAUAUUUUAAAAGAAAUGUAUAAGAGUAGAGCAUGACAGAAUAUAAAAAACAAAACAAAGACAGAGAAGACAACAAAGGCAAAGAAUGAUUGAAAGCAUUAUUUUAUGUUUGGAAUGCAUUCAGUUUGGUGUAAUGUUGUGAGUUACUUGAGAGGACUGGAUCUGAGUUUGGUUGUUUCCAAAUGCAUAAAGUAAAAAUGGGCUUGGCACUCUUUCACAUGUCUUCAAAGUAGUUUCAUUUGAUAAUGAGUUUGAGUUUUAUUUAUUUAUUUAUAUAUAUAUAAAGUUCCUUCAAGAGGGAUUUCACAAUGAAGGAGUUGCAAAAUAUGGCCUUAUUGUGAUUUGACUUUUUACACACAAUGAACUUGGAUGUUAUCAUACAGCAAAUAACACAUCAUGGUAAUGAAAUGAUAUACAAGUAAAAAAAUAAUAAAUAACAAAUAAUAAAAUGCUAAGAAAGAAGAUUAUGCUGAUUUUGUAGUGGAUGAUAAGCAAAUGUAUAAGCUAGGCUUACCUGGCAACAUCAAGAUUGAAUUAAAAUAUACAUGUGAUUUAAAUUGAUACGUGUUCAUUAAAAAUAAAAUAUACAUAUUAUGUGCAAAUUUCAAGUGGAUUAUAUAUAUAUAUAUAUAUAUAUAUUUAUAGUUUUCAAAUGAAUUGAAAGCAUAUUGACAUUCAUAUAAUGAUAUUCAUAAAAAAUCAAUAACUCUUAAUAACUAAAUCAAGAUUUUAGAAUUUGACUUUGUUCUAUGGUUAUUUGUGAUUGAGUAAAGCAUGGCCAAAUGGCUGUUUGUGAUUUGAUAAGAGAUGAUUUCCAUCUUGCCUUCAACACACCACCUCUAAUAAUUGAUGACCUUUGAUAACUAAUAUCUUUUUUUGCAAUAUAUCAAUUAAGAAAAAAAUAUUAAUUAAGAAAAAAAGGGCCCUAUAUAUAUAUAUAUAUAUAUAUAUAUAAUUAAAAUUAAAAUUAUUUUGAAUAAUUUUCUUUUUUAAUAUUUGAUGCUAAUAUUAUCUACUUAUUUUGAGAUUAAGUGAUAGAUUUUUUGUUAUCUCUUUUGUCCAUAUUGCUUCUAUUUUGAUAUCAUAAAUAACAUUUGGUUGUAAAAAAAAUACUUUAUAUCUGAAUUUAUUUAUUUUAUGAUUUUUAUCAUAAUAAAUUAUUUUGGUCUUGAUGGCAUUUGUAUUCUUGAUUAUUGAUUAUUUAAAGAAAAUUGACUCCUUUAUUUUAAUUUUUUUCUCAAAGAAGAAAUGUUAUAAUGUAACUCUUUUACAUUUGAUUCAUACUGAUAUGCACAAUAAACUUUGAAAAUUGAAUUAGAUGCAAAAAAAUUCUGUACAAUCUUCAUUUAAGCUUUUUGUGAAUUUUACAUAGGAGAACUGAAUAUUGUUCUUAUAUAUAUAUAUAUAUAUUUCUUAUUCUUCUAUCGUGAAUUUUUAUUUCUCAUCUAAAUGUUUACAUUAAUAUUUUUAGAUCAUUACUAUAUUUUAGAAAUUAAUACACAUUAUUAACAUAAUGCAUGACACAUAUACGAAGAAGAAAAAGAAAAUCAUAAAUUAGUAUUCUUUAUAAUUUAUUUAGUUGAAUAUAUCUUAAAGUUAUGAAAAAAUAUAUAUAUAUAUAUAUAUAUAUAUAUAUAUAUAUAAUUUAUUUAUUUAUUUUAUUACCACCAUCAAAAGUAUCCAAGACCAGGUACAAAAUUGCUUUUGUAUGUAAGGUCAAAAUAUGACAUUAUUUCAUCAGUUGACCUAACCACCCUUAUAAUUGAUACCAUCUUAUCAAUCACCAUGCAUGCUAAUUGUAUAACUUCUUUCAGUUGACUCAAGCCAUAUUUUUUGGAUAGUAAUGAAAGAACUAUAUUUGGUUUUUUUUAUUGAUUAACAGUGACCUAAAAACUCUUGUUUGAUCUUGUUAAUCUCAAGAAAUUACCAAGUACAAAUGAGUAGAUUAAUACAUGAAAAUCUAAUUAGGACUUAGAGAGAUAGUUUGAUAAAAUAUAUAUCAAUAUUUUUAUACUAUCAUGUGAGUAACUGUUUAUAUUUUUUAAUUUUAAAACGGGUGAAAAUAAUUUAACAUAACCUAUGACAUGAUUACAGUUAUCAGCUAAAUAAUUUAAACUAACAGAAAAAAACUUGACUUAGAGGAAAUUAUUCUUUUAGUUAGUGACUUCAUGCUGUUAAGUAACAUUUAUGUGUGUGUAUAUAUAUAAAUAUAAAUACCAAAAAAAAAAAAAACUUGUAUGAUAUAAAUAACAUAUUUAUUUUUUCACAUGUGCCAAAUACUGUAUAUAACUUUUAUGCAUGAUAUUUGUAUCUUAGACGAGUUUUUCUUUAAGUUCUAUUUAAAAAUCAAAAUCAAAAUCAAAUCAAGAAGUGUCAUAAUAAUUUCCAGUUAUUUCAAUGAACAAUCAUACAAAAGGUCCUUACAGUAAAAUUCUAAUGUUGCCUAUUUUAUUUGUUCUAAUUUUAGUUUUGAAAUUGAAUAUUUUGAAAUAUUUUGAAAUACUUUGAUAAAAUUCAAUUCAACAUUCUAAUUUAAUUCAAUUCAAGGUUAUACUAAAUUCUACUGAUUUUUUUGUAUAAAAAGAAAAAAGACUCUAUUCUAAAAUCCAAUAAUAUAUUCUUAUUUUUAUAACUGUACUAUUCAUCAUAUAAAAUAAUAAGUCUCUUAUCCAUUGGCUAUUUGAUAAAUAUACAUACUCAAAAAUAAGUGACACAGUUUUUUUAAGUUAAGUAUGACAUAAAGAAUUUGUGACUUUUCAAGCUUUGACAUUUAAUUAUGGAUUAUAAAAUAUUUUUUUAAUAACACCUUUGAGGUAUAUAUAUGUAUAUAUAUAUAUAUUGAAUCUUUUCUACAAGGGCUAAUUGAAUUUUUUUUUUUAAUAAACCAAUCUAAAUUACACAUAUCUAAUUUUGACCAAAUAUAUUAAUUAGUUCUCCCAGUUCAUCAAUGUUGAUAUUUAUUUAAUUAAUUCAUUUUAAAGAUUUUUUUUAUAUAAUUCAAGUAUGGAUUUUAUAUUUAGUAAAAUUUAUUGAGGAGUUAUGCUAGAACUUUAAUACCAUGUUUUGUUAAAUUUUAAAAAAUAGAUAAGAUGUUAUUAGAGUCUUUUUUAAUAUGGUUUUAGUAGAGUUUUGAUUUUGACUAUAUACAAAGUUGUUUCAAUGCCACAAUUUCAUUUUAUUUUUUAUUAUCAACUUUAAUUUAAGAAAAAAAACUACUGUAAAUCUAGUAAUCAUGUUUAAAUAUCAUAUGUCAAAAACUUUAGUAAUUUUUUUUAUAAACUCUUAGAAAUAAUUUUUUAUUAAUAUUUGUAUAUUUUAUUUAUAUGUAAUAUUAAUAAAAAAAACUAAUUUAUGCUUUUUUUUACUUUUAUUAUUUAACUUAUAGCAUCUUCUAAGCAUUUUAGCUAUUUUUUCAAAAAUAAAAUGAUCAAUGCAUUCACUUUCUUUAGAUUUGAAAAAAAUACUAUUCAUUACCAUUCUAAAUGUUUUUGAUAAUAUCUUUGUGAUAAGUACAUGUUUUCAUCUAACUUUGUGAUCCACCCAAUCAUAUUACUUAUUGUACUUUCACAUUAAUAUCUUCAAUUAAAAUACUACUUUUUAGGUGACAUUCCUUGGGAUUCAUUAAAGUUUUUUGAAGAUUAUUCUUAAAAGCUCUUAGGGCUUAUCUCAACUUACAAAGCAAAGUUAGAUUUUAAAAUAUUUUUCAAAAAAGUAGAACUUCUCUACAUCCUAGAGUUAUUGGCCUACAAUAGGAUUUUUAAGAUGUUCUUGUACUAUCACAACUUAAUGAAGAAGCAAAGUAUAUGACUUCAAUUUUUACACGUCUUAGAAUUAAAUAAUUAUGAAGUAAAGCAUCUCCAUUGCAUGAUAAUCUAGUAAAAUCUUUUUAAUAUUCUUAACAAUACGUUAGAAUAUACAAUCUUAUAUUCAUUUUACAAUUAUUUUUCAAAGUUUAGAAUAAUUAUAACAAAAUUGCAAGUAAAAAAAUAAUACUUGUAGUAAAACUUUACAUAUAUCUAUGUUAUAUUAUAACUAUUAUAUAUAUAUAUAUAUAUAUAUAUAUAUAUAUAUAUAUGUGUGUGUGUGUGAGUGUGGGUGUGUGUGUGUUUAAAUAUUUAACUAGAAAUAUAUUAUUUUAAAAAAUAAAAAUGAAUCAAAUCAUUUUUUAUUUUUUAAAAUAUCUUUUGAACUUUUCUAUACAAAAUUUGAUGAUAUAUUUUAAUCAAAAAAUAUAUUUUAAUCAAAAAAACAUAUUUUUUCAAUCACAUGUGAUAAGCAAAAAAUAGAAAAUAGAAAAUAAAAUACUAAGUUGGAUUGUUAUUAUUUAUUAUUUAAUAAUUCAAUAAAAAUUUAUACCAUAAUACUAUUUAUAAUAAUAUACAUAUUUAAAGUCUCAAAUAUAUAUAUAUAUAUAUAUAUAUAUUAUCGUUUAGUAAUUUAAUUAUAUUAUUUGCUUUGUUACCUUAAUAUCUAUUUUCUAUAGCUAUUUCAUGAGUUUUUAAUAUAACUCUAAGUCAUUUUUAGUAUAGUAGUGGCUAUAAAGCAAGGAAACGAUUUAAUCAUAUAUUAUUAACUACUUGUAACUAAUACUUAAUAUCAUUAUAUGCUAUUAGUUUAAAGAUAUGUAAAAACUAUUCAAUAAAAAAUACUUUAACAAUAGCUACACCAUUCUAUAAUUGUUAAUACUUCUUAUGUUAUAAUGAAAAAAUAAAAAGAAAAAGAAAAAAAUCCUUAAAUUCUUAUUAUAAGUUUUGACAAAAACAAAUCCCAAAAUAAAUUAAUAAUUUAUCUGUUUUACAAUAAUUUUUUUUAAAAAAAAAAAUAGUUGGAAAUAUUAAUGUUGUUUAAGAUAUUCUGGAGUCUAGAAUUUAUUUAACACAACUAUAAAGCAUACAACUUAUUUCAAAUCUUUUAUUUUUAUAGUAAAAUUAUAAUUAUUUAAUUAUUUAACAUCGGUUAUCUGUUGAAAAUAUCUUUAAAUAUUCCCAAGAAUUUUAAAUUCCCAAAAGAACCUUGCCACUUUGUUGUACAAAGUCAGUACCACCUUUAGAAAUACAAAACCAUUUUGUGUUUGAUGUCAGAAUUGCAUAGACCACAUGAUGAGAUUUGCACAUGGUUGCCUUCACCAUUUUAAAUUAAACCUUGAUUCACAGAUGAACUGACUAAGAUUUAAAUUUUUAUGAAGGCAUGGUAUUUGAAUACAUAUACAUUCAUACAUAAACGAUUUGUGUUAUGUAGGUAUUCUUUGUUUUAUUUGAUUUGCUUUAAAUUUUAGUUCAAUACGAUGAUUAUAUGCCAAUUCUGUUGCAUUGGUGUCUUGAAAAUUCUAUCUGUAAAAGCAUUUCAAAAUUUGCCUUAACACCAUAGGAACAAUGACAACUCAUUCAGUCUUUUCUGUUUGGCAUCUCCACCAAAUUUUAACCACUGCUUUCAGUCAAUCACCAAACAAACAAGGUCUAAUUAUCACCACACUCUCACACACAUGUGCAUAUAUGUAUAUAUCAAAAUAUAACUCUCAAUGCAAAAUUUGUUGUUUGGCAAUUUCAAAUGAUAAGACCCUUAAUCAGCCAAUAUAAUCAAUGCACAUUGAACCCCAAAAUAAAAAUCACAAAAAAACUAAAAAAUCUAAACUAAACUAAAAACAGGCAUGUUAUUAUGGAUGGCAAUACCAGAGAUGAUUAUUAUACAUCCAAGUAUAAACACCUGAGUUAUCUCAUCACACAACCCACUCACAUUUCUUUGGUAUAAACACCCCCAACAUCAUGCAAGAAGCAAAUACAUGGAGAGCACAGUGGUCAAUAAAACCCAAAAAUAAAAAUAAAAACAUAAACAAAACAAGAACUAAACAUAGGUGACCAACAUCUGCAGAGGCAACAAACCACAAAUCCAGUAAGGGAAGGGAAGAGAAGGGCAGUUUCUGUGGGUUCCCAACACUGCCCCCCACAAAACCCAAAGGAAAAGUAAAGUAAGUAAGUAAGUAAAGGGACUAUGCUUCCUUCCUAUCCUUUCAUUCGUCCAUGUUAUGUUAUGUUAUGUUAUAUGUCCCUCCUCCAUAUUCCUGCAUAUUCCUGCAUGUUCUCUGUCUGUCUGUCUUACAACCUGUGCCUCUCUCUCUCUCUCUCUGAGUCUGUCUGCUCGUGUCCAUGAGUGUGAUGCCACUGCUUUCUACCUGAUCCUCUUCUACCCCCUUCCAGCCAGCCCCCCAAAGAUGGCGGUUUUAGCAUCCAGGGGGAAGAGGAAGAGGAACAGGAUGCAUCCUAAGGGAAGGCAGGCAGAGGGACUCUAUCUAAUCUAAUGGCAAGAAGAAGAAGAAGAAAAAGGAUAGAAUAGUGUAGCAUAGUAAGCAAGUAAGUAAAGUGAGUAAAGUAAGAAAGAAAGAUAUCGAAGCUGCUGCAACCAUCUGGGCUGACGAGGAGGGAGGGCUCUUCCUCUGCACCGGGAUGCGUGCCAUUUUAGUUGCCAGGGGGGAGAGUGAGCUUAAGGGAGGGAGGGAAAGUAAGAAAGGUGGCAGGCAGGCAGGCACGGAGACGGGGACGGAGAAGAAGUGCGAGGGAGCGAGCGAUCAGUGCCGAAUUUUCGGCUUGGCUUGGUGCUGUGGUGGUGUUCUUAUUAUUUCUCGUAGUGGAUGGUUUUGGGGCGCUUGAGUAGCAGGGUGUUGUGGGGGAAGGAAGCAGUGGCACUGGUGCUCUACCGUAUUGUGUGCAGGCAGGCAGGCUGUGUGAGUGUGUGUGUGAGUGAGUAUGUGUGUGUGUGUGGCAAAGGGUACAGGCUGCAUCCAUCUAGGCAGCUCUGUUGAUUCUGUAGGGCUUAGUCCUUCUACCUCUCUCUUUCUCUCUCGCUCGCUCGCUCGCUUGCUGUGUAGGGCUGCAUUUGUGUAGGUGAGUACCCAAAUCCCCCAAAAUAGCGCUUCUAGAAGUUGUGUGCUCUAAAGCUGCUGCUGCAUCUCGCGGUGGUGUCAUGGUCGUUAGUGAAGUGGUCGCGUGUUUGUUUCAAUAGUGAUGGAGGUUGGGUUGAUUGGUAGGAGUGUUGGUGUUGUGUGCAGUGGAAUGUGGUUUUGUUGUUUGUGGAGGUGAGAGGUCAGAGAGAGCUCGGGUGGCCUACUAGACUGGCAAUUGUUGUCAGGCAUAGAUGGUGUGCCUGCGGAGGCGUCAUGUGAUGAUGGUGUAGCUGAGGUAGUGAACUCUGUUCAGAGCUUUGUAGCCUGUAGGUUGCGUUGUUUUGGGUGUUUCUGUAGGAAUGAAUGAUGACUGUGGCUUCUGUCUGGUUAUGUGAGUACUCCAUUUGUUUCACUAGGAGAGGCGGGCGGUUUCGGAUUGAUUGUUUUCUGAUUCUGGGGCGUGGAUUGAUGAAAUGAUUGCUCGCAAUCGGUAGUCAGCCUCGUGUUGGCGAUUAUGGUCCUGCGCUAGUCGUGGGAUUGGAAUGCUUGGUAGUUUUCUUAAGGGUGACUGAACGUAUGGGUUGGGUGGGUCCUCCCCAUGUGCAAGCCCUGCGAGGUUGAUCAUUGAACGUUUCGUUCACAGCAGCUGUGUGGUUGCUGCUUUUUUGGCGUUUUCGAUGAAUGCACCAUAGCCUAGCGAGGUCGGCUCACGCCUUGCUCUUGAGCUCUUGGUUUUGGGAUUGAAUUGAUUUUAGGUUGGACGUGAACAGCAGGAUCGGCUUCCUCACACUUCCUUUUUAGCAACCUUCGUGUUCUUGAGGUUACUAACAAUCGCCUCCCGAGAGUUCAAUUCCUUUCCCUUGUGAGCUAGUUGUGUAUGAAACACCGUUUUGGGAAAACAUUUUGGCGGAAUUGACACGGUUUGGAGUGCACGUCGGGAGAUAUGGUCUUUCUCGAAGCUUCAAUGACACCACCUAAAACUUAAUCACAAGCCAGGAAAUUCCUGCAGACAUCUAAGAAACACGUGAUAGAUCUGGUUGCUUCAGAGCACUAGGGUUCAAGGACCUCUGCAACGUUGCCAGCGCAGUUGGGUGUUACCAAUGGGAAGUGCUCUUAUGAAAUAUCACUGUGGGUCCUUUGGUCUAGGAGUUUGCUGAAGGAUAAAUUUAACUGGGAAAUCGUUUAACGAAGAAGGGUCUGAAAGCCAGCGCACGGUUUCCGAAAGCCAGCACACGAAGUGUCCGGCCCCUUUGUUUUCAACCGAUUUUGUUUGUCUCUUUAGGCACCAGUCUUUCUACCUUUCAAGCUAUAGUAGGCUUGCUCGCUUAUAUCUUUUAAAGAAAAGCCUUUCAGAAGCUUUCGUACUUCCUGUGGGGUCGUUGUGAGAUGCUUUCACUAUCCUUUGAUUGUUUCCUCGUCCUUUUCUUCUCUCAGAUGUGUUCUGCAGACUGAUUGAGAUUUUAUUUACUCCAAUUAGCAGUGCUGGCCCGGUAGAAGCUGACACUGGAAAUGACAUAAGGCUGAGUGUACUAGAAAUGUGGCUGGAGCUAAGUGCCGUGAGUUCUAGAUUGAUGUGUCCAUCUGUUCUGGAGACACUAUUGUGUACCAGCGUACAUUGUCAGGGGUCAGGUCACUCUGGUGCAGUCAGUGGGAUUGUGCCUCUCCUGCCUAAUUAAAUGAGACGUUCGAGAAAGUGUAAGUUGUGAGACUAGCAAUUAUGCUAUAGAUGAAUUUUUGGUUGUGCCCUGUCUAAAAUGCUACGUUGCAAGUCCCCUCCGUUUGAUAGUUUACUUUGUAACGUAAAUCACAUUAGAGCUCUCCUUAUCUCCUUAACUGAGUGUGUUGUUGUGUAGAAUAUGUUGGAGGAGGCUAUCGGAUGGUAUCAAGAGGGAGUUGUAGUUAGCGCAGACUUUGCUUCUACAUCUUGUUCCAUCUUCGGGUCAAUUUUGCAACAACCGAUACGACUAUUCCAAUCUUUACUGCAUUCCGUUGUGAGUGAUUUCCCUAUUUGCAAGGAUCUCAUAUUUGUGUCGAAAGAAGGCAUGCAAUCUCUAUGUCUACCAGCGCUUACU